GGAACCCUUCUAUGUAUUACUAUUUUUUAGGCCAAAACUUCACCUCGAGCAUUCCUAGCCACCACCCAUGGUCCCGACCUGGCUUGGUUCAAAUCAAAUGCUACAUCGAAGUUAAUCUUCACAUCUGCGCCGAUUAGGGUCUUCUAUCUCACCGGAGCGUUAGAUUUAGUAUGUACAUUCUGCUCUAUCUCAUCAAGUUCACACAAGUAUCUCGAGAUCCAAUCUGAGAUCUCUUUUCCAGUAGAUAUUUUUCCCUCAUGCACUAACUUGUUUCUACUUGACCAGAUUGCCCACAUGCCACAAUAGAACACCCUGCACUGCUCCUUGGUACUAUUUUUUAAAAUCCAGGUAAACCAUUCCCAAUAAUGUUGAAUCGGAUUUUGUAAAAUUCAGGAGAGAUUUAAAUUCAUCCAUACCUCUGUUGUUGUAAGGCAUUCCCUGAAGAUAUGAUCAAUUGAUUCCACAGCUUCACGACACCUAGGACACACAAUAUCUGUUGCUACUCUUUUUUUAUUCAGAUUGAAUAAAGUAGGAAUUCCAUGAUAUGCACCAAACUGUAAUUUUAAUUUUUGAGGGGAUUUGUAAAUUCCAUAGUCUUUUGUAGAAUUCUCUAAGACUGUCGUGUCUAAUCAUCAUUAGGAAAUAGUGUGCCUUCUUGUAAUAGUUUAUGUAACAGUUUAUGUAACGACCCGAUAGUCGGGGUGUCGAAAACUACAUUUUUGAGACUUUGUUCUCGUAAAUCAGACUCAUAAAUAUUUUUAAUAAAUAUUUACAAAGUUAGUUGUGUAGUUAAUUAGGUUUUGGUUAAGUAAAUUUGCAUGAAUUAAGACUUAUUAUAGUAUAAGGACUAAAUCGUGUAUAGAAUAAAAGCUGAAUUAUAGAUUAAAAAUUAAUUAAGGGAUUAAAGUAGUAAAUAUACCUUUAUAUAUGUAUAGUGGACGGCAUUGAUGGUUGUAGUAAAUAUAUAUGGUGAUUUAAUAUAUAAUAUGUUUAAUUAAUGAAAUAUAAUUUAUAUUUAUAAGUUAUAAAAUAAUAAUAGUUAUAAUAAUAAAUAAAUUUAAAGUAAAAUGAAAUGAAUAAGCAGAAAGUGGCAUGAAAGAGAAUGAACAUUCUCUUUUGCAUGCAAUUUCGGAAACGAAAAGAAAGAAGAAAAAGCUUGGACGGCACUUAAAGGUAUUAGACUUUCAAAAGGUAUUAGACUUUUUAAGUUGAAUUGGUUAGUUAAUUUAGUUUUUUUUUUUUUGUAAUUUUUAUGUUUUUAGAAUUCCGGUGUUUAGUAAUACCCGACUCAUGUUGUAAUUUUAGUAUUGAUUAAGAUUUUAAAUGUUGUUAUUAUUAAAUAGUUUUAGUAUUAGGGAUUAAAGUAAUAGAUUUUUAAGCUAGAAAUGAAAAAGGAUUAAAUUGUAGAAUAAAUUGUAAAUUUUGAGUAAUAGGGACUAAAUUGUGAAAAAAUUAAAAUUUAGGGGUUUAAUAAAAAAUAAGGUGUUAAAUUUAGUUUAAAAUGGAAUUUGUAUAAAAACAUAGAAUUAAUUGUAAAGAAUAAAAAUUAGUCUCGAUUUAGGGACUAAAUUGGAAUUUAGGCAAAUAUUGAGUAAAAAUAUUCAAUAUUCAAUAUGAAAUUGAAUUUUGUUGUAUUGAUGAAUUUUAACUGUUCUAAUUCCGUAUCUAACGUUGUACCGGAAUCCUCGACUAAAAAGGAAAAGGAUAAAAUCGAUGUCGAACAGCUCGGGAUUCACGGUUUGUAAUUUUAUAAUCCGAACUUAGUUAAUUGUUGUAAUUCAAUGUAAUUCAUAUGGUAAAUGUUGAGGUGAGUAUUUGACAUUUUGAUCAUUGAUUGAACUGGAUUGAAUUGGUAGAUACAUUAUGAAUGCAUUGGUUAUUGAAUUGAAAUGAAUAUAUGUGUUAAUGUGAAAGUUGGCUAUUGGAUAUUGGAUAUUGGUUGUAUAUGAAAUGUGAAAUUAAACCUUAUUAACUAUAUCGGGCUGAGUCGGAUAUAGAUGGCAUGUCACAUGAUAGGAAGAGUUUAAAUAUUUCUUUGACUUCAAGUCGAUGAGGCACUAGGUGCCAAUUUAUUUCGGUUUAACCAAUGAGACACUGGGUAUCAAUUUAUAUAGCACUGGGCGCAUUUACUACUUCGGAUUUAUCCGAUGAGGCACUAGGUGCCAAACCGGUGUGUUGGUUGGAUCCCUGUAUCCAUCCGAGUCCGAGUCGUGUUAAUAGGGGUAAUUUAAUAAAACGGUUCUAUAAUUGAUAUGGAUGAUAUUGUAUGAGAAUUGAAAAUGGGAUAGUGAUUUGAAACAUGAAAAUGAGAUAUGUUGUGACUAAAUGAGAUACAUGAGUUAUGUAUUCAUGAAUUGGAUAUGGAAUGGAAAUGCCAUUGUUUAAAUGAAAUGUGAAUCAAAUUGUGAAAAGAUAUUUAUAUAGAAAUUGUAUUAAUUCAAAAAGGUUGGCAUAUGAUAGUUGUGAUCUUAGACAAUAAUAUGUGUUUAAAAUUCAAUUGUGCAUUUUAUAUCAUCUUGACUUUAAAUGUUCAGAUUAUAAAAAUAUUACUGAGUUUUAAUCAGCGUACGGUUUUGUAAUGGCAUGUACCUAGGAUAUGUUUGAGUUUUAAUAUGUGUUUGGAGCCUUAAAUUGGGUAUGUUGUAUUAAACUAAGAUAGGUUAGAUGCUUGUGAAUUUUAGUUGAUGUUUAGGUGGCUAUGAACUAGGCAAAAAAAUGGAGUGAUUUUGGUAUGUCUAUAAUUGGUUUUGAAUGAUGCUUUGAUAAUUUGAUUUAAUGAUAUAAAUAUGGUACCAAUGAGAGUACAUUGGUUAGGCAAUUAGGAUGAUUGUUUUGACAUGUUUUAAGUGUGUUUGAUCGUGUUUUGAAUAGGUUAAAUGAAUGGUUUUUGAGUUGCUUAAUGCCCAAGCAAGUAAGAAUGGUAAACUUGUGGUUUAAGACAUAAUUUAGGUCCAUACGACUAGCACAAGAGCAUGCGAGGCCAUUUCAAAUGGUACACGGCAUGACACACCAGCGUGUGGCUUGGUCGUGUGACCCAAGUCAGUGAGUUACACGGGCACUGACAUGGGCUGGGACAUGACCAUGUGUCCCUACUUCGAAUGCCCAUACAGCCAGACACACGGGUGUGUGACUUGGCCGUGUGAGACAUGGUCGUGUGAACCCUGCAGUUAAAAUUUUUGUAAUUAUUUCCUAAACUUCCAAAUUUGUUUCAAAUUAGUCCCUGUCUAUUUUUAAACUAUUUUUAGGGUCCCGUAGACUCGUAAUAGGGGCUGUAAGAGUAACUUUUACUCUGAAUUGGGGUGGAUUAGCAAACCUAAAUUAAGUGCAUUUCACUAACAUCAUCGAAGAUAAAUUAAAAAGAUAAUUGUAGACGGAGUAUGGACUAAUACUCUGAUGUUAAUAAUUGGAAUAGUCUUGUAUGUAUCCGAAUUCUGACAUUUUAGAAGGGAUAAAUAGUGAUAAGAGUGUAGACAGUGGAAGACCAAGUUUAGAAAUGCAUAGCUGGAAACACGAAAAUUUAUGUGUUUUUACAUGCCCUUUUUAACUUAAAAUCAUGCUAUUUCGGUUAAAUUCUCGUCGAAAAAUAAUUAAAUAUUAUAAAAUAAUUAAAUUAUGUUAAAAAUAUGAACAUGAUGAAUUUUAAUUGAUUUUACAGUUAAUUUUGACUAUUUUCGACAGAUUCGCACAAAUGGCGAAAAUUGGCUCGGCAGACAAUGCUCGAAGAAUAAAAACGAGAAGCAAUUUGAAGCAUCGAGGAAAAUUUAUUUCCAGCCUAAGAUGAUCCAAAAAUGUGUGUUAAUUCAUAAUAUAAUUAAUUUUAAUUUAUUCUCAAUUUAAUUUGGGCUAAAUAAAUUAUUAUUAAUUAAUUAUGGAAAAAAGGGUCCAGUUGAAUCGCAUUGGUUGAACCGAAUCUAGUAAACCGAACCAGCCACCAAUUAAGCUGCCCAAAACCGUCCAUAUGCUGACCCAAAUCAGCAUUUUAGCUAACUAAAUAAGCUUGCAAAGAAGCCCUUGAAGAACUUUCAACCUUGCAUUCAAACCCCUCCAAAAAAUGUGGCUUUAUGGAUUUGCCCCAGGCUAUUUUUAACAAAGUUGAAUCUCUCAACUUUGCCAUGUGUGUGGCCGGCCAAGGGGGGUCUCUUUGGCUGAUGGAAUUUGUUAUUUUUAGCAGCCACAAUCAGCUAUAAAAGCCACCCAUUGUUGAUCAUUUAAUUGAUCCCUCACACUCUCAUUCUCUCUUCUCCUCUCUCACUUUCUCUCAACUUUUCCUUCCCAUUUUCCCUUUUGUUCAAGUGUCGAUUUCUUAUCUUGGGAAAGAGGUCCUCAUCAGUCAUUUUUGAGCAGCAAUUAAAGUGUUCAUAAGCCACCUUGAUAGCCGAGGACAACGGAGAACGAAGAACGGAGAAAUCAGUCAAGCCAUGGAGAAACACUGGAUUUGCUCCUUGUUCCUUAUCUCUUUAAAUUUCGUUAUUGUUUUGACAAACGUGUUUAUGAAUAUUUAUGCUAUUGAAAUGGUUAUUUUAAUCAAUCUAGCUUGAAUUUAAUCCAUGAUGGGUUGAUUAUAUUUUGCCUGCUUGAAUUAUUGAAAUUGUAUUUGUGUUGUUAUAGGCCUCGGUAAGAUGCUUGAUUAAGUAAAAUCAUGCCUAAGUUAUUCUUGCAAUACUAAUUGUUAGAUAACUAAUGAAUUAAUUAUUAAAUCGUAUUGAAAUUGUAAUUAAUCGACACAAUACUUAAUCAAUGCAUGUUUAUUCUUCUAAGGUAGCUGAAGUUAAUUUAGCAUUGUAUUUGGCGAUACAUAUGUCUUGCAUAACUUGCAAGAUUAUUGUGAUUAAAUUGUUUCAAGGUAAAAAUACUCUUUUACCUCACUUGAUCUUUUAUAUGCUUGUGAAAUUUGAUUAAUCGCUUGGAUUGACAUUGAUAAAUGUUCAAGAGAUUGAUUAAUUUAAUAAAUAUGUAUGAGCAGUAGUUAGCAAAUUACCGAGUUGCCGUGAAUUUGUUCGUAGCAAUAUAAACAUAAGUUUAAUAAUUCUAAGUUAAAGGAAUGUAAUUAAUCCAACACAAUUAUAUCAUAUUGAUUAAACCUUAUUUGAAAUCGUGCAUUAGAACCUUUUUAUUUUUAAAUAUAUAUAUAUAUUUUUACUUAGUUUUUAAUCCUUAGUUUUUAAUCAUUUUUAAACCAAAAUAUUUUCCAUCACCAAAGUGUUUUAACAUUAAUUUCAUAAAUAUUUUUUUUACAGUCCCUGUGGGUACAAUAACUCGACAUUUACUUGUCACUUUAUUACUUGUUGCGAUUGUGUACACUUGCACAUUUUCGUCGUUCCAAUAGCAUAAUUUAUUAUUCGAAUGUAUAAGAAUCUAGCAUGAAAGUAUUAGAUUGUCGUGACAUGCCCUUGCAUAUUAUAAUGUUAUUAGUUAGUUUAUAUGUUGAUUAUGAUUGAAUUAAUUGUUUGAUUCGUUAGUAAUACUCGUGACCCUAAAUCGUCGACAGAAAGGGGUUAGGGGUGUUACAGUUUAUAAGCACUCCUAACGGAAAACUCACUCGAUGGCUCACUCUUCCAAAGCUCCAUAUCUUCAUGAGCUUCCUUCACUAAAGGAAUUUGCAGAAUCACCCUCACAACAUCCAUUGGAAAGGUAUUGUAGAUAAUAUCCUCUUUCCAAAUUCUAGGUUGUGCAUCAAUUAGAUCUGAGACUAAAUUAACUUCAUUAGUACUAACAUUUCUGCUCAACCGCGCAUUGACAGACCUUGGUAGCCAAGAGUCUUCCCAUAUAGAAAUCUUCUCACCAGAGCCUACCCUUCAACUUAACCCAUUCUACAAUAGUCCCUUCACUGCCCAAACACUUUUUCAAGUAUAUGAAGGUAGAUUCCCUAACCUUGCACUAAAAAAAAUAAAGUUCGAAAUUUUUUUUACUUUUAAAACACGGGCUAAUAAUGAAUUUGGAUAACAAAUAAUACGGCACCCUUGCUUUGCCAAUAAAGCAACAGUAAAAUUUGAAAGACUAUGAAAGUCCAACCCUCCAUUUUCCUUAAGCUCACACAAGUAUUCCCAACAACACCAAUGAAUAUUUUCCUUCCAUGCCCUUUUUGCCACAAAAAAUUAGCUAUGAUACUCUCCAACUCACCACAUAGAGACUUUGGUAGUAGAAAACUAGACAUAGAAUACAUGGGAAUGGCUUACAAUACAUCAUUGAUAAAAACCUCAUUGCCUUCUAAAGAUAAGUAUCUCACACUCCAAUUUUGAUCCGCUUUUUAAACCUAUCUUUCAAAUUUUGAAAAGAAAGUUUGUUAUUUCUUCAAACCAUAUUAGGAAGGCCAAGGUACCUUUCAAGAUUACUCUUCAGAAGUAUUAGAACUGAAGAAAACCGUUGAUUUAUCAUAGUUCACACAUUGACCAAAACACCAUUCGUACUCCCUUAGAACCAAUCUUAAAAUUUGUGCUCCAUUUGCAUUUGAUGUAAUUAUUGGCAAAUAACAAGUGUGAAACUUAAGGGCCAUUUCUAUUUGCCUUAGCCCCUCUCAUCAACACAUCUCUCACUGUUAACCUCAUCAAAGCUAAAAGACCUUCGAUACAAAUCAAGAAAAGAAAAUGACUCAACAGAUCACCUUGACAGAGACCCCUAGUAGAUCUAAAAAUCUGUCCAACUUUCCCAUUUACUAGAACUGAAUAAGAAGCAGAAGUAACACAUCUCAUAAUAGUCUCAACCCACAAAAGAUUAAACCUUAUGCGAAGCAUCAUCUCCCAAAUAAAACCCACUCAACUCUAUCGUAUGUUUUACUCAUAUCAAGCUUCACCGCCAUAAAUCCAUUUUCCCCACUCUCUUCUAUCGAAAAGUAUGCAAAAUUUCAUAAGCUAACAACACGUUAUCCGAAAUUAAUCUUCUCGGAACAAAAGGGCUUUGAGCAUCAUUGAUACACAAAUCCAAGACAUUUUUUAAACGAUUAGCAAUCAUCUUAGCUACCAGUUUAUAGAGGAUAUUACAUGAACUAAUUGGUCAAAAAUUCCUUAAAUUUGUUGGGUGGGGAAUCUUAGGAAUUAACAUUAUAUUGGUAACAUUCAUAAAAUCAAAAUUCAUACCUUCAUUUUGAAUAUCCAAACAAAACUUCAUGACAUCAUUCCCAACAAUGUCCCGACACCUUUGAAAGAAUAAAGUUGGAAACCCAUCCUCCAUAGAUGCUUUUGCUGUCCCCAUCUCUUUUAAAGCUACCAAACCUCUUCAUCCGUAUACUUAGUUGUCAGUUUCAAAUUAUCCUCUAUCGAAACACACUUUUCAAUUUCCAAAAGGAUAUGGUCCAAAUUUCCAAUACCAUUAGAAUAGAACAAUUUUUGGAAAUAGCUCCAAGCAAUUUCCUACAUUUCAACAUCGUUACUUGUUUCUAUCCCUUCCUCAUAUUUCAAACUUCUAAUAAAAUUCUAGCGCCUACGAUGAGAUGCAUGAUUAUGGGAAAAAGUUGUGUUCUUAUUCCCUACCUUUAGCCAAUUUGCACGAGCUCGCUGCUCCCAAUACCUUUCAUCCUUCUCAAUCUCCAAAUUUAGAUGGGCCUUAGUGUCUAUAAGCUCCACAAGGUUCUCAUCAGUUCUCUCCAUUGACAUUAGCUCGCUCAUCUAAUCUCUUUGUCAACUCCUUCUUAAGACCCUUCUUAUUUCACCUAUUAGACAUUACCCAUCGAGAUAGCCCCUUUUUUAGUUCUUCUAAUUUAACCAACAGAUCACCCAUAAAGGACAACCAUAAUUUCUUCACUUCAUCUUCAAACGAUUCCUCUAUAAUCCACCAUUCCUCAAAAUGAAAUCUCAUUGGAUGCAUUCUUUGGACUACAUUUGGCAGCAUAUUUAUAUGCCACGUGUAAUUUGAAUGUAAUGGGUCACAACUUAUUUAAUGUUAAAUCUAAGUAAUACGUUGUCUUAUUGUUUAAUGUUGAAUCUAAAAUUGUUAAUGUAAUUGAAAUUCAGGUUUCUAAUAAAUAAGCAGAAUGUCAGAUAUCUUGAGUUUUGCAAUAAAUAAGCUGUAAUGAAUAUAUCUAUCACUUAUGGACACUGCAGCUUUCUUUCAAUUUUAAUUUUUAAUUUAGCAUCAUUCCUUUUUCGUGGAAAAACCAAAUCAUUUCCUACCCAUAACUAAAUGCAGUUUAUUCUUUUCAAUUUUGGUCUAUCAAUUUUAGUUGAAUUUUUUUUGCUAAAUUAUUAUUAAUUAGUAUCAUUAACUUUUUAUUAAAAUAUUAUAUGAUUACAUAUAAUUUAAAUGCCGUAUAAUCUGACAGGCUAAGUAGCUAACACGUGUUUAUUUCUUUAUCUCCUUUUCCUUUUUAGAUUUACAUCGCUUCUUUCCACUUUAUAAGAUAAUGAUCUAUUAAGUCAUAUAUUAUGUUAAACUUUGAGAUUUAAUCUAUACACUUUAAUCUUAGACAUAAUUUGACUAGUCUACUUUUAGAAUUUCAUUAGUUAGUUUAAAUAGUUAAUAUUGUUAACUAUUUUGAUCAAUAUGUUAACGCCAAUUUUUCUUAAGAACACUAUAACAAAAAAAAAUUAUCAUGAUAAUUUCGAAUGUAGUAUUUUUAAGAAAAAACCUAAUUGCUGAUUGAGUUUGCAAGAUGACGUGGGUUUGAAUGCGUUGAUACGCAUUAUCCUCUUAUCUAUGGGUUGGGGAGGGAUUUUAGGUAAUUAGUUAUUAUCUAACCAAAAGAACAAAUAUGAUUACAACUGAAAUUAUUUAAAAAAGAAACAAACCUAAUCAACAUUUUCAACCUUAUUUUUAGUAUAACAUGACUAUCAAGUUUUUUUUUAGUGAAUUUAAUAGAAGAAUUUUAACAAUUAUAAUAAUUAGAUUUGAAUUUUUGAAUUCGAAAAACAGGAAUACUAAAUUCUUAAAAGAAAAAUAAAAAAACGGCUUAAUACAUAAUUUAGUACUUAAGUUUGAUAUUUUUUUCUAAUGUGUUGCACGUGUUAUAUUUGACAAAAGCUAUACAUUUUGAUACUUGAAGAUAAUAGUAUUUAGAUUUUAGAGUUGAUUUAAUGAAAAUGUAAAAUUAACUAAUAAAAUUUACAAUUAACUUUCAUCAAAUCAUCCCUAAAAUUUAAUUAAACAAUAAAAAAAUUAAUUAAAAUGUAUGUAUGAAAUUAAAAGAAAAAAAACUUGAAUGCUAAAUAAACAAAAAGUGUAAAGCGUGAGUGAGAUUUAAAACCAGAAAAGAAAUCCUCAACUCUGAUUAUAUUUCAUAAUUCUCUCCCGUGCCAACGGGAGAGAAAUAAGAAUUAAUGAUUAAAAACCCAGAAGUUACAUACAAACCUUUCAUCUUCAAGAAAAAUAAAGAUUAGAAGAAAAGAAAGUUAACAAUUAGAGGAUCAAAUUCUACUUUCUUUUUCUUUUUCUUUUUAUCAAAUGCAUGCGAAAAAUAGGAUUUCUAGUAGUGGCCAUAGCACCCCAUCACCGCCGGCAUCACCACUACGGUCACCAAGGUACCGCCACGGAAGGAAACCGGGCCGGUUUAGCCCGUUCCAACCAGGGCGGACCGUUGCCCAUCAUGUCGCUUGGUUACUUCUCUCGGUUCUUCUUCGUCGACAAGGGAUUUUCCUCUUUGCUCCUCUCAUUUACAUCUCUGGGAUGCUUAUUUACAUGGGCACCGUUUCGUUUGAUGUGGUUCCCCUUGUUAAACACCGGCCUGCUCCGGGUUCCGUUUACCGAAGUCCCCAAGUUUAUGAGAAGCUUAAAAUUGAGAUGAAUGAAGAUUAUUCCUCUGCUGAUGCGGUGAGUCACUUUGAUUUCUUCGGUUUUACUCUCGGGUUUUAUGAUUCCGUAUCCGACUUUUGUGCAAGGUUUUCUAUCUUGGGUCGGAUAUGUUUCUUGAUCCAUUUCAACUUUUGAGUUUGUCUUUGAUUUCUUUCUUCUUUUGGGUUUGGGUCUUAAUAGAAUUUUGAGGAACUUGGAGAAUGUAGUUGCAUUUUUCAUGAUGGUUUCAUGUUGUGUUAUUUAUUUGAAUUGAGACUUGAGUAUUUCCGAAUGAUUCUAUAAAUUCUUGAAAGUUUAGAAAUUUAGCAAUGUUUGUCUUUUUAACCUUUGAAUGAAACACAAGUAUAGAAUGCUGAAUCAAGGAAUCAUUGUAGCUUUAUUUAAAAUUUUCACUAUUGUUCUCGAGGAGUAGCACCUGGUGUCUUUGUUUUACUUGCUUCAUUUCCUGCUGUAACAAUCUUUCAGAUCGUAUCUGGAUCUGGAAAACAUGGGUUAAAUUUAUUGUUUUUCAAUGAUUAAAUCUUAAGUCCGUAUGAUACAGGUGGUUUUUAGAUAAUUUGAUGAUAGUCUUUUACAGUUAGGGUAAGAACUCAAUCACUUUAUUACCAGUUCCAGGAUGGUAAACAGUUGCCAUGGUAGCAUUUCAUAAUUGAUUAGCUGAUUAGGAACAUUUGGUCCCUUGUAUGGGUGUUAGCUCCUUUUUGUUCUCCAGCUUCUCUCAUUUUGAUUCUUAAGGGCAAUUUCAAUUAUAUACUGUGAUGGUAUCCAAUCGUGUAAUGUGAAAAUUUUUUAUCCAUUCAACUUGUUAUCGUAACUGUUUACUGAAAUAGUUGCAUGUUUAAGGCUUUGUGCAUUUUAAGUUGAUUGCUGAUAUUUUCAUCUGAUGAUGAUUCUUGAUUCGUGAUUAUAUCUGCCUUAAAGUUAUUGAAUUGUUGUAGAUUUUGACUAUUUGGAAAAAUUCCUAUAAAGGGGGGGAGUGGAGGCCUUGUGUGAGCAAGCCUUCUGAAGGUAUGAUUUCAUUCCCUUUGUUUUACUGUAAACAGUUUACAGUCCAUUCCCUUUAUUUUGGUUGCUCACUAUAUUCGCUAGUUUAAUAUUUGAUUGUUCUUUAAACUACUAUAGGUUUACCUGAAUCAAAUGGCUACAUUUAUGUAGAGGCAAAUGGAGGCUUAAAUCAGCAGAGGACAUCGGUUGUUUUUAUUCUUCAUUAGAUUCUAUUAAGUAUUUAUGCUUUACCUCCUUUUUCUAGCAGCUUGCCUAUUUUAUGAUCUUGUUAUUUAAAUUUUCUCUACAUGGUUGCUCUGGGUAUUUUGUAGAUAUGCAAUGCAGUUGCUGUGGCAGGCUAUCUUAAUGCAACACUUCUAAUCCCUAAUUUCCAUUUUCAUAGCAUAUGGCGAGAUCCCAGGUCUGUAGUCAUCUAUUUUUUUUUCUCAUGUUGCUUGUGUAUCUCAAGGAAAAAUUAUAAAUUUAUUAGUAACCAGUUCCAUAACAAAUAAAUAUAUAUGGGGAAGCUUAGCCUUAUAAAUAUUGUAUGAUCUGAUUCUGUUAUAAAGAGGUUCAUUAUCGUCACUUUUAAUUUGUGUCCUGAUAUUUUGAUCUUAGCUGUACUGAUAUUCAAUGUUGUUAUUGUUGAUUAAAAUAUUACUGAAAUUAGCUGUGUGUGCUUGCAUGCUAUUUUUUAGUUUGAGCUGUAAUCAAUUAAUUCAGGACGCUUUAGGUUUGCAAUGUGAAAUGUUAAUUCUAAAAGUUGGCAAUGCUUUUUUCCCUUCUUUUUUGGAGAAUGUAUUUAAAGCCAGACUGCCAUUAUUAUCUUCUCAUUUUAAGUUGAGAAUUGCUCUUGAGGCUUUGUUUACUGGAAAUUUAGAGAGAAGGAAAAAUUCAGGGAAGUGUUAAAACGGGUGGGGGGGGGGGGAGAAUGAUGUUAAAAAGAUAUUAUUAUAAUUUAAACAAGUUUUUUCGAUGCCUAACAAUUGUUAAAAUGAUAUAAUUGACAUUUUCCUUAAUCCAAUCAUUGUUUUGAUUCUCAAUUAUCUUGGUUCAUUUUCCUCAUUUGUAAGUUCUACACAUCAUUCCUUCUUUUCUGCAUUACAUGUGCUCCUUGUAACCAUUAUUUGAUUAUGUUUUACACAUCAGUUUGUAUCGCAUUGACUGAAAUCUGUCCAUGGUGCUUAUUUUUCCAGCAAGUUCAAAGACAUCUAUGAUGAAGAUUAUUUUAUCAGUGCGUUAGAGAAUAAUGUACAGGUUGUUGAUAAGAUCCCUGAGUACAUAAUGGAACGGUUUGACCACAAUUUGACCAAUGUCUACAACUUCAAAAUUAAAGCGUGGUCAUCCAUUCAGUAUUAUAGGGAUGAAGUGCUACCCAAGCUCCUUGAAGAAAAGUGAGUUUGAACAUUGAUUGUUUCUUUUUUAAGUUUAGCUUGUUUGCUUCAGCAACAACUAGUGAUUCCAAACUUUAUUGCUUACAGCAACACAAUGCGAACAAAAGUAUUUCUUUUUGUAUUUAUCUAUGGAUAGAAUAAUUAUUUGCUGUUUUGUUAAUUUAAGCUCAUUAUUUUAUGAUUGAAUGACAGGAUUAUAAGGAUUUCUCCUUUUGCAAAUCGCUUAUCAUUUGAUGCUCCUCCAGCUGUACAAAGACUCAGAUGCUUGGCAAAUUAUGAAGCUUUACGGUUUUCAAGUACAAUACUAAGCCUUGGAGAAACUUUGGUUGCAAGAAUGAAAAAGCUCAGUGCAAAUACAGGGGGCAAGUACGUCUCUGUUCAUCUUCGCUUUGAGGAGGUUUGUAUUAUUUAAAUAGAAAAUGUAUUUUGACAAUUGAUGACCUUUUUAAACAUAAAAAAGGACUGCUGUUGCUAUUAAUAAUAGCAUUCUUAUUGACUCCAUUUUUGUAUGACGUGUAUAAUGUACUGUUUCUGUCAUAUGCAGGAUAUGGUUGCUUUCUCUUGUUGUGUAUUUGAUGGUGGGGAGCAAGAAAAAGAAGACAUGAAAAAUGCAAGAGAAAGAGGCUGGAAAGGAAAAUUUACCAAACCUGGUCGAGUUAUACGCCCUGGAGCAAUCAGGAUUAAUGGGAAAUGCCCACUUACUCCUCUAGAGGUAUUGUUGGUUGCAUUGUUGUCUGUUUAAUAAAGUUGCUUUCAGUUGAAAAUUGAACUGGAGCAAUUUUUGCCAGAUGAUGAACUUAUUGUUCUUACUCGAAAGAAAGGAGGUAAUUUUAUUUUGUUAGAGUGGGAUGGCACUAGGUAGAAUUAGGGUAGGCCAAUGUUGCUUAGGAAUGGAUUUAUAGGUUUUCUUGAUGGUUUGUUUAAUAUCUUCUUGCACCUACUAGGUUGGAUUGAUGCUAAGAGGAAUGGGAUUCGGUAACAAUACAUAUAUCUUUUUGGCAUCCGGGAAAAUAUACAAUGCUGAGAAAACAAUGGCUCCAUUAUUGGACAUGUUUCCCAACUUGCAGACAAAACAGAUGCUGGCAUCCGAGGAAGAACUUGCUCCAUAUAAGGUCUGAAGCAUUAGCAUAUAAGAUUUGACCACCCAUUUUCCUUUAAGUAAUGCCUUUGAGAUUGGAUUAUUAUCAUCUCUUUGAUGGGAUUACUGCUUUCAGAACUUUUCUUCCAGGAUGGCUGCCAUAGAUUAUACUGUUUGCCUUCAUAGUGAGGUAUUUGUGACAACUCAAGGUGGAAAUUUUCCUCAUUUUUUGAUGGGCCAUAGAAGAUAUUUGUUUGGAGGACACUCUAAGACAAUUCGACCAGACAAGCGAAAGUUGGCAUUGCUAUUUGAUAAUCCUAAUAUUGGGUAUGCUUUUAUCUUUUUUUCAAAAAAUAAAGAUCAAUUGAUUUUGAUUUAGAGAAGAGAAAAAGAUUGAAAAUGCUCUAUUUCUGUCAUGAUUAAGGUAAGACCAGUAUUAGACUAUUGGGGAAAGGUUUUGCGAGUUUUGAAACAUUAGCAUCUAGAUAAACAUGAAGAAAUACAUCUUGAAACAGCUAUUUUAGACACUUCAGAUCUUUAUAUCAUUUAGAUUUCUUUUGCACGGUACAAACUCAAUGAGAUAUUUUAAACUUUUGAUCAUUUUGGGGAUGUCCCUAGAAAUCUAGGGGGUCUUCGUAUGUUCUAUGAGGAAACACAUAUCAUCAUGGAUUGUUUUAGAAUGCUUCUAAGAUGUGAUAAUUGUGAAUAAGAACUGUUGGAUUCAGUUUACCUUCCCUUUUUAUUCCAGGUGGAAAAGCUUCAAGAGACAAAUGCUGAAUAUGCGGUCUCAUAGUGAUUCAAAGGGAUUUGAACUGAAAAAGCUGGUUGAUUCAAUAUAUACCUUCCCGUGCCCCGAUUGCAUGUGUCGUACAAACAAAUCCACAAACCCAGGAUCAUCAUCAGCGACAUGAUCUGCUUGGAGAGGGAUCUCGAUUGCUGUCUCUUUUCCCUGUGAUAUAUCAAGCACAUCUUGAUGCUGACCCUUAUUUUGUGUGUCUAAUUUGUUCAGUCUUUUCAUCCUCUUGAUGUUGCAAGGGGGCAUACAAUUCAAUUUUGGGAGCUUUUGAGGAAACUUGUUUUUUUUUUUUUUCAGAGAUCACUUUUAUCUAUUGAUCUAAUUAUUUCACUGGGAUUGAGUUGAUGAGGAGAAGCAUCGUUUUGCAUUUGAUGUUGGAGAACAUGAAAUUUGACAAUUUUGCAAUUGAAGGGGUUAACCUCCGGCAUUAACAGGAGGUCAUUUCGCCAUUGAUGUAGCAGCUGCAGAAUCUUACACAUGGUAUUCUUUCAGUCAUACUCAGGUUUUGAUUUUUUUUUUACUUUUGUUGGAAAGUAGUUGCAGUUUGAACUGUAAAACACAGGAAGGAAUUUGGUGUACAUUUGUUAGAAACCAGGGUAUUGAUUUUUGGUGUACAAUUUUGUUUCAUGGUUUUCAAUUUUAAUCCGAUUUCACUAGCGAUUUUUGCUUAGAUAUAGUUUUCCUUGAAUCAUUUUAGGCACAGGUCUUUCACAAAGUACACGUCGGCAGUAGAGUUUUUAUUUUUUUUAUUUUUAACUACAUAAGAGUGGUUAAGAGCAAGAAACUAGAAAAAGCCAAAACAAAGAGUGAACAACUAAAAUUUAAGUCAAUAAGCUUAUGUUAUACACUGGAUCCACAAUGCGUCCGAAAUUGAAGACAAUUUGGGAUUGUCUCAAACGAUGCGACUCGUUUGAAUAAAAGUCACUUUUGCAAGAGCAUUCACUUUAUUUGUGCUUCUACUCAUCCAAAGGGAAGGAAAAGACUUGAAAUUGUGCCUUAAGAUGAAGAGAGUGCUGAACUCUGAGAUGUACCACGGCAUUGAAAACGUGUUGAGAACUGAUCUCAACACAAAUCAAAUCCUUCACAUAUGGGCAGGGUUUAACCAUAAUAAGGCCUCCCGAACAGCCGAGACUUACUAAAUUAAAAAAUACAAGUAGAAUUGGUUUACAUCAAACAAACCAACAAUUAGCCAUAUUUAUAUUAAUAAAUAGUAUAAAACUAAAUUAACAUUGUGUUGAGUAGAUGCAUUUUAAGAAAAACGGAGGAGGUGAAACAAAUUAAGAAAUGGAACAGAAAGGGUAUUUCAGUCAUGGUAUAUAAGUCGAGAAACUUUGACCAAAUCGACGACUUGCCUGUGACAGAAGCGAAUGGUGGGUUCUGGUACAAUACAAGAGUUUCAACUUUUGUUCUACCAAUAAUGCUAUUUUAUAAUGGUCAUAUACAAUAUUAGAUUUUGAAUAUAUUCCCCAGACAAGGGCUAUUAAUACUGGACAGUCCCACGACACCCUCUCCCAGCAAACAUUGUUACGUUGAAUUUUAAAUAAUUACAAAAUGAAAAACAAAUACAAAAACUAGAAAACAGAUACUUGUAAUAGAAAAAUAAAAUGCGAGGAGCAGUGGAAGUGGUGGUGGUUUGAGAGUUUAAAAGGUGCAAAGUCCAAAGAUUUUCAGAAAGGGAAAAAAUAAAUAAAUAAAUGUGUAGGUAUAUGUAUAUAAGAUAUUUAUAAGAAGGUUCCAGGUAUCAAGGGCCAAGAUCAUGUGACAGACCCAUAAGAUAAGGAGCAAACCUAAGUUAAAAGGUUUUUUUCUUUUUGCUUGCACUUUUUCUCAAAAUUCUCAAACUUAAAAAGAGAGGCAGCCAGGCAUGGUUUGAGAGAUUCAGAGAAGUAACUCAAAACCCACUUCUUUUUACACACUAUAUAAAGCAAGUUAAGAUAAUCCUAUUUGGCCUUUUAUGGUCCUAAUCCUAUAUCUUUCUUUCAGAGUCUAAACUAAAGCCUCCAAAAGCAUUACAGUUUCUGAGUUGGGGCUUGGUGGCGCCACUACUACACUUGAACUGGUCCAUCAGUUGAGACGACAAUGUUAAGAGGAGUGAAUACAAGACCGGGCAGAUAUAGUGGGGGGGCCAAAGUGGCUGUUUUCUUCUUGUGGAUUAUGUUGUUUUUUUCUCAGUUGGGUUUGCAUUUCGCUGUUCAUAAACAAGGCAGUCGGCAUAGCUUUCAGUUUAUUAGGUCCCCUCCCCCAAGGAAAGUCUGGUUUUCCGGCGCUGCUAAUUCCUUUCAUGCUCCAUCAAGCUCGCCUCACUUGCCCGGAAAUGAAGGUGAUGAAAAGAGAAUAGUUCAUACAGGCCCUAAUCCUCUUCACAAUUAAGGGGAGAAAGAAAGAAACAAAACCAGUUAGGGUGUAAGUUACUACAUGUUUUGAAAUGCUAAAUGACUGUAAGAAGGAUGAUAUUAUUAUUAUUAUUAUUAUUAUUAUUAGCUUUUGCUUCUUUUCUUGAAUAUUAUUACAGUGAAUGAUGAUGAGAAUAGAGAGCAUUGGCUUUAGCCUUUUCAGUGAUGUUUCUAAAUUAGGGUUCUUUUUUAGGGCAGUGUAAGACAAGGGGAAAGGCUAGUGUUAAUGCCCUUGUUUCUUUUGUUUGUGUUCUUCUUCUUCUUCUUCUUCUUCUCGUGUACUGUACCUUUCUCUCUGUUAAUGCUAAGAUUGAAGACAUCUUUUAAAUUAAAUAGGUUCAGUUCCUUUCACUCAUCUGCUUUGCUUUCGUGUACAACUGUUGUGCCAGCCUAUAUUUGCAGGUUCCCACACUUCCCUUCUCCUUUCUGUCAUGGGAAUUAAGAGAGCUUCAAAUAAUGUUACAAUGAAUGUUAUUGUAAUGAAUAGGUAAUAAAUAUAAACGAUAAUAAAGAGACCAAACCCUGAAAACGAAUACAAUGUUAAUCCCACCACAGAAAGGAAAUCAUAAAACGUUGGGAAAUAAUGUUGAAGCUGAAGAAUUCAUUUCUGACAUCGAGAAUUUCUUUUUUACUAUAACUAGGGUUUUAGCCCUAGGGUGUAGGUUACAGUUUUAAUAAUCCAAACUGUAUCUAGUAAUUAAUAAGGUGUUUCAUGUGGGUAAUUCACAUAAAUUAAAAAAUUCAUAAUUACCCUCAUCGUCGAACAUGUUCAUUACAUAGUAACAUAUGAAGAAUGAGGUAUAGUGACAAAGAGAGAUGAUGAGACAGCUAAUAUAUGGGCCACGUUAGCUGGUUUAGAAUAAAUCACGAAAUGAAUCAAAAUUGAUAUCUCAUUUAAAAGAAAGAGUAUGAACUUGCUAGCAGUGGGGGCAUCUGGAGUGAGGGACUGGUUUUGAUUGAUUAUUCCUAGAAGUCCCGGCCAUAUCUGGUUUUAUUGACUUAAAUGCGUCCCUCUUUCUCAAAGAGGAUGCCUGUCUCACAGGGCCAACACGUUUUCUCAUGACUUAGGAUACCGCACCUUUCCAACAUAUAUUAAUUGCCAUACUAAUUUACACUGUCUAAUUUAAUACUACUACUAAAAAUAUUUUUGCAUUCCGGUCAUUUCCCUGCUCCUUCAAUUUUUAAAAGUCUAAACAAUGAAGGUGAUCAUAUCUGUUUUCUGUAAUUAUAUCAUGUUGAAAAUUACUAUUUUGAUGUUUAGGGGAUGGGUGUGCCAUGAACAAAGUCCUACAACAACUCCAAAUUAAUAUAUUAAAAUAAAAAUAAUAAUGACUUAUUUGACUCUUCAACUUUAUAAAAAAUUUUAUUUUUUUUAUUUUUUUAUUUUUUUAGCUCUUAAACUUACGUUUUUGUCAAAUCAUCCCAAAAUAAAUGAAUAAAGUUUAACUUUUUUAACUUUGUUGAUAUUGCAUACACGUGGAUGACACACCGACAUUUAAUUUUUUUAUAAAUUUUUAAAAAUUCAAAAAAUUAUAAAAACUAUUUUAAAAAAUAAAUAUUAUUAAAAUUAUUUAAAAAAUUAUAUUAAUUUUAAGAUUUUAAAAAAAUUAAUUAAUUGAUGAUGUGUCAUGUGUGGCAAUCCACAUGUAUGCCAUGUCAGUAAAAUUAACAAAUGUUAACUUUUUCAUCCAUUUUGAGGUACUUUGAUAAAAAAAAAAGGCGAGUUUAAGGGCUAAAAGAAACAAAAAUAAAUAAAUAGAGAGCUAAAAUAAUUUUGUUAUAAAGUUAGAGGGCCAAAAAAGUCAUUAUACCAAAUAAAAAUAAAGAUUUAAAUACUAAAUAUAUAAAUAUAUAUUAGUAAUGUGUCACCUAAGGACAAGGCAUAGUUGAAGCUGUCAAGAGAAAUCUAUAAAUUAAAAAAGAAAAAAGUCAUAAAAACUUCCUUGGAAUCAGCUUUUGUCAACUAAACACAAAAAAAAAAAAAAGUUCUGAAACAUAAGAUUGGUUGGAGAAAUGAGAGAUCUUUCUUCUCUAAUUAAUAAAUUGAGAGGUUCAAAAGAUUCUAUUCAAGUGUGAGAGAGAAGAAGCAAAUUUAUGAAGGUAAGCUAUUAGUCUGUGUAAGGAAAGAGUUACCCCAUGAAAUGAAUGUUUGCUUGCGAGCCAUUAUAGUGGGAAGUGGUGCAUUUAAAUGAGUGAGUUAUACACUGCUUGAUGAGAGUGCAACUACCUCUCAUCUCUCACUAUUUAUUUAAUAAUUUUUAAAUAUUCUUAUUCAUAUUAUCUUUUAAUGGUAUUUUGUAUCCGGUAUCCAUACAUUAGCUCCACCCAUUAAAAAGUUAUUUCUAUUAUCAUUCAAUAUAAAUAAAAUAAAAUAGAGAUGGAAUCAAAUUAAACCGACUGGUAUGACCGCAAAUAAAAGAAGGCCCCAUAAGAGUUUCAUACAUAGCUGGAAUGCUAAAUUUAUGAUAAUAUAUCAACCACCCAAAGACCUUGAAUUAAUGUUUAAUCAAUGUAGGUCACGUUCUUCCUCAUCCUUAAUGAAUUGCAUGCUUUGGUUGUUGAUUUUUAUUUUUAUUUAAAAUAUAAAGCAAGCCUAAGCUUAGACAUCCACAACCUAAAUCCCUGCCAUACAGACACAGUAACCAACAGGCAGGCUUAAAGAAAGUAAUGCUUUAAUUGGGUUGUAGAACAUUCAUUAUAAAAAUUCUUGACAAGGUAUAGACUUGGAAAUCCUAGAACCUACUUAACAUCCAACUAUUACUUUAAUUGAUUAUAGCGUAUGAAUCAAUCAAUCAUACAACUUGAAGAAAAUGAUAUGUUGACCAAUCAACCUAAACAAAUACAAUUAAAAAAUCAAAUCAGACUGCUUCAGUUUGCCGUAACACUACAGAUUCAGUUUGUCAAGUCACACCUCUCUAUUUUUUUUUUUAAAGAAAAAUCAAAGGUGUAAAGUCGAUAGGGACUAAAUUUUUACUUGGAGUAUGCAUUCAGCUGGUUGACUGAGAAACUGUGCAUCUCAUUCAACGUGUCUCACAGUUUUUUAAGCUUUAACUUGAGAAAACAAGCUGCUGGUUUUUGGCACUUUGGGAUGAAAUUUUAGAAAAAAGUACCAUAAAUAUUGAAACAUUGGAUAUCUUCAUAAUGAUAACAAAUGAAAUGCCAUUAAGGUGUUAAGGCUGCUACAAUAUCUAAAUUAACUAGGAAUAAGAUACAAUUGCAAAUUUGGGUUUGGCUGGGAAAAAAAAAAGAGAAAUAAUUAAUUUUGACUUGUUGUAGUUGAAUUUUUGAAAUUUGAACUUGCCCCAUUUUAUCACCUCUAUGAAUAUCCCUAAUUCGAGUUCCAAUGUUUAAAAUCCAGUACGAGAACAUCAAAAAUUAAUUUCAAUCGUUAACAUAAUUUAAAAAAGCGAAUUAAGAAUUGAUUCAAACUUUAAAAAUAAAAUUAAGGGGUAAAGUAAUAUUUAGUCUCUAAAUUUUUAAAUUUGACAAUUUCUUUUAACUUGGCCCUUAAGUUUCUGUUGGGUCUACAUUAAUCUUAAGAUUUGACAACUUUUUUCAAUUUUAAUUCAUGUGGACCUGAUACUUUAAAAUUGUAGCACGUCAUCAUCUAAACUUUCAAAAUUAAAUUCUAAUGGGUUUCUAUUAAUUGGAUUUAGCUUGACUAUAUACCAUCCUAUGAUGUUUAUUUUAUGCCUUUGCUUAUCUUAGAACUGGUGCAGGUAUUUCAUGUAGUUUGACUGAACCAUAUGUAUUUACAAGUGUAAAGGAAUAAAAUUAUUUAAGAUCAGUUAGACUUUAAUUGUACAGUUUUAAAGAAGUCAAAAUAUAAUUUAUUAUAUUAACUUUGUAACACCCCUAACCUGUAUCCGUCGCUGGAAUAAGAUUACAGAGCAUUACCGAAAUUUACAGAACAAAUAAAUAGAUAUUUCAUAUCAUAUAGCAUUCAUAUUAGAAACCAAUCAAAAUCAAGCAUAAUGUCCCUUAUGUGAGCUCACGAUGCCCAAAAUACACAUUAGAAACAAGUCGGGACUAAAUCAGGUACUCAAAGAAUUUUUCAGAAAACAUUAAAAUUUUUCAAAGGUGCAGGAGAUACACACCCGUGUGGUCAGGCCUUGUGGCUCACAUGGUCAAGAGACACGCCUAUGUCUCAGGCCGUGUGGGCAUUCAAAAUAAGGACGCACGGCCAUGUGAGCAUACUAACUUGCAUUAAUAAGAUGCAAGGGUCACACGGCCAAGCCACACACCCGUGUGCUAGGCCGUGUGAGCAUUCUGUUUUGCACUAAUUAAAAUAUACAGGGGACACAUAUUCGUGUCUCUGCCUGUGUGGACGAAAUAGACCAUUUUUCUAGCCACAUUUCUCACCUAAUUUGUCUUCAACCUAUACACAUUAAUUUGUACAUCAUCAAGCCAUAUAAAACUACUUAAAACAAGCCAAACUCAAGUCUUAAACAUAACAUAUCAUAACAUAUAUCCAAGAAUCCAUACUUACCAAAUUAACCAAAUACACAUAUAAGCAUAUUUAUACCUAAUAUACACAUCCAAUCCAACCAUCAAUAUGCUUAUGAAUUAUCCAUCAUUCAAUCAUUCCAAUCACAUAUCAAACAUGACAAGGCCAUAUAUAUAUAUAUAUAUAUAUAUAUAUAUCAAAAUAUAUUAAACACAAGCCAUUCAAAUGGCUAAUCACAACAAAACAUUUACAUGCCAACAUUUGGCCAAAUUAACUUAUACAUGCCAUUAUAACCAAAAUUGAUUUACUAUAUAUACCGAAAUGGGCCGAUGGAUAGUGUGAAGUAGCUCCGACCAACUUCCAACCAAAUCGAGCUUUUAAAUUACUAUAAAACAUGGAAAAUAAAAUAGAGUAAGCAUUUAAGCUUAGUAAGUUCGUAUAACAUGGAAUUUAACUUACCAUUAUUUCACAUAUAAGGUAAGUAUACAAGAAUUAUGCAAACCAACUUGGCCAAAAGCCUAAACACAUAUCCUCAUCAUGUUAGCCAUGUAAACACAUAUAAUAACCCAUAAACAUGGAUGAACAUAGUCACCAAGAAAUUUCCAUACAUGUAGCAUCCAUCUCAUAUUUCAAUAUAUAUCAUGUAAUAUCAUUUCCAUGUAAUUUCAUAUAUAUAUUGAUAACAGUUCAUAUCGGAUUCACAUUUUCUUAUAACAAAACAUUGCCCGUCAAACCAUUUAAAAUAUCGUUGGAUACACGGGUAGUACACACGAGGUGUACAAAUCUAUAAUUCGUCAAUUCAUAUACAGGUAUGCCCAUACGAGCAUGUUAACGGGAAGCUCUUCUGAGUCAUGUAACGAGAAGCUCUUGCGAGCCAAUUAUCGGGAAGCUCAUACGAACCAUAAACGAGAAGCUCAAGAAAGCCUUAAUUGGGAAGCUCAUGAGAGCCAAAUAUCGGGAAGCUCAUGAGAGCCAUAUAACGGGAUGCUCAUAAGAGCUAAAUAACAGAACGCUUUUGUGAGCUGUGGUGUGACCGCAACACAUGCAGGACCACAACCAAUUCGGGAACCCUUAAUGACAUGUCAUUUGUAUCUAUCGUAUUUUCAAGGUUCAAACGGGACUUAGUACUUGUCGGAUAUGUGAUCAAUACUUAUACAUGGCAAUUAUACAUUUCACAUACAUAUCAUUCAAUUUAAACAUAUAAAUAUACAAUUUAGUUACACGAACUUACCUCGACAAGUAUACGUAGAUUUGUAAGCUACUAAUCCGAUACUUUUUUUUCCUCGAUCCAAUUCCGUACUAUCCGAAUCUAUACGAAUGAAUUCAACUCAAUUUAAUACAAUUCACAUUCAAUUCAGUCCAAUACACAUUUUUGGAAAAAUUAUUAAUUUGCCCCUAUACUUUAAUUAAUUACGAUUUUAUCCCUAGGCUCGGAAAAUAAAAUUCAUACAAUUUAAUCCUUAUUUAGAGCCUAAUCGAUUUUUAUCUAUAAAAAUAACAGCCCAUGUAUUUCAUAAAAUUCAAAAAUUUUCCAUGAAUUUUCCAUCUUUUCAAUUUAGUCCCUAAAUCAUAAUUUCAUCAAAAUUCUCUUUACAAAAGUUGUUUAUCUAUCAACAACCUUUCAUUUUCUACCAUAAAACUUCAUAAUUCAACUAUACUUAUCCAUGGAAAAAUCUUAACACUUUAAUAUUUUUGCAAAUUAAUCCCCGAGAUAGCUAGAUUAAGCUAUUGCGAUCUCGGAAACAUAAAAAUCAUUAAAAACGGGACAAGAAUACAUACCUAAUUAAGCCAAAUAAGUUUGCUAGAACUUAACUUCCAUGGCUAGGGUUUCCAUGUUUUUUUUUUAGGAAAGAUGAUGAAAAUAAUAUUAAUUUAAUUAUUUAUUUCAUUUAUCAUCAUUAUUUUAUCAUCUUUCUAAAAUUAACCUUAAUAUUUCUUCAAUUUCCAAUGAUGAAUAAUCAUCAUUAUCUACUAAAUCCUCUAAAUGGUCCAUUUGCCAUAUAAGGUGAUCCGAUCACACCUCAUAAAAAUGAUUGGUGGCGACUCCAUACUCAUUUGUUUUAAAAUAAAAGUCGAUUCAGAAAAGGUUUUGACACAACCAUUUUGACCAUUCCUAUCAUUUGACAAAAUAUUUCUAGGUAAAUGCCAUUGACAUAAUGAAAGAGUUAUACAAACUAAGGUUAAGUCGACUGUUGUUGCUUGGAUGCUGACUUCACUUUCCUAGGGCUUCGAGAAUACUUGUACUUGUGCACGAAAUAAACAAGCCGUACGUUGAACGAUAAAGCUCAAUGAUACUUUUAUGUUCCAAGAUAAUCUAAUAUAAGAUAACAAUAGCAAUAUGACAUGAUGCACAUAGUCUCAAUGUCUACCAAUACAUAUUCCAUAUUAUAACACAUUUAAAUAACCAUUUUCACAUGAAAUUGCAUAUAUAUCAAGUGGCAAGCCAAUUCAACUAUCGUGGCAAUGAAAAUGAUCCAAUCCAAUUACAUAUACCAAAAACCUAUUUUAAAACCUUUUAGCAAUCAAUACCAAAUCGUAAUUCAAACAUUUAUAAUCUUAAAACCUUUUAGCAAUCAAUACCAAAUCGUAAUUCAAACAUUUAUAAUCUUAACAUUAUGACAUUCAAUCCUAAUUUCAUUACACGUCAUUUAACCAUUUACGAAUUAUUCAAUUCACUUUUCUGGAGUCUAUCGACUCAUUCAUGCUCAUCUCGGCCUCUAAGGCUCAUUUACAACUAAUAUUUACAACCAUUCAGUUGCUUUCAUUAUUAUUAUUUAUUCUCAUAUGCAUAUUAAUGAUCCUAUAUCAUUACAACAUUUCAAUUCAGCACCAUUACAUAAGUUUACCAUUCAUAAUCCUUAUUCACAUGACUUGAACUGCAACACCCCUAACCCAUAUCCGUUGCCAGAAUAGAGUUACAAAGCAUUACCGGAAUAAACAGAUCAAAUACAGACAUUUUAUAUUAUUUAACAUUCAUGUCAGAUAUUAUUCAUAAAGUUUCUUAUAUGAGCCAUCGAGACCCAAACAUACAUUAGAAACAAGUCGGGACUAAAUCGGGUACUCAGAAAUUUUUUUACGAAAUUUCAAAAUUUUUCCUAGGUGCAGGGUACACACGUCUAUAUGGUCAGGCCAUGUGGCUUACACUGUCAAGAGACACGCCCGUGUCUUAGGUCGUGUGGACAUUCGAAAUAGGGCACACGGCCAUGUCCCAGCUUGUGUUCGUACUUGUGUAACUCUCUGACUUAGGUCACACAGUCAAGCCACACGCCCGUGUGCUAGGCUGUGUGAACAUUUUUAAAUAAGUGCAGGGGUCACAUGGCCAAGCCACACGCCUGUGUGCUAGGCCGUGUGAAAAAUAUUGAGCAUUUUUUUUUAAAUUUUAAAGAUGCAAGGGACACACGACCAAGACACACGCCCAUGUGCUAGGUCGUGUGUCACACACGGCUGAGACAUAUGCCUGUAUGGACAAAAUAGGGUUAUUUCCAAGUCAUAUUUCUCACCCAAAUUUUCCUUCCACCUACAUAAACACUUAAACAUAUUCUCAAGCCAUCUCAAAGCACUUAAAUCAAACCAAAAUCAUGUCUUAAACUUGACAUAUUACACAUACAACCAAUGUGCUCUUAGGCACCCCAAUAGACAAUUUAUUAUUAUGUCAUUCUAAAACUUAUAUUUACCUAGAUACCAAAUGCAUAUAUGCAUAAUCAAAUUCAUACUUCAAACAUGAUAAUACCAUAUAUAUCAAAACAUGACCAUUACAAGCCAUUCCAAUGAGUAAUUACAACCAAAACAUGUGUAUGCCAACAUUGGCGAAGUUAUCUUACACAUGCCAUUAUAACCAAAGUUAAUUUACUUAAUAUAUCGAGAUGAGCCGAUGGAUAGUGUGAUGAUAUCUCCGCCAAGCUUCCAACCUAACGAGCCUCUGAAUUACUAUAAAGUAGAGGAAAAUAAACAGAGUAAGCAUAUUAUGCUUAGUAAGUUGGUAUAAUAGGAAAUUAACUUACCUAUCAUUUACAUUUAAAGUAAGCAUGCAAAAUUCAUCCAAAGAAAUUUGGCAAUUUGCCUAAAUACAUGUAAUCUCAAUAAACAUGUUAGUUAUGUAAUUCAUGUGAAUAUCAAGAAACAAGGAUGAGCUCAUCAUGUAAAAAUUUCAUAUACAUAUACUUUCCACAUCAUAUAUCUAUAGAACAUGUACAUCUCCAUAAUAAUUUAUCUCAAGUUCAAAUUAUCUCAUGUCAGAACUUUGCCCGUUGAAUUUAUUUGAAAUAUCGAUGGACAAACGGGUAGUACACACGAAGUGUACUAUCUAUAAUCCGUCAAUUCAUAUUCGGGAGUACUCCUUAGAGUACAUUAUCGGGAAGCCCUCUCUCAAGCCAUAUAACAGGAAGCUCAUGUGAGCCAUGUAUCGGGAAGCUUAUCCGAGCUGUUUAACGGGAAGCUCAUAAGAGCCAUAAUCAGGAAACUCAUGCAAGCCAAUUGCGGGUAGCUUUGAAGAGCCAUUAAUCAGGAAGCUUCGGAUAGCUAUAUAUCGGGAAGUUCAAGCAAGCCAUAUCGGGAAGCUUCGGAGAGUCAUUAAUCAGGAAGCUCACAAAGAGCCUUUAAUCAGGAAAAUCACGAAGAGCCAUAUAUCGAGACGCUCAUAAGAGCUGUGGUGUGUCUACAACACAUGCAGAACCACAACCAAUCAGGAUGCUCUUUCGAGCUAUGAUGUGUCUGCAGCAUAUGCAGGACUACAACCAAAAUGGGAAAUCCUAUAUCCGUCGUAUUUCAUUUAUUCAAACAAGACUUAACCUUUAUCAAGAUUUUUCGGACAUGUAAUGAAUUUCAUAUAAAUAACAAUUACACAAUUCACAUAUACAAAAUUUAAUUCAAACGUAUAAAUAUGUAUAAUUUAGUUACACGAACUUACCUUGACAAUUGUUCGUGUACGUAAAAUCAACUAAUCGUACACUUUUUCUUUUCCACGAUCUAACUUUGUAUUUGAUUUAUUCGGAUCUAUACGAAUGAAUUUAACAUCAAUUUAAUACAAUUCAUAUUCAAUACAAUCCAAUUCAUAUCUUAGGCAAAAUUACCAUUUUCCCCCAUACUUUUAAUUAAUUUUGAUUUCGUCCCUAGGCUCGAAAAAAUGAAAUUCAUGCAAUUUAAUCAUUAUUGCAAGUCUAACUGAUUUUUACAUAUAACAUUUGCAGCCCAUGUAAUUCAUAAAAUUCAGAAUUUUUCUAUGAAUUUUACAAAUUUUCAAUUUAGUCCCUAAAUCACAUCACAAUUUCAUCAAAAUUCACUUGACAAACGUUGUUAAUCUAUCAACAACCUUUCUUUUUCUACCAUAAAUUUCAUAAUUCAUACAUAUUAAUUCAUGGCAAAACCCUAGUACUUUGAUAACUUUGCAAAUUAAUCCCCGAGAUAGCUAAAUUAAGCUAUUACGAUAUCGGAAACAUAAAAAUUACUAAAAACGGGACUUGAAUACUCACCUAAUUGAGCCAAAUAAGCUUGUUACCUUCAAGUCUUCUAACUAGGGUUUCCAUGUAAAAAUAAUUCCGGAAAGAAUUUUCGUCCUAAAAAACCUUACCAGUAAAAAGGUUCGGAUAUUGUUUUCUCAUUGCUUCUUCAGGUUCCCAAGCAGCUUCUUCUAUUCCAUGUCGUUGCCAGAGAAAUUUUACUAGGGCUACCUUUUUAUUUUUCAAUUCUUUCGUCUCACAUGCCAAAAUUCUGAUCGGUUCUUCACUGUAAGUCAUGCCAGGUUGAAUCUCAACCUCUGUUGGGGAGAUAACAUGUGAAGGAUCUGACUGAUACCGCUGCAACAUAGACACGUGAAAAACAUUGUGAAUUCUGUCAAGUUCUGGCAGUAGGGCCAAUCGGUAUGCAACAGUUUUGAUUCUUUCAAUAACCUCAUACGGCCCAAUAAAUCGCGAACUCAAUUUGCCUUUACGGCCAAACCGAAGAACUUUAUUCCAAGGCGAAACUUUCAAGAAUGCUUUGUCGCCAAUUUGGAAUUCUAUUUAUUUUCGUUUAAGAUUUGCAAACCUUCACCAUUUUUGUCACCCCAUCACUUGCACUUUCCAUUGAAUCAAUUACAAUGGUUACCGAAACAUCUCACCCUUAUACAAUUACAUCUAAAUUUAAUUACUAGGUGACUUUCUAAGCACUACAUUAAUUUUAGUUCAAAUUAUAUUUUUUAAUGAUGGAAUAAGGUAUUUAUGCGAUUGAAAAUACCAAUAGAAUACGAUGCAUAUUCCUUUUUGGUGCUUUCAUGCAAAUUUGACAAAGCACCUAAUUUUAGCAUUUACUAUUGGAUGCUUUGGUGCUAAUUAGAUAAAAACAAAUUAUUUAGUUUGGAUAGGUGGAGAUAUUUUCGCAGCUAUAUUUUUCUUUUCUUUUCUUUUCUUUUUGCGAACAAUAUUCAAUUUAUUAUAUAUUAGAUUGCUUCAUUUAAUUUGAAAUAAUUCACGCACAUAUCAUGUGCUCACUUUCAAAUAUUGCAAUUUUUAAAAUGGAUUAAAUUGUUGGCUACUGUAUUUAGUCCAAAAAUUUAUUAUUAUUUAGGGAUGAAAUCGUGCCAAUUCAAUGCCCAUUAAUGUUUUAUUUCUUUAAAUUGGUUUAUGAAGCCAGAAAUUCGGCCACUUCGUUUAACAAAACCAUGGGCUCAUCGCAAUUGGGUGACGAAACUGCUAAACCAGGGCUUACGGGCUUUAGUUAGAGGCCCAACUUAAAACAAUCUUUUAUUUUUGGUACAAAAAUUAUGGCCAACAUAUACGUUUAACUUAAUCUCUAUAUUUUUUUUAUAAGUCAACCAAGCACCAACUCAAUUAGAAAAAUUGUAUAUUAUUCGAGAGCACUUUAGCCUUUUUUAUUCUUUUUAAAAAACUAAUAAAAAAUUACAAAUGGUGGGAUUUGAAUUCGUGCUAUUUACAUCACUAAAACAUUAAUUUUACUACUAAACUAAAACUUUAUCUUAAUAUAAUGUUUACAUUUUAAUUGUAUUGUGCAUAUAAUAUUACCUCCAUCAAUUGUAUGUGUUUACUUACUAUUAUUUAAGCCAUUAACUGAGUUGGUGUCACGAGUCAACCGGACAUCAACUCAGUUAGAGAAAUCAUGAAAAUAUCCUUCCAUGAUUAAAAUAAAUUAUAUUAUUCGAUGGUACUCAAUCUUUAAUAAAACAAUAAAAAAUUUCAUAUGUGGUGGAAUUUGAACACAUAUUAUUUACUUUAAUUAAACAUUAAUUUUACCACUAAACUAAAACUCUAUCUUAAUAUAAUAUUUACAUUUUAAUGGUAUUAUGGAUAAGAUAUUACCUCCAUGAUCAAUUGUAUAUCUAUACUUGCUAUUAUUUAAGCCACUUACUAAGUUGAUAUCAUGAGUCAACCAAGUACCAAUUCGGUUAGGAAAAUUACAAAAAUAUCAUUCUGUAUUUAAAAUAAAUUAUUUUAUUUGAUGGUACUUUAGUCCUUUUAAUUUUUUUAAAUCCAAUUAAAAUUUUAUUUAUAGUGGGAUUUGAACUCAUGCUAUUUACUUCAAUUAAAUAUUAAUUUUACCAGUAAACUAAAAUUUUAUUUUAAUAUGAUAUUUACAUUUUUAGUGUAGUAUGCAUACAAUAUUAUCCCCAUCAAUUGUAUAUAUAUACUAUUAUUUGAGCCCCAACUGAGUUGGUGUAAUGAGUUAACCAGACACCAACUCGAUUAGAGAAUUUAUGAAAAUAUCUUUCAUAAUUAAAAUUAGUUGUAUUAUUCAACUGUACUUUAGUCUAUUUAAUUUUUUAAAAAAACUAAUAAAAAUUUAACCUAUGGUAAGAUUUAAACUCGUAGUAUUUACUUGAAUAAAACAUUAAUUUUAUCACUAAACUAAGACUUGAUUUUACAUAAUAUUUAGGUUUUGGUUGUAUUAUGUAUACAAUAUUAUCUCCAUCAAUUGUAUAUCUACCCAUCGACUCUGAAAAUCUACAAAAAUGACUAUUUAUAAUUAAAAAUAUAAAAACAAUAAAUAAUAAAAGUUUUCACUUUUUGGGGAGAACACCCUUUUUGUAUAAAAUCUUGUUUAUUUAUUUUAUUAUAAUUUUUAUUGGUGUGGCACACUCCUCCGUAUACAACACAACACUGUAAAUUAUUGUAAAAAAGUAGGUGAUUUUGAUGGUUGUUGAUGAUUUGGUUUUGGCUCUUCCUCUGUUGGUGUUCUAAUCGGUCUAGUGGCGGCAUGCAUGUUAGGACAACCUCAUCUCUAGUGCUCUCUUCUCUCCCCCCUAGUUUGCUGGUCAAAAUUGGCUAUUAGGUAGGCUUAGGCCUUAUGCUUUCCUUUAUGCUAUAAGUGGCCUUUUUUAAUGAAUGUCUUGAAUAAAAGAAAUGUAAUAUUUUGCAGAAAAUUGUUAUACGGUUUUAAUUAUUAGUCAACAUCUUCUUUUAACUCAAAUUAAUCGGAGAAAAUACAAUAAAAAAUUAAAAUUAAGAGAGGGGUAAAAGACACUUCCCCCUUAGGUUUAGAGUAAAAUACACUUACCCACUUACCCCAUUGAUAUUAUUUAUUUAUGUAUUUUCUUUUUCGUUUAUUCACUUUUUCAGUUUUAAUUACAAAAUAAUGGAAAUUUAAUUACAUAUUAAAGUGUUAUAAAAUUAAAUGUAUUUGACUUUUCAUAAAAAAUAUUUGACUUCAAUUAAAAUUAAGUAUUUUACAUUUAUAUUUAAUUCAGUUAUAUAUUGAAUUUGUGAUGAAUUGAAUUAGAGUUGGUUCAACUCUCAAUAUAUUCAUAUUUUUAUUUUUAAAAUUAAAAAAUAUAUAUAUCCUUAAAUAAUAUAACUUAUUUUAAAUAUGAAAAUAUAUUUUUAGUAAUUUUCUUGAUUGAGUUGGUAUCUGAUUGACUUGUAAUAUCAACUCAGUUGGGGUUUAAACAAAAGUAUAAAUUAAGAAUUUAGGGUGCAUUUUUACAUGAUAUAACAACUAUAAGAAAAUGUAGUAGUCGAGGCAAAGUUUAAAAAAAUUUGAAGAAGUGAAAUUAAGUUGUAUAUUUUUAUAAUAGUAAAAAUGUAAUUUUAUUAUUUUAAUAGCCUAUAUUUUUAUAAUUUUUAAAUGAUUAAAUUAAAAUUUUAUCACUUGGGGGAAAAUUUAUCAUUAUUAAUUUAAAAUUUUAUAAAUUAUAAAUAGGUUAAAAAAAUUAUAUUUUAAGGGAGAACAAGAGCCUUGCCAGUUCUUUUAAUUUCACCAUUGGUAGUAAUUAUACCCUCUUUUUAGAUACGUUUAUCUUAAGUUGGUGUAAAAACAACAAUGACAUGAGAGAAAAAAUAAACUAAGCGUAGCGUAAUCCAAACUCAUCCUUAAUGCGUUUGAAAUAGACUAACAAAUUAAAAUUUUCAAACCAAAGCUUAAAAGCCAUCCAAAUAUAUUUAAUUAUAAUACAAGGAUUUCAUCAAAUUCAAAAACAGAAAUGUGUAAUGAAGAGAAUUACAUCAAAUCCAAUAUUAAAUUGUAUCUUAAUUAUUUCAAUAUGUAGUAAAGAAGUUUACCAAAAAUAGAAAUAAACUAAAAGUAAAAGAAGGUUAAUGAGGAGCCACGUGUGAUGCAAUGAAUGAAGGGGUUGGUGGGCGUAAAUUAGCAGCCCCUAGUCCCAAAAUCAGAACUUUUGGGGGGGUCAUAAAAAUCACAGCCUUUAAUGCGCCCUCCUUCUUUUCUUAUAUAAAUAUCCUCCCAAACUCUCAACGGACUCAAUCGCCUGGCUCUUCUUUUUCCUAACUGCGCAAAUUCCCCCUCCUUUUUUACCAAUUCUGCAACACCCGGAACUUGUUUGUCUUUUUCUUCUUUAUUUUUUUAGAUUCAAGACGAAUUUUUGUGAAUGGUGGAAACAAUUCGGAUUUCUAGUAAUUUCAUGCUCUCCCUUUGUAAAUCGAGGGCGAGCACCCUUUUCUCCGUUUCUGCAGUCUCUGUUUUCGCAUUUGGUUCUUGUAAAGCUGGCUGGUAUUACCGCUGCCUUGGCCUUGACCCACAAAUCCCUUGCAAUCUCCGCCCAUAACCCAGAUUUCUUUAAAAUCUAAGAAAAACAAAAUAAACCCAUUGUUUCUGUUUUUCUUUUUCUUUUUUUUUCAAAUCUCGGUUUUUUGGUGAAAUAUUCGCUCAUUUGAUUGUUUUAUUUUGAUUAAAAAAAAUGGUGCUUUACAAGCAGAAGAAGAGCCAGGGUCCUAAGGGCAACAGGCUGUUGGUUAGCAUCACUGUUUUGGGAAGUGCUGGGCCGAUCCGUUUCGUUGUUAACGAAGAAGAGCUGGUUUCUUCUGUUAUAGAUACUGCUUUGAAAGCCUAUGCUCGUGAAGGUCGGCGCCCGGUUCUAGGAUCCGCUAUCAGUGGUUUCUUCCUUUAUUGCCCCAGUGCUGGAUCAGAUGGUAAGUCGAUUGAGAUCCCUCUUGAUCUAUCUCAUGAAAUUUCGUCAUUAAUUUCACUUCAAUCAUACGAAUGAAAAUUUCCCUCUAUUUUAUUGGUGAAGUUGUACAAGUCAAAAUCACCUGGGUUUCUAAUUAAUAAAACUCAUGUUGUUGGGUUAUUGUAUUGUAAUUGCAGCACUGAAUCCAUGGGAGACAAUUGGAUCACAAGGGGCAAGGAAUUUCAUUUUGUGCAGGAAGCCAAGCAAUGAGAAAAUGGAAGAUGAUGGAAGAUCAGCAAACUCAGUUACUGGGAAAGGAAGUGGGAAUUGGAAGGCAUGGAUCAACAAAUCACUCAAUCUUAAGAUUUCUUCCCAUUAUUAGAUAAUUCUCAUACCCUUUAUCAUCGUGUGCUUCUUGGGCUAGCUUUACUUUCAAGCUAAGGACUUGUACAAUGGAUAUGACCAUUUUAGAAUCUUGGUUAUCAUCCAUGGGAUGUUUAUUCAGGAAUAAAAUCAAGCUGUUAUUCGGUGUUUUUGCUUUGAAAAGUGUUGCAUUCUGUUUGAAACCAAUAUUCCAAUUUUUGAGUUGAGCCGUUUACUCGUUGAUUACGAUUUGAGUUUUUAGAUAUGAGGUUUCAGCAAGGUAGAUCAAUCAAUCUCAAAUUCUUAUCUAAUCAUAUACAAUAUUCAAAUCCAAUUAGGGUAACCAAAUGUUUGGUUAAUUAUUAAUCGAAAUAAAUUAUUUAAAAAAUAUUCAAAAAAAACUAUAAAAAUAAAUUAUUUUAUUUUAUUAAAAAAUUAAAAUAAAAUUAUUUAAAAAAAUCUAAAUUAUCAUAUUUAUCUUUCAUCCAAAUUUAUUCAACAUAAUACAAAAUAUUAUAUUAAGAAGAUUAAAACUAAAAAAAAAAAAUUUUAAAAAAUCAAUUAUUAUAUUCUAUAUUUAAAUCUACUAAUUUAUCACAUUUUUUUUAAAUAUAAAUUUAAUAUUUAUAAAAUUUAUCAAUGAAUCUUCUAUAUUUAAUUUUUCAACAUUCAAUCAAAUACACCUUAAUUUAUAAAUAUAUAAAUAUUUCUAAUGACUUGCAUUUUAUCUACAACUAGUACUGUUUUGUAUUGGGUUAAUUUAAUUUUUGACAAAAUUUUCAUAAAACCUCUAGAAUUUUGAAAAUUCAGUUUAAAGUUGUUAAAAAUGAUAGUUAGUGUUCCCUCUCCAAAGUAUUAGAAUAAAAGUUGAAGUAAAAAAUUGUAGACUAAUGGUGAGUUUGGAUGGGCGGCGCAUUUACCUGCAGCUAGCGUAAAAAUAGCGGUGGCGGUGAGAUUAGAUACUGUAGCGAUACUGUAGCAUGAGACAAAAAAUAAGCUAAACGCAUCGCAUCGCAUCGCACCGCACCCAAUCGCCCAUCCAAACCCACCCUAAAACUUUAAAGAUUACUUUAUUUAAUGGUUAUGCUUAUUAUGUUAUUUGAGAAAAUUCAAUUAAGAAUAGAAAUAUGUUGAAGAGUAAGUACAUGCUUUUUGUUAGACUUUCUAUAUUUUUAAACUGGCCUUUAUUUUCAGGGUUAUAUCUUUUUAUUGGUUUUGGGCGUUGAAAGAGGGAGAGUAGAGGUGAUCAUGGGUUGGGCUACCCAGUUCGACCAGACGGCCCGCCUGAAAAUGGGAAGGUUCGUGUAAAAAUAUAGGCUCGAAAUAUGGGUUUGGGCAAAAAACGAGGCCCGUUUAGAAAACGGGCCGAGCCUCAGGUAAAACUUUUUGGGCCCGGGCCCGGCCCGAAUUAUAUAUUAAAUAUAUAUUUUUAUUUUUAAUCAAAUAUACUUUUUAAUCAAAUAUAUAUUAAAGAUAUACUUUUUUGGUGUUAUAAAAUUUAAUAUGGGCCGGGCCGGGCUCGGGCUUAACAAUUUUCUUUCGGGUCGAGCCUAGAAAACAGGCCUAAAUUUUUGUCUGGGCCCGACCCGACCCAUGAUCACCUCUAAGGGAGAGACCGCACACCUCUUUUAUCUUUUUGUUACACACAUUACUUUAGGCACCCAUUAUCAUUGUUUUAGUUUCUUCUUUUUUACUUUUUUCUUUAGAAUAAAAUUUUCUUCCAUUAUUCUUUGAUUAUUUUGGUGUUAAUUUGUGAGAUCGGGACCACUUUUUAAACCUUUAUUAUAUCAAUAUUUGCUUCUUUUUUUCAGAUUACGAUAAAGAUAGGAUCUUCUUUUAUCAUAGUUUUUGGCAUCGCUUUAAUAAGGAUUUUUGUUCGAUGUUUUAAACAAUACACUAUCGAUAUUUUACCGAAGCAUAAUUUUGUAUGGUUUGAUUGGGUGCGUAGUUGGGUGACACCAUGGGAUUAAGUGAUUUAAUUUAAAUGGUCCAUGUUGUUGAGAUCAUUAAUUAAAGUCAGGUUCUUCUCAUUUUGCAAGGCUGCCAAGGAAUUAAAUUGUAAGAGCUGCUCUUAAGGUUGUUCAAUUGACAAGGGUUAAUUGUCGGUGAUAAGAGCAGUGUAACAUUAUCGAAUUAAGUUGUUGAGCACGAGAAGACCAAACCAGAAUUUGGAAAAGAAGAACUAAACAUAUUAGAAACCGCGCAAGAACAUGAGAAAAUAAAGCGCAAGUAUAAGAAAAACAAUCAAUUUUGAGAAUAAAGAAAGUCUCAUCAAAAUAUGCGAUCUUGAGGGCAAUGCAAUCAAUCCAAAUUAUUGAUUGUUUCUUGAUUUGAAAAAAUGAACAAUAAGAAUACGUUAGAACUAGAAAAACUGAAAUUAACAAGAAAAGAAAAUAUAUAAAGAUAUGUCUUAUGAAACCCUUUGAAGAAGAAUUCCAACAAACACCAUCAAUGACUCUAAUCUACCCUUUAAGGUCGAACCCUUGAAGAAACCAACUUAAAGAAUUGUAUUGAAUCAAAUAGUUUUGGUGGAACUAAACUUUUUUAUUGACUAAGAAAUAUAAAACUUCUAAAUAACUUAAGAUACUUAAAAAUAUCCUAAAAUUUGAAAUAAAAAAUAAUAAAAAAUUAAAUUUUAAUUAAUAUAAUAUUGUGCUCAUAUAUAAUCAAAAUUAAACCUUAAAAUCGAACUCAAUAUGAUUUAAACUCAAAAUAAAAGCUCGAAACUCAUAAUUUCCCUUAAUAAUCUCAUCAAGAAAUUCUAAUCACCCAGUCUUCACUAAAACAGUCAUAACUUGAGCUCCCGAACUCGCAAUCAGAAUCAAGCGAUUCAAAGUGCGUUUCGAAGCUAAUAGAUAGAACUUCAAUCAUUACCAAAUAUCUUAACCUACAAAUGCCUCAGUUUAAGUCGACUGAUCUUUUGAGCUUGAAAAACAACUUCUAUGAAUUUAAGUUAAAAUUUACCCCAUUCAUGCAUGUAUUGUAACACCCCAAACUCGGCCUAAACGUUAUGGUCGAAUCUGGCGAUGUCACAUUGUAACACCCCUUACCCGUAUUCGACGCCAGAAUAGGGUAUGAGGCAUUACCAAAACACAUACAUUUAUAAACGUAUUAAACUGAGUUAUAAAAUUUCAUACAGAUUAAAACUUUCAAAUUAUUAUCUUUGAAUCACUAAUUAAGGCUUACAAGGCCCAAUAUAUAAAUACUCAUUCGAUCCAAGCCUUAUAGCUAUCACCAUUUGUUCAUUUCAUAGCCAUAUAUCAAUUAUUACUUUCUCGUCAUAUGAAUUUAUCAAUUAUUACUUGCUUCUCGCGAUUACCUGAAUUGAUCCGUAUCAUUUCAUAUUCUCGUAUCGUCAUAUUUUUCCUAUUAAACCAUUGUAAUAUAUUAAAUAUUCAAUAUCUUAUAAAGAUUCGCUAAUCUAUCCCAUAUACUUUCACACAGAUUAAUUCAUAAUUCACAAGUCUUAUCAUUUCAAAGCUUAUAAGACACAUGUACAUAUCUAUACUAACUCGUAUGAGUCUCAUACUCAUUCAUAUGCUCAAUAAAUACGUUAAAUCAUUUCAACAUUGAAGAAUCCACAUUAUGUCAGAAACAAUACUAAUAACAAUCAUAAAUCUUUUCAUAUUAAUUUCAUAUAUCACUUAUUGAACUUCAAAUAUCAUUUCAUAAAUAUGUAAUUCACUAACACAUCUUGCCAUAUACAAUAUCCAAUUGGUGAAAUCACUUAAUUGAACUCACUUCAACAAUCACAAUAAAUCUAUCACUUGAGUGUGAGUCCAUGUAACACUUACCAACUUUGUCAAAUUAGUGAACGUCUUAUGGAAUUGAGUACUUUAUUUUCUCGAUGCCAUAGUCCAACUAUGGUCUUACACGUAAUCACAUAACAUAUACCGAUGCCAUAGCCCAGCUAUGGUCUUACAUGGAAUUACAUAUCACUUAUUGCCAUGGUCCAUUCAUGGUAUUUUCCGUCAAUUCGUCUUUAUCAUUGAACGAAAGUACUCAACCUACGUUCUACUCAAUUUGAACUUUCUUUCCAAUUUAUCUAUCUUUCUCAAUAAUCAUAAUUCAACCAUGAAUAUAUAUAUAGAAUAAUACAUUAUGUCAUGCAUAAUACUAACAAAUAAUUGUUUGGUUUCAUCCAUAUGAAUUUGCAAUUCAAUUCAUAAUAACUAAUUGAAAUGAAACUUUAUGUCAUUUCUAAUUCAACAUUUAUCAAAUAUAAUCGGCAUAUGACCAAUUUAUAUACAAAUUAUUCAUAUAUUUUAUUUUUCCUCCUCCUCCUCUCCAUUCCACAUCCUUAAUGUACAUAACACUCUUAUAAAUAACAUUUUCUAUAAUUUUACUAUUCACUCACAUGUAUAUUCAAAGCUGUCUAUCCAAGUCAGAGUCACUAAAUUAUUUUUAUCCGGAGCUACAGAGAUCCAAAUUAAGAUCCGUUAAUUUUCCCUGAAACAAAAUUCACAUAUCUUCUUACCAUAAAAUUUUCAGAAAUUUUUUCUUAUCCAAUAAGUACAGUUUAUUCUUUAAAGUUUCCCAUGUUUCACUGCUCGACAGUUUUGACCUCUUUUCACUAAAAAUUAAUUACCUCACUGUACAGAAUUCAGAUGGUACUUACGUUUAUUUAACUUAAAAUUAGACUCAUUCAGGGUUCUAAACAUAUAAAGUUUAGCCCAUAAUUAUUUUUGUACAAUUUUUAACAAUUUUCCAAAGUCAAAACAGGGGAUUCCAAACUCAUUCUGACCCUGUCUCACUAAACUUAAGAUAUAUAAAAAUUUAUAAGUCUUGUUCUUGUUCUAUUUCUUUUAUGUAAAAAUAGACUCAUUAAGCUUUCAUUUAAUAUCUUAUUCACUCUCUAAUUCGAUUCCCACCAUUUAUGGUGAUUUUUCAAAGUCACACAACUGUUUCUGUCCAAAACUAUUUUUUUGUUAAUUCUACUAUUUCAUUAUUUCACUUUUUCACUUUCGAUCACUAUUCAAUUCAAUUCCACACAUAUAUUCAUCAUUCAAUUACACUUAAUCGUUACAUGAUCUCAUGUAUUUUCACUUAGCCAGUUUCCCGUUGAACACUCGGAAUAUACACGGAUACAUAGAGAAUUAGCACAUAAGUGCCACACUAAUAUUAGCCGAAGCUACCCCUGAUAUGUAGCUGUAACUACCACUGAAAUGUAGCCGAAGCUACCACUGAUAUGUAGCCGUAGCUACCAUUGAAAUGUAGCCGAAGCUACCACUGAUCAAUAACGCUGGAAAUGUCCACGGGCCUCCUCACACAAGCUGUCAGGUAUUUGCAACACAUGCUAGAUCACCCAGCACCCGGGACUCACUGUAACACUGGUCUCUAGUGACAUGUCACUUGUGUCCACUUCUAUUCCUAAGUUCAACCGGGAAUUUACACUUAACACUUUAUUUUAAACACUUUAUCACUUGAAUAAUUCAUGAACAAUUUUCCUUCCACAUUCAAUAGUAAUUCACAUAUCAAAUAUAAUUCACAAUUUAUAAAAAUAUAUUGCUAUUAUUUACACGUAACUUAUUUUGGUGCAACAAUAUAAAAAUUUAGCAAUUUAGUUUUUAAUCAUUUCUUUUCUCCGAUCAAGGUCGAUUCCACUUCUUUCUUGAUCUAUAAUAACACAUUUGACUUAUUUAAUACUCACAUUUAUCAAAACAGUCCUUGACUCAAACUUUGGAAAAUUACAAUUUUGCCUCUAAACUUUUUCACAUUUAUACUUUUGCCCCAAAGCUCGUAAAUUAAACUUCAUCCCUUAUUCUUAUGUAUUAUGACAUGUUGAACAUUUUUCCCUUCUAUGGAAACAUCGAAUUUGUAACAACCCGGUUUUGACUCUAAUCGGAAUAGUGGUUUCGGGACCACACAUCCGAGUCUGAAAAAUAUUUUAGUAUUUUAUUUGGUGUUUAUUAUGUGUGAAUUUGCAUGUGUGGAAGUUUCGUGAAUUAAUAUUAUGGUUUGAGUGCUUAAUUAAAGAAAAAGGACUUGAUCGCAUAAAAAUAAUAAAAAGGCUAGUUAAUGUGUAAAGUGUUAAAUUGCUAAUGCCUUUUUAAUAUGGAGUCCUUAAUAGGUUAUUAGCCCACUAUUAAGUAAGUGGGUGGUAUUGGUCAAGAAUGACCUUGUAUUAUAAGGUAUAUAAAUUUAUAAACAAAGGUUAAAUUAGUAAACUAAAAAUAUAUGCUAAUAUAUGUUAAAUAAAAAAAAGAAAAUAAAGCCAUUAUCAUCUUCUUCUUAGCCGAAUGUAAACAAAAGAAAAAGAAGAAAACUUAGCUAGGUUCGGCCAUUGAUGAGCUUGAUUUAAGAUCGAGAACCAAAGAAAUCGGAGUUAGAUCGGGGAAAAGCCAAAUUAGUCGAAUAAUCGUCCGACUUCGAUUUUCCUUUGUCCGAGGUAAGUCUAUUGGCAAUUAAAAGCUAUUAAGUUAAUAGUUAUACAUGUAUACUAAUUGUAUUUUGUGUUGAGAUAUAAUUAAAAAUAUAUUGAUUGAAUAAAUUUUGAAGUAUGGAUGAUAUUUACAUAUAUAGCAUGUUCGAAUAAACAAGUAUAAUCUUGUAUAGACUUAUGGGUUGAAAUAAAGGUAAGAAAUGUAUAAGAAUAUAGUUGAUAUUCGAAUAAGCAUGUAUAUAUAUAUGUAUAUAUAUAAUGCUAGAAUAUAUAUAUACAUAUAAAAGUUAUUGAAAUUAGUUAAAGUAUGAAUGUUGCAUAGGUAUAAAUUCUUGAUUUUAAUCAAAGGAAUGUAUAAUAUAUAUAUAUGGUGCGAAUAUAUAUAUAGGUAUAUACAUGUAUAAACUCUUGGAUUUAUUUAAAGUUAUGUAACCCAUGAUUGUAUGAGAAGUUUCGAAUAGAUAUGUAUAUGUGAAUUGUAAUUUAUAUAUAUAUGAUAUAUUUGAAUAAGCAUGCUUACAUAUAUGUAUAUGUUCUUGUAAUGAAUUUUAAGUAUGAGUGUUAUAUAUAUAUGCAUAAAUGAAGUUUGAAUAUGUACAUAUAUGUAUAUAAAUGUACAUCUAUUGUAUAUUUGAUGAGCUAAAAUUUAAAAGUAUAUGUAUUGAAAAUUAGUUGAGUAUGAAUGUUAUAUAUAUGCAUAUGUGUGAGGUUCGAAUAUAUAGUUAUGUAUAUAUAUAUAUAUAUAUAUAUGUACAGGUACAAUUUCUUGUAUUGAAAUUAGGUAUGGAAUUAUAUAUUGAUAUACAUGGUCGAAUGUAUAUAAAUAUGUGUUUAAGAUUUGCAUUGAAUUAAAAGUAUAAAUUUUAAAUGCUUGUAUGAUUCGAACAUGGACUACAAAUUUUCUUGGAAUAGAGUUGAGAUUGUGAAAUAUAUAUAAGUGUUAUGAACGUGUGUUGCUAUUAAGAAAUAUACGAGAAAUCAUCCUUGUAUCUAUGAAAUUGAGAUUUUCAGGCUAAGCGCCUAGCAGGCUUAAUGCCGGUGAAUUUUUCAGACUUUAAGUCUAGCAGGCUAAUUGCCGGUGAUCUGAAUCAGGUUAUAAACCUAGUAGGCUACGUGCUGGUGAUCUGAAUCAGGUUAUAAACCUAGCAGGCUACGUGCCGGUGAUCUGAAUUAACCUAUAAGUCUAGCAGGCUAAGUGCCGUUGAAUCUGUUUUAAUUAAGUGAUUGUAUACAUUGGGUAUAUAUGUAUAUGAUUUGGUUAUUUGUAUUGGAUUAAUAUAUGAACAUCUGUUGCUAUGUUUUUGAUGAGCAUAUAAAAGCUCGAAUCUUGGUGUCUGGUGAGUAUAUAUAUCUAUGCGUUCGGCAUAUGUGAACUAAAGUAUAUAUAUAUAUAUGUAUGUGCAUUCGGCACAUGUGGUUGAUAAGUAUAAUUAAUUGCUUUUGACAUAUGUAUAUGAAAGAUCAUAAACAUGCAUUCAAUGAAAUGCAAUGAUAAGUAUAUUUGGAAUUUAUAUAUGCGAUUAAUGAGUAUGUGUAUAACUUGAUUUUUAGGUAUAUAAUGAUAAUACAUAUGAUCGUUUAUAUGUAUUUUGGAUAUGCUAUAAACUUACUGAGCUAUAGAAGCUUACUUUGAUUGUUUUUGUUUAUUUGUUUUAUAGAUUUUGGAGACGCGUUACGAGCUCGGGGAUCAUCAGCAUAGUCUAUCACACUAUCGACUUCUUUUGGCAUUUUGUUAACAGUUUGAACUUGAUGUUAUGGCAUGUAUAGGUUUGAGUAUGAUUUUGGUUAGAUUUGGAUUGUAUAAUAUAAUCAGCCAUGCGAAUAUGGUUUAAUUUCUAUGUUUGUGAUCAGUUUUUUUUUAAAUGGUUGUGUUUGUUCGAUAAUGCCUCGUAACCCUAAUUCGGCGACGGAUAUGGGUUAGGGGUGUUACAGAAUUCCCACUCUAACACUUACUUAUGAACAUUAGGUAUUUUUACUGAUUAUGUCGUUUUACUCGUUUUCACUUAAAAUCGCUUAGCAAAAGUUGUUUAACAUAAUUUCAAGCUUCAUAUUCUACCAUAAAAAAUCAAAAUAAACACAUUUCACCUAUGAGUAUUUUUCCAAAUAUAAACCCUAGGCUAAAUUAUAGUUAGAAUAAGCUAAAUCAAGAUACCGGGACUCUAAAAACGUAAUGAACAUUAAAAACGAGGCUUGGAAUCACUUACUAUGGAGCUUGGAAGCUUGAAAACCCUAACUAUGGCUCCCUCCUUGUGAAAUUCGGCCAAGGCUUGAAGAUGGAAAUUUUUUUGGCUAUUUUGGUCUUUUUAAUUCUUUUAAUUACUUAAAUGACCAAAAUACCCCCAACUUAAAAAUAUCCUAUUUCACUUAUCUCAUGUCCAUUUUUGUCCAACAAGUGAAGCAAUGGUCCAAUUUCUAUUUAAGGACCUCUAAUUUAAAAUUUCAUAACAAUUGGACACUUUUAACAUGUAGAACUCAACUUUUGCACUUUUUAUAAUUUAGUCCUUUUUACUAAAUUGAGUGCCUAAACGUCGAAAUUUUCGAACGAAAUUUUCACAAAAUCAUUCCAUGAAAUCGUAGACCAUAAAAAUAAAAUUUUUCCUCGUCAAAUUUGUGGUCCUGAAACCAUUGUUCCGACUAGGCCCAAAAUCAGGCUGUUACAUGUAUCACAUCCAAAUUUGGGCUUCAAUUUUUGUGAUCUAUUGGGCUUAUCAAACGGUCCUUGUAAAAGGUUAAGCCAACAUGUUCUUAGGCUAAAAUUGGGGUCCCUAUAGUCAUAUCAUUCUCCUUUCCUUAAAAAGAUUAGUCAUUGAAUCAUGUGUGUCAUUAAUAAGGUAGAAAUUGGAUCCGAAAUGUAGCAUAUGUUAGGGACAAACUUGUGGUAGGAUUCAAAGUAGCAAACUCGUCCAUAGGCAUAGCCGCGUGUGAACUUUUCUUGUAACAUCCUCAAAACCCCUUUGGUCGUAAAUAAUAUGAGAUAAAAUCUUAGCGAAAUAAUGUAUAAGAUCAAAGAAAAUGAAAGUUGCAAUAUAUCAAAAGAGAGUUAAAUAAAAAAUCAUGACAUGAUGUAUUAAGAAAGGGACUAAAUCGUAAAUAUGUGAAAAUUUUGUAGCUCAAGUGUAAAUAUUCAAAAUUUAUGGGAUCGAAGUGUAAAAAUAAGAAAGUUGAAUGACUAAAAGUGAAAAUAAUCUAAUUUACUAAGAUAUGAAAUUCAUAUGUAGGGACCAAAUUGAAUAGGUGAAGAAUUGUGAGGGACUAAAUCACAAUUUUACCAAAUUAAGUGAUGAUUCAAGGAUGGAAUUUUGAAAGAUCAUAAAGGGUAAAAUGGUCAAUUAGAAAGAGAGAGAAUUCUAGAAUGUAAUGAUGAUGUUGAUGAUAUUUUGGUGAUUUUUUUAUAAGUAAUUAGUUAAAAAUUAUUUUAUUAAUAUUUUACUUAAAUAUUUGUUAUUAUUUUGUUUAGAAAAUGGUAGUAUAAAACGAAAGGAAGGAUGAAGGAAAUUAUCAUACUUCCAACGUGAGUGAAAGGAUGAGAAAAGAAGUUUUAUUUUCUUUACAAUUUAGUCCUUUUCCAUGAAAACCUACUUUAUUACUCAAAAUUUUUGAAAAUUUUCUUAGAUAUUAAAGAGAGAAGAUGAAGUAGAGAUUUUAGAGAACAUGUUCAUCAAUUUAGAAGCAAGAAAAUAGUAGAUGAAAGUGGAGAAAAUGAGAAGAAAACGGAAGGAAAGUGGCAAAGAUGAGAAAUGCAUAGAAAUGAAGAAGAAAUGAAGAAAUUCCUUAUAAAGAAGGUAAGUUUCAUACUAAGCCUACUUGUAUUUCAAUAGAAUGAGUUAAAGAUGUUUUGAGUGAGAUGUACGAAAUAUGUAUUUAAUCUAAAUACUAGAAAUAGAAAAUAUUUGAUGAAGAAUAGAGACUUAAAUCAUUAAAUUGGUAAGAGAGAAUGUGAUUUGUAUGGUGAAAAGUACUAAGAUUAAGAAAUGAAUAUGUAAUCUACAUAUAAACAUAAGUGUCUAAAUUGUAUAUGUAUAAGCCCAAAUGUGCCCAAGCCCAAUAAAAUUAACCCUAGCCCAAUACCCUCCAAUUUACCCAAGCCCAUAUAAGCCUAAAACCAAAAAAAAGAAACCCUAGCUUCUCUGCCUCAGCGCCGCAGCAAACUGGUGCUGCAACAGUAGCCACCAUUCGGGCGAGUUGUGCCUCCACGCGCACCACGCCUUGCACGCCGCACCUCCAGCAGUACCUGCAGCAACAAACACAAACAAUACAGCAAAGAAAAGGGAACAAAACAGAAUAGCAAAAAUUGGGCAACAAUAUGCCAACAAAAAAAACAGAAUAGAUUUCUUUUGAUUUUGUUUUUUUGGUUUUUCUUUUCCAUUUCGGCUAUUUAAAGUCGUGAAAAAUCUGUGAGAAAGGGGACGAAAACAGAGAAAAAAGAAAUACAAAAUUUUUUUCGAAUACGGAGGUGACUUUUCUGUUUCACUUUGGCGUUCGUCGCCCUUUAGAUUGUUGGUUUUGUUUUGUUUUGUUUUUAUCUUUUUUAAUUUAUUUUUAUUGCUUAAAAUAAAAAGAAAGGGGAAAUGACUAACCUUUAUCGCCUAAACCGUCGAAACGGUCCCCCUCCGUCGCGAUCGGAGGCUGGGGCGGCGAUUGAGCCGUGGGGUUCUUGAACUGCGGCGGGGAGGAAAAGAGAGUGAAACCCUAGCAGAGGGUUUUCACUGCUGUUUGGGGUUUCAAAACCAAAAGGAAAAUGAGUUUUUUUAAGAAAAUUUUGAUUUUUAUUGAAACUGCACGGCUCCGUUUUACCCAGGCAGACCCGCGCAGUGACCCGACCCGGAGGGGAAGAUCCGCGCGUUCUGGCCUGAAAGGGGAAAUUGCACAUUUGGCCCUCCUUUUUUGUGUUGUGUUUUAAUUAAACCCAUUUUGUCUUUUUUUAAAUUGAGCCGCACAUUUCAUUUUUGUUUCAAUUUGGCCCAUCGCUGCGCAGCGUUUUGGAGGGCGAGAAUAAUUUCCCUUUUGGUACUCCAUUAUUGCUUGCGCAUUCAAGUGGGUCCCAUUUUUAUUUAUUUCGAAUUUGCCCCGUUGUUUUUCGUCUUUUGUUCAAUUUAAUCCAUUUUUUUAAAAACUUUUAUUUUAUUUAAUUAUUAUUUUUUAAAAAAGCAUUAUUAUUAUAUUAUAUAUUAUCAUUAUUACUAUCAUUAUCUUUGUAUUCAUUCACAUGCAUUUUUCUUAUAUAAUAUAUAUAUAUAUAUAUGCAUUUUUUAUAUAGUAUUCACCUAUUGUUUUUUAUACGAUAUAACAUAUAUGCAUAUUUUAAUAUAUAUAUUUUCUAAGCUUUUUUAAAUACGUAUAUACUUUAUACCGGCAUACUUUUUUUAUAUUUUUUAUUUUACUUUCCUAAUUUUUUUAUAUACAUACAUAAUUUUAUAUUUUUAUUUUAUUGAUUCACAUGUACAUAUUUUAUUUAUUAUUAUUUUAUCUUCACCACUCUCAUAUUUUAUAAUGCAUAUACAUUUUAUAACAUAUACACCUUCCACAUUUAAAAUACACAUACAUUUUCUAUAACAUAUUUAUGUACACAUUUUUCUUUAAAAUCAUUAUAAAUAUUUUUUUAUUUUAUAUACAUAUUUUACAUAUAGACAUAAGUAUUUAAAUAUAUACAUAUUUUCAUGAUUUACCUAUGUAUAUAUACUUAUACAUUUUUUUUCUAUUCUGUAAAUAUAUACACAUAUGCAUAUCUUUAUAAUUUUAUUUUAUUUUUACGAUUUUCAUAUACAUUUUAAAUUAAAGUAUUUAUUUCAUAUUGUACAUUAAUUUUUUAACAUACCCUUUGGGAAAUAUAUCUUGGUUUUGUCAAUAUAUCAAAAUCUGUUUCUCUUGAUUCAAAGUUUUUUUUUUGAAUGAAAGCAAUAUUCAAAGUUUGAGAUUUUCGAGGAAAUUGAGCCUUAGCGUAUUGGGUUCCGAUUUUCUUUGUUAAUCUUAAAUAACCGAGAAUAUUCUUUAUUCAAAAUGUAUGAGUAUAAAAAUCAUUUUCGGGAACUUAACUUGUUGUGUCCUAAUGUAUUGGGCAUGACAUAUUGCUUUCUCAAAAUGAAGAUGUCGAAACCAUUUUUAUUUUUGGAAAAAAACAAAAAUUAGUUGUCGACUUUAAGAAAAAACAAAAAUCGGGAGUUGCCACAAAUCUUUUAUUAAGGUGUGAUUGGAUCACCUAAAAAAUAGCUUUGGUCUACGAGUUUCAGAAAAACGGAUUCGGGAGUUAGUUACGUACGAGGAAGGAUUAGCACCCUCGUAACGCCCAAAAAUUGGUACCAAAUUGAUGAAUUAAUGUCUUAAAGUCUAGAGUUUAAAAAAAUACUAUCCUUAGUUAAAUGAAAUUAUUUAUUAAGACUUUCUCUUUUUGAAAAGAAAAAUAUCACACCCAAUGCGUUAGGGCACAACAUUUUAUUCUCUUCAAGAUGAGUUGGUCCAAAAAACUCGUAUAAUAAAAUUUAAGAAAAUAUUUAAUUGUUUAAAAUUUAUGAAGAAAUGCAGCCCAAUACGUUAGGGCACGAUUUCUUAAAAUCCCAAACAUUCAAUAUUUACUUUAUAUUUUUUUUUUAAAAAAUCUUUAUCUCGAGAAAUCAACGUGUCACAUCCAAUACAUUAGGACACAACACAUUGAAUUCCCGAUGACAAGUUUUAUUUUGUUUGAUUAAAGAACAAUCCUAAAUUGUUAGAUUUCACGAAGAAAAUCGGAACCCAAUACGUUAGGGCUCAAUUUUCUUGAAAAUCCUAAAUACAAGUAUUAUCUUUAUUUUGAAAAUUUUCCAUUUUUAAAUUCGAGCAAAAGAUGAUGUGAUUGAAUGUAUACAUAAAUGUCACAAUAACAAAUAUAUCAAUGGCAUAGAAACAAUAUAAACAAAUAAAUAAACGAAAUAAAAUAAUCCAUGACAUGCAAAAUAUUACAUGAAUAAAUGUAAACACAAUUGAAUAACGAAUGAAGAAAGUCAAGCAAAAUAAAGAUAAGAAGAUAUAUAAUAUACACAUGGAAAUUAGGAAGAUUAAAAAUAUACAUAUGAUUUACAAAUAAAAUUUUGAGUUAUAGAACUUAUAUAUAUAUAUACAAUACAUAAUAUAUUUAUGAAAAUAAAGAAAAAUAUAUAAACAUAUAUAUGAUUAUAAAAUAGGUGUUUAAAAAUAUAUAUAUUUGAACAUUUUCGAAGAUACAAAAAAACAUAGAUAUAUACAUGUUUAUAUAAAUAUAAAAGAAUAUUUGUUAGGGAAAAAAAUAAACACAUUAUCAAAAAUCAAUAUGUGUAUAUACAUAAAAAAAUCAGUUUAAAAUAAUAAUUAUGUACCUAAAAAAUAAUAACAUAUAAAAGUUACAAAAAAUAAAAAAAUAUAAAUAUAAAUAAAAUAAAAAUAUUAAUUACAUUAUUAGAAUUAAUUAAUUAAAAAAUAUAAAAAAUACUAAAUUGAACUGUAAUUAAAAAUUUUGGGGUAAAAUUCGCAAAUAAUUAAAGCCAAAAGGACUAGAUCGAACACGCGAAUUACAUAGAGGGGCUGGAAGGGAAAAUUUCUCUUCUCCUCUAAAACGGCGUCGUUCAAGUAGGGCUAAAUUGAGAUUGAAAAUAAAUUAAAGGGCGAAUUAAAAAAAAUAAAAAUUCUUAAUUGUAAAUAUAUUAAAAGGCGGAAGGGCUAAAAACGUAAUUUUCCCCUCCGUAUAAAAAACGCGGAUCCUAAGGCUGGGUCGGGUCAACCCGGGCCUUAAACGGCGUCGUUUUCGAUUGGCUAUAUAAACUAAAAAUUCCCUUCAAAAAAAUCAUUUCAUUACUUUAAAAAAAAAAACAAAAAAAACUUUCCUCUCCUCUCUAUCAGCCAUCAAGUCCGGCAAGGGUCCGGCUAGGGUCUGGUCAUCGGCCGGUCACCGGCCACCGCGCCGACCGCCGAUCUCCGGCGCCGGCACCGCCGUAUGCGGUGGCAGGCAAAGGGAAAAAAAACUCCUAGUUGUCCCUUCGAAACCAAUAAACCUAGAUCCGAGCUCGAAAUUCCCGAAAUCGACAAAGAAGCCCUAAAAAAACCUAGAGACCUUUCGAUUUCUAACCGUCUAUUGUCGAAGACGGCCCUCGGCCUUCCAACGGCGCGACCGACUCUGAUGAAGGUAUGUUUCUCACCUUUAUUUUAUUUUGUAAAAAUAAAAACAAAAUAGAAUAUAUAUCAACUUUAGAUUUCAAUUGAUUCUCUGCUAGUGCUGUAAAAAUUCCUCCUUUUUUAUUGAUCUUUUUCUUUUUCAUUACAGUGUUUUUGUGGCUUUUUAUAGCCAGACGCAAACAUAAUAGCAGAAACAAAUCUAAAGAGGAAACAAAUCUGUUUCUUUAUUUGGUUUUCGAAUAUUUGAUUAUGUUUCCUUUUUUGUUUCUUUUUGACGCGCAGGUAUGAAGAUUCGGGGCCAUGGUGCUGCGGCGCAAAGGUCUCCUCAGAAACCCUAGGGUUUUUGCAACCGAUUUGAGCCACUGAGCUUUGACCCUUUUGUUUCAUUUUGAUUUGGGCCCUUGCAGGCCUAUUUGUAACUUGGGCCUUUUUUUACCAGGGUCAAAAUCGGGUAUUACAGCUGCCGCUCUUUGCUCGUUAUUGUGUAACAUGGACCAAAGACUUUUAAAAAUGCCCAAUUUUGCCCAGUCGUGCUGGACUUUAGAACUCUUCUUCUUCAAGUAGCCUCAUUCAUUCCUACUGCAUCUUCAGCGGUAUAGGAAUUAGUGCUUCACUCUACUCCACUGCAACUUCAGGGAGAUAAGACUUAUAGCUUCAACCCAAAGAUGAAUUUGAUGCGAUCUACUCUAUUCUUCAGUCUGCUCCAUUGUAAACUCAGGGAGAUAAGACUUGAUGCGAUCUACUCUAUUCUUCAGUCUACUCCACUGUAACUUCAGGGAGAUAAGACUUGAUGUGAUCUCCUCUACUACAACUUUAGAGAUAUAAGAUCUGUAAUUUUCAACUUACUCCACUGCUGCUCAGGGAGACAAUGCUGGGGACUUCGAUCUGCUCCACUACUGGUUAGGGAGAUAAGAUCUGUAAUUUUCAACCUACUCCACUUCUACUCAGGGAGAUAAGGCUGGAGUCUUCGAUCAGCUUAGCUGUCGGUGCAGGAAGGCAAGAUCUGCUAUUUUUAACCUACUCCGCUGCAACCUAGGGAGGCAAGGCUGAUGUCUUCGAUCUGUUUUAAUUUACUCCACUGCAAUGCCAGGGAGAUAGGAUUCUUAUGUUGUAGUUUCUCAAGAGAACAAAAUCUGUUCCACUGCAACUUCAGGGAGAUAAGAUUUGUAGUUUCAACUUGAUUCACUGCAACUCAAAGAUGAAUUUGAUACGAUCUGCUCUACUGUAAUUUCAGAGAGACAAGAUCCAACCUUCUAAUCCACUCUAAUACAACUUUAGGGAGAUAGGAUUUGUUUAUUUAGUCUGCCCCACUGCAAUUUCAAGGGGAUAAGACUUACUUCCUUGAGUCUGCUCUACUACAACUUCAGGGAAAUAAGACUCGCUUUCUUGGGUCUGCUCCACUGCAACUUCAGGGAGAUAAGACCCGAUGUGAUCUACUCUACUGUACCCUCAGAGAGAUAAGAUCCGUGGUUUUAAUCCGCUCUACUGCAACUUCAGGGAGAUAAGAUUUGCCAUCAUUAACCUAUUCCACUGCUGUCCAGGGAGAUAGGAUUCACAAUCUUUAACCUAUUCCACUGCUGAAUAGGGAGAUAGGGCUCUUUAAUCUAUUCCACUGCUGCCCAGGGAGAUAGAAUUCUCAAUCUUCAACCUAUUCCACUGCUGACCAGGGAGAUAGGAUUCACAAUCUUUAACCUAUUCCACUGCUGACCAGGGAGAUAGGGCUAGGGUCAUCGAUCUACUUCGCUGUUGGUGCAGGAAGGCAAUAUCUAUUAUUUUUAACCUGCUCCGCUGUAACUCAGGGAGGCAAGGCUGGUGUCUUCGAUCUGCUUCGCUGUUGGUGCAGGAAGGCAAGAUCUGCUAUUUUUAACCUGCUCUGCUGCAACCCAGGGAGGCAAGGCUGGUGUCUUCGAUCUGCUUCGCUGUCGGUGCAAGAAGACAAGAUCUACUAUUUUUAGCCUGCUCCGCUGCAACCCAGGGAGGCAAGGCUGGUGUUUUCGAUCUGCUUCGCUGUCGGUGUAGGAAGGCAAGAUCUGCUAUUUUUAGCCUGCUCCGCUGCAACCCAGGGAGGCAAGGCUGGUGUCUUCGAUCUACUUUGCUGUCGGUGCAGGAAGGCAAGAUCUGCUAUUUUUAGCCUGCUCCGCUGUAACCCAGGAAGGCAAGGCUGGUGUCUUCGAUCUGCUUCGCUGUCGGUACAGGAAGGCAAGAUCUGCUAUAUUCACUGAUCUGCUCUCUAGGGAACAUGACCUGUAUAAUGAACCUAAUUAUGCCUAAUGAUUAGGAUGGCAUCAAAUGAAUCAAAUGCUCCUAACUAGACAUGUGUGAAUGGUGUUUGCACGAAUGCAUACUUUUUUCUUCGAGAAUGAUCCCACUUAGGCUUUAACACUGACGUGCUAUAACGCCUUCUUGCUUGGCUGGCUUUUUUGAAAAAACAUUUAGUCAGGUUGCCCCCACUGUAAACCUCAAAGUUUAAUUCAUUGGGGCGCAAAAAUUCAUACCAUCGUUCUCCCACUGUAACCCAAGGGUAUAUGACUUUUCUUCAAUCCUCUCCUAUCACAAUUCAAGGAUAUAGGAUCUAAAUCUCUCUGGUCCCUUACACCAUUCCCAGGGUAUCGUACCAAAGGCUCAUGCAUAGAUGAAUGCUUUCUUCUCUGAGGAAACCUCUUCCUAUUGUCUGGUGAUCAUUGCUUACUUGUUUAUUUAAGCUUUGUCAUCAUCAUGUCAUUUGUUCAAUCAAUGUCUUUGACAACAAAAUCCAAAGAAAAUGUUCUAAUUUAGACUCUUCCUUUUCAGAUUUCCAACCUUUAAACCUGGUGCGUUCUAAACAAUAGUCCUGUUUCAGGUUCCUAUAUUAUUUAGAAACUUCUAGAGUAAUAUGCCAAACUUUCUUUGUGAAAGUUUUAUUAGUCCAUUAAUAAUUAUUCCAAUGCAACAUACUUGCAAAAAGGGUAUAACAAAGGAUGAGAAUACAAUCGGUUCUGAGCAUAACUCGAAAGGAAUAGAUUAUCAAAAAUAGUAAAUAAGGAUAGCAAAGAAAUUGAUUGGGAACGUUAUCUUGGAAAAGAAUGAAGUAUUCCAAGAAUAACAAAUUCAAUAUAAAAAUUGGAUGCCCCAGAUAUCGCAGCUUGAGCUUCUCUAUACAAACUUUCUGGAGACCAUUCUGAGUUUGACAUGUGUUUAGGAGAUCCAUAGUACUCUGCCAAUGCCCCAAGAUGUGGCCUACCCUUUCUUGAGAAUUCAGGUAUAACCACAUGCCCCAAUCUGGUCAGAAUUCGAGUUGCUCUAAUCACCUCAUGCCCCAUUCUGAUCAAUAUUUGAGCCGCCCUUUUCUGGUUUUCAACUCAAAUCCCCUUUGGUCUUAAGGUGCCCUUUGUGGGUUUUCACUUUGGCCUCUCAAUUUUUCUUUUCUUUUUCUUUUUAUCACUUUCAUUUUUAUUUUGAUUUUGACCCUUUUUUUUUUAAUCUGAAAUCAUAGGAUUAGGCAUGUCCUUGUUAUCCUUUCUGAUCGACACUUUUCCAGAUAAGGCCUUCAACAUAAGGUCAUUCCCAACUUGGGAUAAAGUUCUUUUUGUAUGGGAAGGAUCUUCUUCAAUCAUAGGUUUAUCUCAAGGAAUUCUCUAGGACGGACCAUUUUUUAUGAGCUCGCAUCAUUUGCUUUUGGCGCAUUUGACCAUGAUGGAUAACUUUGAACAUUCCUCUUCAAUCGGAAUUGGAUCCAAAAUCUCAGAGAGAAAGAAUCUUGUCUUCAAUAGGUAAAACCGCGAUGGGCCCAAGAGAAAGGCAUUACCCCGGCAGAGUUUUUUUUUGGGCAAUAUGACAUUAAUCGUGAACAGACUACAAACUUUUGAUAUUGUGCUGUUGUUCAAAUUUAGUACAUUUUCAGAUAUAAUCCUUUUGGCAUUCCAUACUGACAUAUGAUUUUCACGAAUUUGAUAACUGUCGACUUUGUGACAUUGGCAUAUGAAGCAGCUUCCACCCAUUUAGUAAAGUAAUUGACGACCACAAAGAUGAAUCGAUGACCGUCAAACUCUUUUGGCGAGAUCGACCAAAUGACCUUCAUGCCCCACAUAAGGAGAAGUCAUGUAUCCCAAUGAUUCUUUGUAGGGUAAGAUCCAUCUCUCGACUUGUUCUACCAUCCUUAACAAGUCCGGAAAUAGGCUACAAUCUAUGUCAUCUUCAAAGUCAUGAGAUCCCUCUAAACACACAUCUCGCUCAAAAGAAGGUUCGAAAUCUGUAGUAAUGUCACUCAUGUUAUUGAUAUCUGGGGACCCAUAGUAAAUACCAAAGACUUUACAAAAGAAUAUAUGAAUUUAUGAAUAAUUAUUUAUACAAUAUGAUUAUGAAUGAAUAAAAGAAUGAUUGUGGAAGAAAAUCCAAAAGAAUGAAAGAAUAAAUGCAAAUAUAUAUUUUAUUAGAAUAAUGACGUUCAGACAUGAGCAUUUUUCACAAAGGAAUUUCUAUCAUUUUUAGGCUAAAAACAACAAAAAUGUUCUGAGCAUUACUCUAAGUAAGCUCUAAAAACUACAGGAAUUUCUUUCGCAGUUCAAUUGCUUAGAACACUCCAGAUUUAUAAGGGCGGAUAUCUAACAAGGUCCCUUUUCAUUUAUGUCCUCAUAUAUGUCAUUGACGUGAACACUUCCCAUCAUUAUGUGCAUAUUUUUCUCUUCUUUAAUUUCCUCACAAAGCUUCAUCUCCUUGUCGUCCAUCAUGCCCUGAAUCAAGGCCUUGAAUUUCAUACUCUCUUGGGUCUCGUGCCCCUUCUCAUGAUGGAACUCACAAUGGUUCCUUGUCUUUCCAUGGUUUCCUUCUGAAUUAGAAAUAACUAAUCCCAUUCCUACCCUCACGUCUACCCCAUUAUCAAUAUGAUUGGGUAGUGGAUUUUUUUUGCUAGACGAGUCAUCAAAUCUGACAACACCCAUGUUAAUGAGUGCAAUUCUCUAUUGAGUGCCUCGUAAUUCCUGCGUGGUAUUCACACAGAGCAUUUGCGUUAUACCAUUUAGGAAAUGGAGGCAACAUUGGUUUCUGGUAGAAAGGGGACACCACAUGCGCAUUAAAUAGGCUUUGAUAUAGCUCGUUAUAUGACAUUGGUAUAGGCGUGAACUGAGGCUUUUCUGUAUUUGCCUUCGUGUAAGAUUCUCGCUUUAAAAGACUCUGAUGGCUGGUGGUUUCUAUCUUUGGCUGGCCCACGGCAAUUGGUUUUGAGUGGCCCUUGUUAUAUCGGCCUGCAUUAUCCCCCUUAUUCCCCUUUCUCUUUGGGGCCUUUAUAAUAUCUGAGUAUUCUACCCUCUCCUGUUUUAUUUCUGCUGGAUUAUCAAGAGCAAUAGGAUUUACUAAAUUGUUCUUCAGAUUGGAUCUUGAGCUUGUCGGGCGAUUCAUUGGUGUUAAGGUAUUGGUCUGAUAUUGCUAGGAUUUGAUAGUAAGGGGUGCCCCUUGUGGGUACAUAUCUGGCUGGACACUUAUCGGGAUAAAAUUUGAGGGAUAGUUAGGGUCUUCAUUAUCCUCCCCAAAGUGGACCCUGGGCUUUCCUCUCUUUCUAACCCUCUAGCCAAUAACUGGGUUAACUGCUUUAUCACAUUACUUUGGAAUUCUAGCAUCUGAUCCUUCAUAUUUUGUUGAAAUUUGGUCAAUUGCUCUUGCAUCUGUAUUUGCAUUUGCUCUAUUCUUUCCAAUCUUUGGUCCAUGCCUCCUAACUUUGCUUGGGUACUAUAAUGGUGUUUGGCAGGUUGGUUGGUUUCCAAAUUAACUGAAGAAUGAUUUUAAUCAAUUAGGCUUUUUUAGUGGAUUUUAAUGCGUAUGAUGUCAUGUAACGCGAAUGCAUGCAAUGAAUGCAUAAAGAGAUGUUGAUUCUGAUUCAAUUCCAUUUAGAAAACUUUACUAGAAAACAAAUAUCUUUACAUAAAGUGGAUAUUUAUACGGCCUUGCCCUCAUAGGCGAAGAUAUUCGAUCCUCUUCUUCAUUCGAGUGUUAAGAUAAAUCUCACGAACUUCUUCAAAAAAAGUCUCUUCUAUCUCCUUUUUGCUCGAUCCGGGCCAUAACUUGUUGCUCAUUCAUCCUCGUGAUGCUCGUUGGCUUCUCUUUAAGAAGGUUCAGUAGCUCUCGAAUAAUCUUUGUCAUCUUGAAUCCUUAGGCAACGAAGCCAUAGUCGUGUAGUCCUCCAUUAAAUUAUCAUCCUUCUCUUAUCACAUGUUCUUUGAUCAUAUUCGGACAACCAUAUUGUCAUCCCCUUUAUCAAGAAACCCAUUUCCUUAUGACAAGCUCUCUAUUUAGCAACUGAACGUGAAUCAAUACCUCUUUUUUAAGAUACAAAUGCAAUGCAAUCAUAAUAAAAACAACAUAAAAAACAAGUUAGUACAAAGUAAAAGCAAAUAAAUAAAGUACCUACUCGAGUGACCUCUAGGGGUUUGGCAUAGUUCUACCUAGGGCAAGUUCCUAAGGUUCAUUAUAUGCGGUUUGGUUCUAAAGUAAAGGUACCCGAACCAGCAGAUCCUUAAUCCUCACCUAUUAUAGGCUCAUAUAGAUUAAGUUCGGUUCAGGGGAACACAUUUUUCCUAUGACUAUACGGAGAUGAUAAUCUCACGAAGGCAUAGGUACCGAUGUAUUCCGAAAGCGAUCCACUAUCCUAUACGAAGGUGAAACCCUCACGAAGUAAUAGUUUCUCACUCCCACUUCGAAGGGUAAAAUCAUUCAACUCAUGUAAUGUAUAAUGCAAAAAUAACUUAGAUCAAUUAAGCAAUAAUAUAAUGAAUUCAAAAGGAUCUUAUGAAUUUUUAAAAUUUAUUUUCUCGACUAUAAGACAAAAAUUAAUCAACUUUGUGGCUCGACUCUCAUAUUUUUUUUUAAAAAAAUCAUCCCCAGUGGAGUCGUCAAGCUGUCGAAACCAUUUUUUAUUUUUGGAAAAAAAAACAAAAAUUAGUUGUUGACUUUUAAAAAAAAACAAAAAUUGGGAGCCACCGCCAAUCUUUUAUUAAGGUGUGAUUGGAUCACCUAAAAAAUAGCUUUGGUCUACUAGUUUCAGAAAAACGGAUUCGGGAGUCAGUUACGUACGAGGAAGGAUUAGCACCCUCGUAGCGCCCAAAAAUUGGUACCAAAUUGAUUAAUUAAUGUCUUAAAGUCGAGAGUUUAAAAAAAUACUAUCCUUAGUUAAAUGAAAUUAUUUAUUAAGACUUUCUCUUUUUGAAAAGAAAAAUAUCACACCCAAUGCGUUAGGGCACAACAUUUUAUUCUCUUCAAGAUGAGUUGGUCCAAAAAACUCGUAUAAUAAAAUUUAAGAAAAUAUUUAUUUGUUUAAAAUUUAUGAAGAAAUCUCAGCCCAAUACGUUAGGGCAUGAUUUCUUAAAAUCCCAAACAUUCAAUAUUUCCUUUAUAUUAUUUAAAAAAAAUUCUUUAUCUCGAGAAAUCAACGUGUCACAUCCAAUACGUUAGGACACAAGACAUUGAAUUCUCGAUGACAAGUUUUAUUUUGUUUGAUUAAAGAACAAUCCUCGAUUGUUGGAUUUCACGAAGAAAAUCGGAACCCAAUACGUUAGGGCUCAAUUUUCUUGAAAAUCCUAAAUACGAGUAUUAUCUUUAUUUUGAAAAUUUUCCAUUUUUAAAUUUGAGUAAAAGAUGACGUGAUUGAAUGUAUACAUAAAUGUCACAAUAACAAAUAUAUCAAUGGCAUAGAAACAAUAUAAACAAAUAAAUAAACGAAAUAAAAUAAUCCAUGACAUGCAAAAUAUUACAUGAAUAAAUGUAAACACAAUUGAAUAACGAAUGAAGAAAGUCAAGCAAAAUAAAGAUAAGAAGAUAUAUAAUAUACACAUGGAAAUUAGGAAGAUUAAAAAUAUACAUAUGAUUUACAAAUAAAAUUUUGAGUUAUAUAUAUAUAUACAAUACAUAAUAUAUUUAUGAAAAUAAAUAAAUAUAUAUAUAAACAUAUAUAUUAUAAAAUAGGUGUUUAAAAAUAUAUAUAUUUGAACAUUUUCGAAGAUACAAAAAAACAUAGAUAUAUACAUGUUUAUAUAAAUAUAAAAGAAUAUUUGUUAGGGAAAAAAAUAAACACAUUAUCAAAAAUCAAUAUGUGUAUAGACAUAAAAAAAAUCAGUUUAAAAUAAUAAUUAUGUACCUAAAAAAUAAUAACAUAUAAAAGUUACAAAAAAUAAAAAAAUAUAAAUAUAAAUAAGAUAAAAAAAAUUAAUUACAUUAUUAGAAUUAAUUAAUUAAAAAUAUAAAAAAUACUAAAUUGAACUGCAAUUAAAAAUUUUGGGGUAAAAUCCGCAAAUAAAUAAAGCCAAAAGGAUUAAAUCGAACACGCGAAUUACAUAGAGCGGCUGGAAGGGAAAAUUUCCCUUCUCCUCUAAAACGGCGUCGUUCAAGUAGGGCUAAAUUGAGAUUGAAAAUAAAUUAAAGGGCGAAUUAAAAAAAUAAAAAUACUUAAUUGUAAAUAUAUUAAAAGGCGGAAUGGCUAAAAACGUAAUUUUUCCCUCCGUAUAAAACACGCGGAUCCUAAGGCUGGGUCAGGUCAGAUUCAGGUCAACCCGGGCCUUAAACGGUGCUGUUUUCGAUUGGCUAUAUAAACUAUAAACUCCCUUAAAAAAAUCAUUUUAUUACUUUAAAAAAAACAAAAAAAAACUUUCCUCUCCUCUCUCUCAGCCAUCAAGUCCGACCAGGGUCCGGUCAUCGGCCGAUCACCGGCCACCGCGCCGGCCGCCGAUCUCUGGCGCCAGCACUGCCGUAUGCGGUGGCCGAAAAAGGGAAAAAAACUCCUAGUUGUCCCUUCGAGACCAAUAAACCUAGAUCCGAGCUAGAAAUUCCCGAAAUCGACGAAGAAGCCCUAAAAAAACCUAGAGACCUUUCGAUUUCUAACCGUCUAUUCUCGGAGACGGACCUCGACCUUCCAAUGGCGCGACCGACUUUGAUGAACGUAUGUUUCUCACCUUUAUUUUAUUUUGUAAAAAUAAAAAAAAUAGAAUAUAUAUCAACCUUAGAUUUCGUUUGAUUCUCUGCUAGUGCUGUAAAAAUUCCUCCUUUUUUAUUGAUCUUUUUCCUUUUCAUUACAGUGUUUUUGUGGCUUUUUUAUAGCCAAACACAAACAUAAUAGCAGAAACAAAUCUAAAGAAGAAACAAAUUUGUUUCUUUAUUUGAUUUUCGAAUAUUUGAUUGUGUUUCCUUUUUUGUUUCUUUUUUACGCGCAGGUAUGAAGAUUCGAGGCUAUGGUGCUGCGGCGCAAAGGUCACCUCAGAAACCCUAGGGUUUCUGUAACCGAUUUGGGCCACUGAGCUUUGGCCCUUUUGUUUCAUUUUGAUUUGGGCCCUUGCAAGCCUAUUUGUAACUUGGGCCUUUUUUACCCGGGCCAAAAUCGGGUAUUACAGAAGAUUUUCGCAUAAAAUAAAUGUGAUAUUCAAAUUUCGGGGAUUUUGAGAAAUUGUACCCUAACGUAUUGGGACUCGAUUUCUUUACAUGACUUAAACAAUUGAUUAUCCUUUUCAGAUUUCAUCAUUUGAGUUGUUUUUAAAAACUUUUUUUAGCCCUCGACACUAAAACAUUAAAUAAUCAAUUUUGUACUGAUUUUUAAGCGUUACGAGGGUGCUAACCUUUCCUCGUGCGUAACUGACUCGUGAGCUCAUUUUCUCAAAAUUCGUAGACCAAAAUAAUUUUUAAGAUGAGCCGAUCACACCUUAAUAAAGGAUUGGUGGCGACUCCAAUUUUAUUUUUAAAGCUGACAACUAAAUUUUUGUUUUCAAAAAGAUGGUUUCGACAGCUUGGCGACUCCGCUGGGGACACUAGAGAGUCUAGUCGUGAAUUGGUUAUGUUUUGUCUUUUUGUCGAAAAUCAAAAGUUUUUUAAAAAUCAUGAUUUCCCUGUGCAUUCAUUUUCAUCAUGAUAUGUUUGCAUGAUUCAUUUUCAUCAUGAUAUGUUUGCAUGAUUGGACCAAGUUGGUUGAUCUUUAUUUCCAUUUUUGCAUUGCAUGGUCUGUUUUACCCCUUUAAGUGGAAGCGAGAAACUAGUCCUUCGUGAGGUUUUCACCUCCGUGCAGGGUAGUGGACCGCUUCCGGGAUACAUCCGUACCUAUGUCUUCGUGAGAUUUUCAUCUCCGUGCAGUCAUAUGGAAAUGUAUUCCCCUGAACUGAACUCGUCCAUAUGAGCCUAUAAUGGGUGAGGAUCGAGAAAUCUGCUGGUUCAGGUACCCUUGCUUUAGAAAUUAGCCCUCAUAUAGUAAACCUUAGGAGCUUGCCCUAGGUAGAGCUAAACCAAACCCUAGAGGAGUCCUGAAUAGGUGGUUUUAUUAUUUCCUGUAUACAUUGAAUUAUGAUUUUUACUAACUUGUGUGUUUUGUUUUGGCUGCAUGACAUUUUUGACUGCAUGGCAUUUCAUCAUAAAAAAGAGGUGUUGAUUCACGUUUGGUUGUUAAUAGAGAACUUGCCACGGAAAAUGGGUUUCUUGAUAAGGUGGAGGAUAAUACAUUUGUCCGAGUAUAGUCUAAGAAUCUCAGAAUGAUAUGAUGGCAAAGCUAACCCAACUGGUAACUAGGGGAAGUGAUAAAGGAAAGGGCCCCAUGGUAAAUGUCGAAGAGGGAAAUGAUGAUGAACCUCUCUAUCCUUUAGGCUUCACCCCUCCACAUGUGCGAACUCAAGCUGAAUACCCGUACAGAUCUACUGUCACCAUCAUACCUCAGCAGUUUCAGGCUGGUGUUUCAAACUUCCAAGCUAGAUCGGGCUCUAAUCCUGGAAAUAACCCUGUUAACUCUGCCAUUCCUGACUUUGAUGAAGUGGCUGAGAAGGAAAGAAUAAAGGAAGAGUUACCGAAACAGUUAGAGGAAAGGUGCAAGUGGCUCGAGGAGAAGUUCAAGGCGAUGGAGGUCACUGAAAGCUAUCGAAGGAUUGACGCUAAAGAGCUGAGUUUAGUUCCGGAUUUGGUACUCCCUCAUAAGUUUAAGAUUCCAAAAUUUGAAAAGUAUAAUGGGACAAGUUGCCCAGAAGCUCAUGUCACCAUGUUCUGCAGGCGAAGGGUCAGAUAUGUUAACAAUGACCAGCUAUUGAUACAUUGUUUCCAGGAUAGCCUCGCAGGGGCAGCAUCUAAAUGGUACAAUCAAUUGAGUCGUACCAUGAUUAGUUCAUGGAGGGAUUUGGCGCAAGCGUUCAUGAAACAGUAUAGUCAUAUAAUAGACAUGGCUCCUGAUAGAAUCACUCUUCAAAAUAUGGAGAAGAAGUCGAGCGAAAGCUUUAGGCAUUAUGCACAAAGAUGGAGGGAAGUCGCAGUCCAAGUUCAGCCACCGCUCUUAGAGAAAGAGAUGGCUAUGCUGUUUAUUAACACAUUGAAAGCACCGUUCAUUACUCAAAUUUUAUGGAGUGCCUUAAAAAGCUUUUCUGACAUAGUUAUGAAUUGUGAAAUGAUCGAAAAUGCUAUAGAAGCGGGAAAAUUGAUGCAGAGGAGAGUAACAAGAGGUCAGUCUCAAGAAGAAGAGAAAAUGAGGUGAACAACACGGGUUACUCUAAAUCAGUUACUGUGAGUCAGCCAAGAAGGGGGGUUGGUAAUCAACAGAAUUCAUCGAGGCAAGAUUCCGGCAUGAAGACUGAUAAGUUCCAGUUUACACCAAUCCCAGUACCGUAUAAGGAACUGUAUCCAAAUUUGUUUGAUGCACAUUUUGUUUCCCCUUUUCAUGUGAAGCCUCUACAACCUCCGUAUCCUGAAUGGUAUGAUGCGAACGCAUAAUGUGACUACCAUACAGGAAUUACGGGACAUUCGAUAGAAAAUUGCACUGCCUUCAAGAAACUAGUUGGAAGACUCAUCGACAUGGGUGUUGUCAAGUUUGGUGACUCAUCUAGUGCAGAAAAUUCACUACCCAAUCAUGAUUGAUGAUGGAGGGAAUGCAAUGUAUGAAGAAGUAGCGAUAUUUUCACAUCGAUGCCAUAUAAGAAGACGAGAUUAAAAGGGUUCUUGUUAGAUAUUCACCUUUGAGGUGUUCUAAAUAAUUGGACUGCAGAAGAAACCCUAUAGUAUUUAGAGUUUGUUAGAGUAAUGUUCAGAACACACUUAUUGCUUUUAGCCUAGAAGCAAUAAGAAAUUCUUUGUGAAAUAGGCUCAUGUCUGAAAAUUAUUAUUUUAAUAAAAUACAUCAUUGCAAUCAUCUUUGAGCAAAUGAUCUUUCAUUCUUUUGGAUUUUUUUUGCCAAACCAUUCUUUCAUUCAUUCAUACAUUCUUUGUAAAUUCUUUAGCACCUAUAAUAGGUCCCUGGAUAUCAAUGACAUGAUUGACACUGCUACAGGCUCUGAAUCUCCUUUUAAGCAAGACUUGUGUUAGAGAGAUUUCACGACUUUGAAGUUGACAUGGAUUGCAGCCUAUCUCCUAACUUGUUGAGGAUGGUAGAGUAAGAUGAGACAAAUUUACCUCAUGAGAAGACAAUGGAGAUUCUGACCUUGAGGGAAUAGGCAUGACCGAAGAAACAAAGCAAGAUAUUGUUGAGUUACUUCAAGAAUUCAAAGAUUUCUACGCAUGGUCAUACCAAGAUAUGCCCGGGUUAAGCACUGUCAUUACAAUCUGAAUAACAGCAUGAUAUCAGAAAUUUACAGUAUGUUCAAGAUUAAUAUCAUGAGUGAUGCAAUGAAAACUCUACUGGAGUAGUGCCUCUCUCUUUAGUUUAUCACGAUUUUUUCUAUUGAAGUCAAAGUUAUUUUUCUUCGAGUAUUGGCUAGCAAGUUGGAUGAAGCAGAACGGAUUCAAUCGCGAUAUGAUUAAUUGAACUUGAUAGAAGGAAAAAGGCUAAAAGCUAUUCAUCACGGUCGAAUGAAUGAUGCGAGCCUAUAAAAAAGGUUUAUCCCAGAGAAUUCCACGAGGGUGACCAAAUGUUGAACAUCUUCUCUCUACAAAAAAAAUGUUUUGGAGGGAAGCGUAUGCCAAAUUUGGAAGAACCUUAUGUUAUAGAGAAGGUUUUUUUCCAAAGAAGCUUUGAUUUUGAGCGAGAUGAAUGAUAAACCUGCAAAGUCCUGUAAACUCAGAUUCAGUCAGGAAAUACUCCGCUUAAAGAAAGAGAGGACCAAGGUAAAAACCCGCAAAGGGCAGUUUGAGUCCAAAAAAAAGGAAAAAUGAAAAAAGUGAUGUGAAAAAAAUGAAAAGAUGAAAAUGAAAAAUGAAAAAGUAAAAAUGGAGAGGCUAAGGCGAAAACUCGCAAAGGGCGCCUUAGACCAAAGAGGAUUUGAGCUGAAAACCCGGAAAGGGCGGCUCAAAUGUUGAUCAAAAUGGCGCUUGAAAUUUUCAGAGUAGCUCAAAUACUGAUCAGAAUGGGGGCAUGCAGUGGUCUUGCUAUACCUGAAUCAAUAGGAAAGGGUAGACGACAUUUUGGGGUAUCGACAAAGUACUGUAGAUCUCCUAAACACAUGUUAAACUCAGAAUAGUCUUCAGAAAGUCUGUACAGAGAAGUUCAAGCUGCGAUAUCUGGGGCACCUAAUCCUUAUACCAUUUUUGUUAUUCUUGGAACACUUCAUUCAUUUCCAAGAUACGCACUCCUAAAUCAAUUUCUUUGUUAUCCAUCUUUAUUAUCCUUGACAAUUUAUUCAUUUCGAGCUGUGCUCAGAACCAACUCUAUUCUUAUCCAUGAUCUUUUUGCAAGCAUGUUGCAUUAGAAUAAUGGUUAGUAGACUAAUAAAACUUUCACAAGGGAAGUUUUUUCAUAUUACUCUAGAAGUUUCUAAAUAAUACGGUAACCUGAAAUAGGACUAUUGUUUAGAACACACCAGGUUAAAGGUUGGAAAUCUAGUAAGGAAGAGUCUAAAUUAAGACUAUCCCUUUGAAUUUUGUUGUUUAAAACAUCGAUUCAACAAAAUGACAAUAUGUCGUGUUGGUGACAAAGCUUAAAAGAACAAGCAAGCAAUGAUCACCGAAUAAUAAGAAGAAGUUCUUCUUGGAGAAGAAUAUUCUUCAUUUGUGCAUGAGCAUUUGGUAUGACUCCCUAGAAAUGAUGAAAAUGACAAAAGAGCUUCACAUUUUGUAUCCUUGAAUUGUGAUAGUGGAGGAUUGAGAAAAGGCUAGAUCUUUUUACCCUUGAGUUACCACGAGAGAAAGAUGAUACAGAUUUUGCAUUCCAGUGGAUUGAACUUUGAAGUUCACAGUGGGGGUAAUUUGAUUAAGUGUUUUUCGGAUAUGCUAGCUGAGCAAGAAGGUGUUAUAGCACAUUAGUGAGGAAACCUUAUUAAAGUUUGAGUAAUAAUAACUCAAGCAUUAAAAGAUCGUUUUCAUGACAUUUUGCAUUCAUUUAAAUGUCAUUCAUACACGUCUAGUUAGGAGCAUUUGAUUCAUUCUAAUCAUGACAUCCUAAUCUCUAGGCAUAAUUGGGUUCAUCAUACAGGUCAUGUUUCACAGAAAACAGAUCAGUGAAAUCAUAAAGCCUUAUCCCCCUGAGCAACAGUGGAGCUGGCUAAAAAGCAGCAGAUCUUGUCUUUAUGUAUUGGCGUCAAGUAGAUCAAAGAUAGCAGAUCUUGUCUUCCCAUACUGGUGGUGAAGUAGAUCGAAGAUAAUUGAUCUUGUCUUCAUAUAUUGACAUGGAGUAGAUCAGAGAUAGCAGAUCUUGUCUUCAUGUAUUGACAUGAAGUAGAUCAGAGAUAGCAGAUCUUAUCUUCAUGUAUUGACAUGAAGUAGAUCAAAGAUAAUGGAUCUUGUCUUCAUGUAUUGACAUGAAGUAGAUCAGAGAUAGCAGAUCUUGUCUUCAUGUACUGGCGUGAAGUAGAUCGAAGAAAGCAUAUCUUGUCUUCAUGUACUGGCAUGAAGUAGAUCGAAGAAAGUAGAUCUUGUCUUCCUGUACUGGCAGUGAAGUAGAUCAAAGAUAACAGAUCUUGUCUUCUCAUACUGGUGGCAAAGUAGAUCGAAGAAAGCAGAUCUUGUCUUCAUGUUUUAGCGUGAAGUAGAUCGAAGAUAGCAGAUCUUGUCUUCAUGCAUUGGCAUGAAGUAGAUGAAGAUAGCAGAUCUUGUCUUCCCAUACUGGUGGCGAAGUAGAUCGAAGAUAGCAGAUCUUAUCUUCAUGUAUUGGCGUGAAGUAGAUCAAAUAUAGCAGAUCUUGUCUUCCCAUACUGGUGGCGAAGUAGAUCGAAUAUACCAGUCUUAUCUCCCUGAAGUUGCAGUGGAGUAGACAGAAGAAACCAAUCUUAUCUCCUUGAAGUUGCAAUGGAGUAGAUUAAAACCACAUAUUUCAUCUCUCUAAAGUUGUAGCAGAGCAGAUCGCAUCAGAUUUAUUUUUAGGUUGUAGCAGAACAAGUUGAAGCUAUAAGUCUUAUCCCCCUGAAGUUGCAGUGGAGCAGAUUAAAGAUAGCAAAUUUUGAAGCUACAACAUACGAAUCCUAUCUCCCUGACAUUCCAGUGGAGUGGAUUGAAACGCUAGUUCCUGUACCUCAGAAGAUGCAGUAGGAAGGAGUGAGGCUACUAGAAGAAAGGCACUGAAGAAGUUGAGGCUCAGUAAGACCAGGCACAAUUGGGCUUUUACUCUUUGCUCCAUUCCCAUUACACGACAAUGAGCAAAUAGGGGCAUCUGUAUAAGCCCAAAUGUGCCCAGGCCCAAUAAAAUUAACCCUAGCCCAAUACCCUUUAAUUUACCCAAGCCCAUAUCAGCCUAAAACCAAAAAAAAGAAACCCUAGCUUCUCUGCCUCAGCGCUGCAGCGAACUGGUGCCACAACAGUAGCCACCAUUCACGUGAGUUGCGCCUCCAUGCACGCUACGCCUUGCACGCCGCACCUCCAGCAGUACCUGCAGCAACAAACACAAACAAUACAGCAAAGAAAAGGGAACAAAACAGAAUAGCAAAAAUUGGGCAACAUUAUGCCAACAAAAAAAAAAUAGAAUAGAUUUCUUUUGAUUUUGUUUUUUUUUCUUUUUCAUUUCGGCUAUUUAAAGCCGUGAAAAAUCUGUAAGAAAGGGGACGAAAACAGAGAAAAAAGAAAUACAAAAUUUUUUCCGAAUACGGAGGUGACUUUUCUGUUUCACUUUAUUUGGCGUUCGUCGCCCUUUAGAUUGUUGUUUUUGUUUUUUUUUUAAUCUUUUUUGAUUUAUUUUUAUUGCUUAAAAUAAAAAGAAAGGGGAAAUGACUAACCUUUGUCGCCUAAACCGUCGAAACGGUCCCCCUCCGUCGCGAUCGGAGGCUGGGGCGGCAAUUGAGUCGUGGGGUUCUUGAACCGCGGUGGGGAGGAAAAGAGAGUGAAACCCUAGCAGAGGGUUUUCACUGUUGUUUGGGGUUUCAAAACCAAAAGGAAAAUGAGUUUUUUUAAGAAAAUUUUUAUUUUUAUUGAAACUGCAAAACGGCGCCGUUUUACCCAAGCAGACCCACGUGGUGACUCGACCCGGAGGGGAAGAUCCGCGCGUUCUGGCCUGGAAGGGGAAAUUGCGCAUUUGGCCAUCCUUUUUUGUGUUGCGUUUCAAUUAAACCCAUUUUGUCUUUUUUAAAAUUGAGCCGCACAUUUCAUUUUUGUUUCAAUUUGGCCCAUCGCUGUGCAGCGUUUUGGAGGGCGGGAAUAAUUUCCCUUUUGGUACUCCAUUAUUGCUUGCGCAUUCAAGUGGGUCCCAUUUUUAUUUAUUUCAAAUUUGGCCCAUUUUUUUUGUCUUUUGUUCAAUUUAAUCCAUUUUUUAAAAACUUUUAUUUUAUUUAAUUAUAUUUUUAAAAAAGCAUUAUUAUUAUAUUAUAUAUUAUCAUUAUUACUAUCAUUAUCUUUGUAUUCAUUCACAUGCAUUUUUCUUAUAUAAUAUAUAUAUGCAUUUUUUAUAUAGUAUUCACCCAUUGUUUUUUAUACGAUAUAACAUAUAUGCAUAUUUUAAUAUAUAUAUUUUCUAAGCUUUUUUAAAUACGUAUAUACUUUAUAUCUACAUACUUUCUCUUAUAUUUUUUUUAUUUUUUUAUAGAAUUUUUUAAUUUUCGUGAAACAAGGUCGGAGUGGAUUCGGGUUCCCCUGUUCUGAAUUUGAAAAAUCGUAAAAAAUUGUAAAAAAAUUAUUAGGGUUUUAAAAUUAUAUGUUUAAAUUCUUAAUGAGUCUAUUUCCAAGAUAAACAAAUGGGAACAUCAUCCAAACCCCGUAAUAAGAGAUAAUUAAUUUUUUAGUAAAGAAAGGUUAAAGCUGUCAAACAAUAGAACAUAGACAAAUUUGAAGAAUUUACUGUACUUAUCGGCUAAGUCAUAAAAUUUAAAAGUUUUAUAGUAAAAAUAUAUUUGAGUCUAGUUUCAAAAACAUCAAGCGGAUCUUAAAUUCGAAUUCUGUAGCUCAAGAUAUAAAUAAUUUAGUGACCAUGACUCAAGUGGACAACUUUGAUAUUAACACAUAAGUAAAUAGUGAAAUUAUAGAUAAUGUUACAUAUAAGUAUGUUAUAUACUAAAAGUUAAAGAUUCUAACAAAUAUAUACAUAAAUGAUGUGGAAUGGAAAUGAGGAGGAGGAAAAAAUAAUAUGAAUAUGUAUAUAUAUAUAUAUAUAGUACAUGAAUUUAAAAUGUUUCAAAAUGGUUGUAAGUGAUUGAAUGAUUAAUACAUGUGAGUAUGUUUAAAUGAAUUGAUAAAAUAAUAAGUUAAUAAUUGUUAAUUGAUGUGUUAUUGAAUUCUUUGUUAAAAUUUUAUGAAGAAUUAAAUUGAUUGGCACAAUUUAGAAAUAUAUAUGAAAUAUACGUAAAGUGGGUAAACUAUUUUUGAAAGUGCAAGUCCUCUAAUGGUCUUAUUUGUAAAACUUUAAUAUUUGUGUUAAUUUAAUAUACUUUGUUAUCUUUGAUUGAAUAUCAUGUUAUUACGAGGACUUGAUAUUAGAAAUAGAUGUAAGUGGAUGAUAUGUAAAAUGAAGUGGCGGUUAUGACAUCUGAAUAUAUAUUCAGGUAAUGAUAAAAAAUAAAUAAAUACAAAUAAAGCGUGGAACUUGUAGGAAAAUGGAUACGACGUCAUGAUGACAAGUUUGCCAUGUCACAACGUAGAAACCCCAACGUUGUGAUGACAGUUCAAAAUUUUUUUAUGAACUAUACAAUUUGGCCUUUGAUCAAUUGUGGAUGUUUUAAUGUGCUCCUUUAACUCAUAAUUAGUUCUAUCGUAAAUUCAAUUAUUACUGAAAUGAGUUAAUGAUCUAUAUUAAUUAAAUAAUAUGAUACAUUGAUCUGAAAUUUUCAGUAGUUGCUUCGGCAACGAAUGUGACAUCCUGAUGCCUUGACUCGGCGACCGGGUCGGGUAUGGGGAUGUUACAUUUCUUACUGACAAUCCCUGCUUGGUUGUUGAAUACAUCAUCAAAAAUUUCUUUGUCACUAAAGGAGAUCUCAACAAUAGGCUUAUGAUCACAUAGAAUUUCUUCACAAAUAACAUUAUUAGAAGCUUAUUGCUCAAACAUAUCUUCAUCUUCAAUUAAAACACUAUGAGAAAACUUCUCAAUAGACUCAGUGUCAUACUUACAAUCCUCGAUUUGAAAAGACGAGAAGUUGAAUGAAAAUGUUGGACAUGUAAUGAUUUGGUGGCCUUUCUCACCACAAAGGAUGCAGGUAGAUGUUGGACAUAUAAAUAGUAGACACUUAGAGUUUUGCUGAUCCUUCUCAUCACAAUGCAUGCAUUUGCUAGUUCGUUCUCUUUGUUCUAUGAUGAGUCAUUUAAGCAUGUGUAUCUUGCUAUAACUUUUGUUCAAAUGUUUUUCCUGACAAAUCCAUGAAAAAUAGAAUAUGUUUAGGCAUUGGAAACAACAUGUUCGUGCGGGCUUGGAACACAUACAAUAUAUAUAUGCUUUGUUGUAGGUUUAUUAUUCUCCUCUUCAAUACUACGUGUGCACAACAUAUCUGAAAGCACAAACACUCAAAACAAAAACUUGCCCAAAUAAACAAACCUCACAUUUAUAUACUCAUUGCAACACCCUUAUACCCGACCCGAUUGUCGAGUCAAGGCAUCAGGAUGUCACAGUCGUUGCCGAAGCAACUACUGAAAAUUUCAGAUCAAUUUAUCAUAUUAUUUAAUUAAUGUAGAUUAUUAACUAAUUUUAGUAAUAAUUAAAUUUAUGAUAGAACUAAUUAUGAGUUAAAGGAGCUCAUUAAAACAUGCAUAAUUGAUCAAAGGCCAACUUGUAAAGUUCAUAAAGAUUUUUGAACUGUCACCGCGACGUUGGGGUUUCCACGUCGUGACAUGGCGAACAUGUCAUCGUGACGUCGUCUCCAUUGUCCUACAAGUUCCACUCUUUAUUUUUAUUUAUUUAUUUUGUAUCAUUACCUGAACCGUAUUCAGAUGUCAUAACCGGCACUUCAUUCUAUAUAUCAUCUACUUACAUCUAUUUCUAAUCUCAAAUCCUCAUAAAAACAUGAUAUUCAAUCAAAGGUAACAAAGUUUAUAAAAUUAACACAAAUAUUAAAGUUUUACAAAUAAGACCAUUGGAGGACUUGCACUUGCAAAAUUAGUUUACCCACUUUAUGUAUAUUUCAUAUUUAUUUCUAAGUUGUGCCAACCAAUUUAUUUCUUCAUAAAAUUUUAACAAAUAAUUCAAUAUCACAUCAAUUAACAAUUAUUUACUUAUUAUUUUAUCAAAUUGUUUAAAACAUACUCACAUGUAUUAAUCAUUCCAUCACCUACAACCAUUUCGAAACAUUUCAAAUUCAUCUACUAUAUAUAUUCAUUUUUUUCCUCCUCCUCCUCUCCAUUCCACAUCCUUUAUGUAUAUAUUUUUUAGAAUCUUUAGCUUUUAGUAUAUAACAUGCUUAUAUGUAAUAUUAUCUAUAAUUCCACUAUUUACUUAUGUGUUCUUAUCAAAUCUGUCCACUUGAGUCAUAGUCACUAAAUUAUUUAUAUCUUGAGAUACAAAAUUCGAAAUUAAGACCCUCUUGAUUUUUUUGAAACUAGGCUAAAAUAUAUUUUUAUAAAAAAUUUCAGAAUUUAUAAUUUAACCAAUAAGUACAUUAAAUUCUUCAAAUUUGUCCUUGUUUUGCUACUUGACAGCUUCAACAUUUCUUUACUAAAAAUUAAUUAUCUCUUAGUACGACGUUUGGAUGAUGUUUCUUUUUGUUUCUCUUGAAAAAAGACUCAUUAAGAAUUUAAACAUGUAAAUUUAAACUCCUAAUCUUUUAUUUUUUACAAUUUUUGAUGAUUUUCUAAAGUCAGAACAGGGGAACUCAUCAAUCUGACCUUGUCUCAAAAAAAAUCAUAUAUCUCAUAAUAUGAAAUUCUUUUGCUUACACCGUUUCUUCUAUGUAAAACUAGACUCAAUAGGCUUUAAUUUCCUGCUUUAAUUAACUUCUAAUUAAAUUUAUAUAAUUUUUGGUGAAUUUUUAAAGUUAGACUACUGCUGCUGUCCAAAAUUAUUUUGGUGCAAAAUAUUGAUAACCGAGUUUAUAACACCCUCCUUUCCUUUCUCUACAAUAUUACCCAUCAAUUCCUCUUAUUUUCUUUCACUAACAUAUUAAAAACAUAAAGCCUUAUAUAAGAAAACUCUACUUUAACAUCAUUUUCAUGCUUUUUCAAUAAUAUCAAACUUAAAGAUAUAUAUAUAUAUAUAUAUAUAUAUAUAUAUAUAUAUAUAUAUAUAUAUAGAUAUAUAUAUAUUGAAAUUUUGAUAUUCUUACCUUAUCCUAUUGAUUUCAAACUUUAACUUAAUUUUCUCUCUCCUCCAACUUCUAUUUUCUUGAAUCCAAGGUGAUUUUCUUAUUCUCCAUAGUCUCAUUAUCUCUUUUCUCUCUUGGUGAUUAUAAAAAUUCCUUGAAAUUUUAGGUGAAAAUGGUGGAUUUUUGGUAGAAGGAUCAAAUUGUAAAGAAAAUAAAGUUUUCUUCUUCUCUCUCCCUCACCCACGCUGGAAAGAUGGGAGGAUGCUCUUUUUUUUUUCGCUUAUUCAAUUUAGUCCUUAUUAAUCCAUUUUCCUUAGUUUCUAGAUCUUUCUACCUUUAAAAUAUUUACACUAUUGGCCUUUCACUUCAACUUUUCCAUAUUUAUACUUAUACCACAAAAAUUCUCAUAUUUAUAAUUUAGUUCAUUCUUUAAUUUAAUACAUUUUGUCUUGCUUUUGAUGUCUUUCAACUUUUGUUUUCAUUAAUCUUAUACCUUUCUAUGUGCAAUUUAUCUAUAGUUUUAAUAAAAGUAUCGGUACAGCUCAGUUGUACUCAAUUAUCAUCAGGCUCCCACCCUUUGAUGUAAAUCCUCCCUUGUGAUCUCCUGUACAUAGCCUUUUCUGAGAUCUCCUGUACAUAGCCUUUUCUGAUUCGUCAUAGUAAAUCUGUAACCCCGCUCUCCUCUCCUCCCCUUCCUUUCCCUUUUUUGUUUUACUUUUGCGCAGCCGGUGGUACACCUUCGACGCAUCAAAAAACAAAAACAAAAAACCUUAGUUUAUUAUUGGAAUUUAUUAAUCCGAAUCCACGUCAUCAAUCCUCGUAGUGUCGCAUGAAAUAAAUGGAUACCGUUGGAUAAACACCCCCAAUAAGCUAUCCCUAGCCGUUGGAUUGUAGCUCCUACCAUUGUUCUUCUAACUUUCCUUCAUCUCACAGCCAAGUUUUCCCUUUUAAAUCCUAAAGCCUUCUCACCAAAAUCAACAAUUAACAGUUCACUACUUCGUCUUCCUCUCACUCUCUUCUUCGCUUUCUCUUAAAUAAUACGAAAGCUAAAAGAAAAAGCUCUAAAUUUCAAUGGCUACCGAAGAAAUUAGUCGAACUCAAGGCCUCAAUCCUUCUCAACAAUCUUCUUCACUUCCAGACUACCCUCAGGUAGUUUGCAUUUCGUUGUUUUGUUGGGCUUUUCCAGAUCAUUUCAUUUGAUGUUAACUUUUUUUUUUUUUAAUUUUCUGAUUUUACUGGAUAGAUGAUUCUGGAAGCCAUAGAGGCAUUGAAUGAGAGAGAGGGUUCCAGUAUGUCAUCCAUCGCCAAGCACAUCGACUCCACUCACUCCGAUCUCCCAGCGUCUCACACCACUCUCCUCUCCCACCACCUCAACCAGAUGAAACAAAUGGGUCAAAUUGUUAUGUUGAACAACAAUUACUCGAAACCCGACCCCAAUGCCCCACCCAAGCGUGGACGUGGACGUCCACCUAAACCUAAGGUUCCUCUUCCACCUGGCGUCGUCGUCUCUCCUCCCAGACCUCGUGGUCGUCCGCCUAAGCCGAAGGACUUAUUGGCUCCCCCGAAGCCCAAACCCGUCAGCACCGGAAGGCCGCGUGGGCGCCCCCCUAAGAAGGCCAAGACUGGUACGGCCACCGCUCCUCCACCUCCUCCCGGCGUGAAGCGAGGCCGCGGUCGACCUCCCAAAGUGUUACCGUCGGUGGGUUUUCAGUAAAGUAGCCAAGUUAAUAAACGAAAGAGAAUGGAGAAGAGGACUCAUUCCGUCACUGCUCCUACCCCAGCCGCGUUAGGUUUAAUAUUUUUUUAACCUUAAUUGUUUAGGUGUGGUUUAGUUGUCUGCUAAUUGACGUUUUAGCUUUUUCGGUUUAUUGUUGUAGUUAACUUCGGGUGGAGUACUGUAAUGAAUUUAGUGUAGGGUUUAGAUUUUACUUGAGUUCGACUCUUUGUAAUUUCAAUAUGUGAUUUACAUGUAAACCUAUUACUCUGUCAACCGGUGAUGACUCUAAACUUUAAUUUGCUGUGGUAAUUAUGGCAGGUUUGAUGUGACUUGUCUUUUUUUUUCUUCCCCCGCUUUUUUUCAAAAUCAAAUUGUUAAUCAAAUUGAAGAUAUAUUACUUAUUUUGUUAAAAAAUUAUUUAUAGUUAUUAUUAAAUUUAUUAUGUUACUGUUUAGUUAUUUUAUUAGUUAUCUAGUUUUUAAAGUAAGGUAAAAUGAAAUUUAAUUUCUUUUCAUAUCUAAUUUCAUUUAGUAUUAUUUUAUAAUAUUGUAUCACGCUACAUUAAAUUAAACUGUGAGAGCUAAUUUUUUAAAAAGCAAUUACAUUUUAUGUAAAAUUUUAAAAAUCUGUUUGAAAAUAAUUUUAGAAUGAUAUAAGACCUUUGGAUUUUUUUUAUUAUAUAAAAUAAUUUAAAAAUUAAACUCUCCUAAAUCAAAAUUUAUUUUCAAGUUGCACUCCCCCUAUUUAAAACAUGAAGACAUUGUUUUGAAAAAAAAUUGAAGCAAAUUGCUUGAAUUUCAAUAAAGGAUAGAAAAUGGAGUUGAUUGAAACUCAUAUUUUUUAUAACUUAUGAGCAAUGUUCUAAGAUUGAGAAAAUUUUGUGUUGCCAUUGCUUAUAGCGUUAUUGAACUCUGCAAAUUUUGGUGGGAAUUCUCUUUUCGCCUUUUUAUGGGAAUAAUGAAAAAUUAUAAAAUUAUAUAUUAAAUUUGCGGAAUUCAAUUAGUUUGUUGCAAAAUAAAACACAGUAUAAUAGGCGAAAAGAGAAUUCCCAUAAAAAGAAUUUAACUAUUGUACUGUGUUUUAUUUUGCAACAAACUAAUUGAAUUCUUUUUUUUUAAUUGUAGAUUUGCAACAAAUGAAUUCUUUGAUUAAUAAUGAUGAUCACAUAUAAAAAAAUUAUUAAUGAGAUAGUAAUUAAAUUUUUAUUUGUUACUCACGUCAUUUACAGAAUUAAAUUAGGUUAUAUUAACUAUUUCACUAAUUUAAUAAUGUCAGGGUUUGUACCGUGCAUUGAGGGGUCGUGUGAAUGGUGUAAGCUAUUUGCCGGAUGAACACCUCUUGCCAUACUUGGAGUUAGCCGAAUUCGGAUCAGCAGCAUUGAUCCAGAUCUUUGAUUUGCGAUACGACUUAAUAUAUACUUUGGUGGAGCGAUGACGCACAGAGACUCACACAUUUCAUUUGUCGUGUGGGGAGUGCACCAUCACUUUGCAGGAUGUUGCAUUACAACUCGGGCUCCCCCUCGACGGGAAUGCACUUACUUGGACGCUCGCUAAGUGGGGAAAUUUACAGGUUUGAGGUUUUUAAGGCUAAAGGUCAAUUUUGAGCAUUUACCGAGUACUGCCAUUGAAUGGAAGGUGAUGUACACCAUUCGAGCUUACAUUAUGCACAUUAUAGGGGUGUACUCAUGCUUGAUGCCAACAAUAACAAGGUUCAGUUGAUGUACUUGCUCCUAUUAUCUGAUUUGCAUAACUUUUAUUUGUAUAGUUGGGACUCCAUAGUGUUAGCUAUGUUGUAUCGUGAACUUUUUCGGACGAUAAAUCCUUCUGCCGUGGACAUAGGCAGAUGCCUAAUAUUGUUGCAGUCUUGGGUGCUUUACCGGAUGCCAUUCUUAGCAUCAAUUAGUCACCAAUCAUAUAUAUUUCCACUUGUGAAUAGGUGAUGAAUUUUUACUCAUUAUAACAAUUAUUUGACAUUUUUUUUCGGAUGAUAUUAUUCUAACAAUUUGUUUUUGUAGAUGGAGUACUAAUUCGAGUAUUAGGAGGUCAUACACGGUUCCGAUAUACUGUCUAAUGAUUGAGAAUCAUGCUGGAGAGGGGGAAGUUUUUCUAAUAUUCAUGAGAUUUUAUUAUUUUAUCUUACUCGACCUGUGUUAAUAUAACAAUGUUAUUAAUUGUGUAGUUUAUCUGGAUGCCCUAUUCUGUCUUGAAAAUUAUGGUGGUUAUUCCAUCGUUUGCCUACGUCCACUAAGACCUAAGGUGGAUUAAUGCACCCAUUAUUAAUUUUCAGAUAGUGGAGUGGUAUCACGGGGAUCGAGUACUCUGGUAGUUUAGUUGCAUACAGUAUAUUCUGACACUGCCAAUACAGUUGGUGGACAUCCACGAGAUUAACAAGAGGGGGAAACAUGAAAAUAAUUGGGCGGUAGUGCAUGAACAAUAUAUUGCAGAGUGAAACAACUGGUUGGGGCGGAUACCUUAGAUGGAUCGUGCUUUGGAUCUACAACCCUAGUUAGAGUACAUACAGUGGUACUCUGAGAUGGGGAAACCAUCUUUAUUUGGUGGGUGGUCGAUGAUAGUCCUUCUGCAUCUGACACGACUUGGGAAACCCUCCUAUCCCUUUCUACAUCCGCCUCUAGAACCAGAGCCAGAGCUACACUCUUGGGAUAGUUCUUAUCAUUAAGACUUGGGGUGCGAUGACUAUUUCCCAAGCUCUUCAGGUCACAUGUAUCUUUUAGAGUUUGAUAUUUUUAGCCCACUACCACCGCAAUACUCCACUUCCCCCGGCUCAAGUUCAUCGAUGGCACUUGAGGCAUAUGAUUUUUCUUCUAUGUUUCAUACACCUCCAUGUGCAGGUGAAAGGAAUGUUGAUCGCUGCAAUCACUCGAAACGUGAAUGUCGACCUCCGCAAAAAUAUACCCCUAGGACCAUUCCAUCAAACCAUCAAUUUUAGAGGUUUUUGCAAUUUAAAUAGUUAAGUUUGUACUUAUUUAAUUCUACAAAAAUAUAAAUGAAAAAAAUAUAUAAAUUUUGUAAUUCAAAUUAUAUUAAUUGCAACAAAAUUUAGUAAAAUUUAGUAUUUAUUUAAUUGAGAUUCAUUGCAACAUUAAAAAUAUAACAAACUUUGUAAUUUAAAUUAGAUUAAUUGCAACAUUAAAAUGAGGAACAAAAUUUGUAAUAUAAAUUAGAUACAUUGGAGUACAUUAGCUCAACUCCUACCCGAUCGUGACGAUUGUCCAAUAUGGUAGUUUUAAUGCGGACAUUUACACCGAUUAUAACUAGCUAAUCUGCAUACACCAUAAAGGUUCCCGUCGAAUUUCUCCAUAAUGUCCAUUUCAUUAUGGAUUUUAGAUUAUUGUUGACGACCUUUCAAAUUCCUAAGCAAAUCCUUUGUCUAGGAUAAGCUCGAAAGUCGUUGGAGGUACCUACCACGUAGGCAGGUUAGGUAGGACGGGGAUCUCGUUCUCCCAGACACACAACGUGCGUUUGAGGAUGUACACCUAGUUGAUAAAUUAUUCAACAUUGAGUGAGACUUUGACACAGGGUGUCACGACAAGCACACAGGGAUAAUGAAGUGUCUGAAACCUCUUACAAUCGCACUAUCUAUUCCGGAGAUCAACUUCGUAGGACCUAGGUGGUAUACCGGUCGACGAUUGAUGGUCUGCGUAACUUGAAACAUUUUAAGAUACCGUGAGUAUACUUUUACAUUCAUCGACCACGCCAUCCGACAGUUUGCAACCAUUGCAUCCUUGACAUAUUCAAGAAACACGUGUCCUACCUUUAUCUGGUUGGCUUGUUACUGUCCCGUUCAUAGCAUCAAGGUAGCCAACCUGUAGAAUGUAGCCGAGAACACAGAUAAAAUCAGAUGUGGUUUUUCAUCAACACGGAGCUAACCCCCUUAGCCAAGUUUGUGGUCAUAUGACCAUAGCGAAAUCCAUCCUAUAGAACGUAGUCGAGAACAUAGAUGAAAUCGAAAGAUAUCGUGUUUUCAUCAACAUGGAGUUAACCCCUUCGCCAAGUUGGUGGUCAUAUAACCAUAGCGAAAGCACUCGUCGAAACUUUGAGCUCAUUGCCACGGCUCCAUGGUACCCAACCACUGUCAGAAAGGUGUGUUCGUUUCACCCUCCAUAUCACUCUCAAGACGAGCCAUCUUUUGCCAAAAAAUGUGUGACUCUAGCUCAUACGUUGUGUUUGUAUUAAGAAAAAAUAAAUUAUAGUCUCGCCCUAAAACAUUAAAAUGUAUAUUGAAAAGAUAAGGUCAUCAUUUACCCAUUCUAACAACUUGUCUCCACCAAUCUGCAUUCUUAGAAUCUCGGUGAAAGUUAGCCGCAAUGUGCAGGAUAGAGUAAACAAAUCUCCUUGGUACACUGGAACGCAUAAGGGCGGCAAUUAAUCCUUUCCCUCUAUCGGGGAUGAUGCAGAUAUUAUAGUUACUAAUAAUAUACCUCCACAAGUUCGUAAGAAAGAAUUUUCAUAAUUUCAUAAUUUCAUGUUUUCCUUAUCCACAAUGGCAAAUGCUAUUGGAAGCAUAUUCUUGUUCCCGUCUUGAGCAACUGCAAGAAAUAGGAUUUGUGUACAUUUACCAUAUAGCCAGGUUCCAUCUACUUACACAAACGACUUGUAGUGGGAAAAUGUGCGCACGCAUGGGUCAAAUGUCCAGAAUAUCCGUUGGAAAAUUAUUUUUCCUAGUUGUUGUUGGUUAUCCGGGCUGGAAUAAGGUCAUGUCUGCAACUCAAUUACAGUCUCAGGCACGUACUUUUGCAUAGCAGCUAUCCAUCCCUGUAGCUCAUUGUAUGACGCAUCGAAAUCUCUGUACAAUUGCUUAAUUGUUAGAUGUUUAGCUAUCCAUGUCUUUCGGUAUGAUACUCAAUACUGGAAUUGUGUCUACAUUUCGGAAAUCUGUACCGAAACUUUAAUGGUUGGCAUGUCAUUCACCAUUGGCAUGAUGCACGUACAAAUAGUUUUGGAACCAAGUUUUUGAUUAUCUUCUGUGCAAGUGUGAGGUCUAACAAAUUUAUUUAUCUCCCACAUCUGCGACUUUUGGAUAAAUGCGGCUCGUAUCUGCCAAUUGCAGCUUUCCGUCGACCUCCAACACUUCCAUAUAUAUAAUGUCGGUUUAGACACGGUAACUUUGUAAUCCACUAGACAUUCAUGUUAUACCGCUUAAUGGGAAAUACAAAAUAUUCCUUAACUUUGAAUCUCUGGCCUACGAACAACUUCUUAGGAUCAGAAUCUACGGAUAGCCAGUGAACAUGUAGUAUUUUAGGGUACUCUAGGAACUCAGCUGCGUACUUUCCAUCUGGGUCUAUGAGCGACAUGUGUGUCCCAGGAUUAUUGCAUAUCACAAUACGUCGAAUUUAGUUCCUGACUAAAGACAUGUUAACGUUUCCAUCAUCAUUCGAGCCUUCAUCGUCAAUAUCAUAUGAUAUCAGAACCACCAUACACGUCUCUUGAGCUCUAUAUUAUUCACUUAGUGGAGUGAGAUCUUCAGUUGGCUCCAUACCAGCCAGCUCAUCAGUGCAUUUUGGUCCCUUCGAUUCCCACAAUAAAGAGCGACUCUUGUCUCUACGUCUUUAUCGUGUACAAGUUUCAUCUUAGUGAAUUUGAUGGGAUUUGUCGAAACUGAAAACUUGUAGAAAAGUUUCGAGAUCCUUCUCUCACAACGUCUAACAAUUUUUACACUAAUCAUUUCCUUCAUAUUAUCAAAUGAGACAUUUCUAUUAAAUCUCAUUGUUAUUUGUUGGCAACAUUCAAAUAUACAUCCAACUGUUGUUGUCAAAAUUACUCCAUCGAAAUAAAGGCAUAGGAAGAAUUGAUUAUCCAUAUUUAAUACUAAAUCUAUUAAAAAAAUAAAAAUUCUCAAAACAAUUUCAAAUAGCAAAAAAUUACUUCAAUAAAAUAUUUAAUGAAAAAAAGGACCAAAAUUAUGUCAAUAUGCAAAACUUUUCAUUUAUAAGCUCAGGUUUUUUUAGUUAUCAUUUUGUACAUGUACAACCACAUUUACUCAUUUUUUUCAUAUUCUCUACUCUCUAACGUUUACUUUAUCUUUACAUUUAACCACUUAAACUAAUUUCUAGGUUUUCUUCCAUCUCCGAUUCUGUAUCUUUCUCCGGGAAAUUCUUUAUAUAAAAUUUUGAAUUCUCUUCAAAUUCAUCUUUUACAAUCCAAUUUGGAAAUUCCUCGGGAUCUUCUUCUUCUUUAAUCUUUAUAACGGGAAUCGAAUUUAUAAAUUCUUUUGGUAUUUUCCUAACAACUAAUUUAUCUAUCCAUGGUAGGUCAAAGACAUUUUUCUUCCGAGUCAACUUUCGCGAACCUACACUUUCUCUCGCUAUUUUCCUUGCUCCAUAAGAGAUUAUAAACUUCACAAAGUAUAUAACUAUAUUCCAAUAGGUUUGUGGUACUAAUGUCUUCCAAAGUUGGUCUAAAAUGAUUUGAUACCCGUUUUCUAUUAAUGUCCAUCUAAGGUUCAAAUAUUGCACUUUAUUCUUUUUAAUCAGUUCAUGACACUUCCAUAAAUCUUCUUGUAUCUUUUGAUUUAUGAUAAUAAGGUGUUGAACGAUGCCUUCUUCUGGUUUCAUUCUAUAAUCUUGCAAUACUCUCAUCAUGUUAUCAACUUUUUCUCUUUGUGCUGAACUUGUUAUCUCAUUAGGUAAUAUCAGAUUUACUACCAUUUCUACCAAUAUCUUUGACAAAAAAUAUUUUUUUUCGAAUUUCAGUAUUUAUCUAUUUUCCUUUGGUGUCAUUACUAACUAACAAUUAAUCUAUAAUAGUUACUAACAAAAUAACUUUAAAACAAUAAAAGAUUACAUUCAUAACCUAAAAAUAAAUAAUAAACAUUAAACUAAAUAAACAAUUAACUUAGUCACAAAAAUUACUAACAAAAUGUAACACCCCUAACCCAUAUCCGUCGCCGGAACAGAGUUACGAAGCAUUGCUGGAGUUUACAGAACAAAUACGGUUAAUUCAUGAAAUUUACUAUUUAUAUAUGAAAUCAAUCAUAUUCAAUCAUAUUGUUCCUUAAAUGGACCCUUGAGGCCUAAUUUAUGUGUUUGAAACAAAUCGGGGCUAAAUCAGAAACUCAGAGAAUUUUUCGUGAAAUUUCAAAAAUUUUCCUAGGUACAGGAGACACACGCCCGUGUGGCCAGGCUGUGUGGCUCACACUAUCAUUGACACGCCUGUGUCUUAGGCCGUGUGGGCAUUCGGUGUAACUCUAUGACUUGGGUCGCUGGGCCAGCCACACGUCCUUGUGCUAGGCCAUGUGGACAAUUUAUUUUUCAAAAAUUAGGUGUAAGGGAGACACGACCAGACAACAUGCCCAUGUGCAGGCCCGUGUCUCUGCCCCUAUGGAUGAAAAUUAGCCAUUUUAUGGCUUCUUUUCUCACCCAUUCUUGACUUCAACCUACACACCUCAAAUUUCAUUCAUAUAGGCCAUAACAAGAUCUCUAAAACAACCAAUUCCUAACUUUAAUACGGUCAUAUUAUCACAUAUAUUCUAACAUUCUAAUUAGAACAUAAAUCAAUUCACACAUGUAACUUCUUAUAUCAACAGGUUUUACCAAUUUGUUCAUUACUAAGCCUAAGAACUAUCCAUCCAUUAACCACACUAAUACUAUACUAAACAUGAUAAAACCAUUCAUAUAUAAGUUAACUUGAAACAUAAAUAAAAGGUAAUUAUUGACAUUUACACAACCAUUUCAAUCUCUAUACAUGCCAUAUAAACCAUAAUAUAUAUUACAAAAUCUACCGGAAUAAGUUGGAUAGUGUGGCCUGAUGUGUUGAUCCGAUCCUCCGAUCUCAUGUUAAUCUACAAAGACAUUAAACAAACAAGUAAGCUUAACGAAGCUUAGUAAGUUCGUUGGCUUUUAAACUUAAAUCUUAAUGAACAACUUCAAUCGAUGAAUUCAUUUAUUUCAGAUUGAUAUUGUAACACCCCUUACCCGUAUUCGACGCUGGAUUAGGGUACGAGGCAUUACUGAAACAUACACUUGUAAACAUUUUAAAUCGAGUAAUAAAAAUUUUCANNNNNNNNNNNNNNNNNNNNNNNNNNNNNNNNNNNNNNNNNNNNNNNNNNNNNNNNNNNNNNNNNNNNNNNNNNNNNNNNNNNNNNNNNNNNNNNNNNNNNNNNNNNNNNNNNNNNNNNNNNNNNNNNNNNNNNNNNNNNNNNNNNNNNNNNNNNNNNNNNNNNNNNNNNNNNNNNNNNNNNNNNNNNNNNNNNNNNNNNNNNNNNNNNNNNNNNNNNNNNNNNNNNNNNNNNNNNNNNNNNNNNNNNNNNNNNNNNNNNNNNNNNNNNNNNNNNNNNNNNNNNNNNNNNNNNNNNNNNNNNNNNNNNNNNNNNNNNNNNNNNNNNNNNNNNNNNNNNNNNNNNNNNNNNNNNNNNNNNNNNNNNNNNNNNNNNNNNNNNNNNNNNNNNNNNNNNNNNNNNNNNNNNNNNNNNNNNNNNNNNNNNNNNNNNNNNNNNNNNNNNNNNNNNNNNNNNNNNNNNNNNNNNNNNNNNNNNNNNNNNNNNNNNNNNNNNNNNNNNNNNNNNNNNNNNNNNNNNNNNNNNNNNNNNNNNNNNNNNNNNNNNNNNNNNNNNNNNNNNNNNNNNNNNNNNNNNNNNNNNNNNNNNNNNNNNNNNNNNNNNNNNNNNNNNNNNNNNNNNNNNNNNNNNNNNNNNNNNNNNNNNNNNNNNNNNNNNNNNNNNNNNNNNNNNNNNNNNNNNNNNNNNNNNNNNNNNNNNNNNNNNNNNNNNNNNNNNNNNNNNNNNNNNNNNNNNNNNNNNNNNNNNNNNNNNNNNNNNNNNNNNNNNNNNNNNNNNNNNNNNNNNNNNNNNNNNNNNNNNNNNNNNNNNNNNNNNNNNNNNNNNNNNNNNNNNNNNNNNNNNNNNNNNNNNNNNNNNNNNNNNNNNNNNNNNNNNNNNNNNNNNNNNNNNNNNNNNNNNNNNNNNNNNNNNNNNNNNNNNNNNNNNNNNNNNNNNNNNNNNNNNNNNNNNNNNNNNNNNNNNNNNNNNNNNNNNNNNNNNNNNNNNNNNNNNNNNNNNNNNNNNNNNNNNNNNNNNNNNNNNNNNNNNNNNNNNNNNNNNNNNNNNNNNNNNNNNNNNNNNNNNNNNNNNNNNNNNNNNNNNNNNNNNNNNNNNNNNNNNNNNNNNNNNNNNNNNNNNNNNNNNNNNNNNNNNNNNNNNNNNNNNNNNNNNNNNNNNNNNNNNNNNNNNNNNNNNNNNNNNNNNNNNNNNNNNNNNNNNNNNNNNNNNNNNNNNNNNNNNNNNNNNNNNNNNNNNNNNNNNNNNNNNNNNNNNNNNNNNNNNNNNNNNNNNNNNNNNNNNNNNNNNNNNNNNNNNNNNNNNNNNNNNNNNNNNNNNNNNNNNNNNNNNNNNNNNNNNNNNNNNNNNNNNNNNNNNNNNNNNNNNNNNNNNNNNNNNNNNNNNNNNNNNNNNNNNNNNNNNNNNNNNNNNNNNNNNNNNNNNNNNNNNNNNNNNNNNNNNNNNNNNNNNNNNNNNNNNNNNNNNNNNNNNNNNNNNNNNNNNNNNNNNNNNNNNNNNNNNNNNNNNNNNNNNNNNNNNNNNNNNNNNNNNNNNNNNNNNNNNNNNNNNNNNNNNNNNNNNNNNNNNNNNNNNNNNNNNNNNNNNNNNNNNNNNNNNNNNNNNNNNNNNNNNNNNNNNNNNNNNNNNNNNNNNNNNNNNNNNNNNNNNNNNNNNNNNNNNNNNNNNNNNNNNNNNNNNNNNNNNNNNNNNNNNNNNNNNNNNNNNNNNNNNNNNNNNNNNNNNNNNNNNNNNNNNNNNNNNNNNNNNNNNNNNNNNNNNNNNNNNNNNNNNNNNNNNNNNNNNNNNNNNNNNNNNNNNNNNNNNNNNNNNNNNNNNNNNNNNNNNNNNNNNNNNNNNNNNNNNNNNNNNNNNNNNNNNNNNNNNNNNNNNNNNNNNNNNNNNNNNNNNNNNNNNNNNNNNNNNNNNNNNNNNNNNNNNNNNNNNNNNNNNNNNNNNNNNNNNNNNNNNNNNNNNNNNNNNNNNNNNNNNNNNNNNNNNNNNNNNNNNNNNNNNNNNNNNNNNNNNNNNNNNNNNNNNNNNNNNNNNNNNNNNNNNNGUUACUUCUAACUUCAUGAAACACUUUCCCUAAUUUUCCAGAAUCACUAAUCAAUUUAAUCUCAUAUAUCUUUUCUUUUUUUUUUAAUAAGUAUUUCUCUAUAUCAUAUUUUCUGAAAUAUAGAUUUUUCAUUUCUCUCACUAAUUCUGUUAUCACGGACCUCACAUUAUUCCAUUCACUAACAAUCUGAUAUUUUUUUUAAAACAGAGCUCAUUUGUUACACUAUACCCAACUCUAUUUGCCUUACUAAUUUGACUACUGAACUCUUUAGUUCACAUUUAUGAGCUUAUUCAACAUGAUUCUCGUAAAAAAAUUUCGUCAUAAAGCAAUACUGAUAAGAGUGUGAUGGUACUCUCAUAAAUACAUAUAUAUAUGACUUAGCAUUCAUCAUUAAUAUAAUACCAUUACAGCCACAUAGUUCAUUCCAAGCAAAAUAACAAAUAUGUUUUCUAUCACCCACAAUAUCACACAAUCGAUUUACUUACUCAAGCUUAAUAUUAAUAUCUAAUUAAAUUUCAAUACUUGGCUUCCAUUUUACUUAUCGACAUUUGUCAAAUUAGAGAACGUCUUAUGGGAUUAAGUACUUCGUUUUCUCGAUAUCAUAGUCCAACUAUGGUUUUACACGUAAUCACAUAACACAUACCGAUGCCAUAGCCCAGCUAUGGUCUUGUACGGAAAUCACAUAUCACAUGUUGCCAUGGUCCAACCAUGGUCUUUUCCGUCAAUUCAUUGCAUAUCACUGAACGAAAGUACUCAUUCCUGCGUUCUACUCAAUUUGAUCUUCCAAUUCAAUUUUCAUGCUAUUAUAAUAUUUAUAGUUCAAUAAUAAAGACAUAAAACAAAACAUCAUAUUAUUUUUAAUUUAACAAUUAAACAUAAGAUUCUAUCAUAUAAAUAUAUUGAUUACACUUAUUCAAGCAUGUGUACAUAAAUACACAUUCCAUCUAUUUGUGUAUAUUUGCUUACCAUAUUUACUUAAUCAAAUAUGUUGAGCGCAUAACAUCAUAUGCACGCCAAGCAAACACGGAUGAGUUUAUCACCAUAUAAACUUUCAUUUUAUUCUAUGUUUUCACAUUUCUCAACUCAUGGUUAUCUCAUUUCGUACAUUGACACAUACUUAUCAUGAACUUCUAUUCAUACCUUUCUAAAUUUCGUUUCUUCAAUAACACAUUUCAAUCAUCUCAAUAUAAAUUUUCAAUAUUAUUGGAAAUAGCUCGGUUAGAAGUCAUCUCUGUCUUAACAAAACAAUUUCAUUAGAGUCGAAAAAUAUUACACUAUCACGUUUCUUCUCAAUAGCUCAACAAUUCAUUUCGUUUGAUUUAACUUUUCAAUUAAUCACCCUUCAAAUUUUAAUUCUGGAAUUCCCAUUUAUCUUUCAAAUCUUUAUAUUAAAUUAAUUAGUAACCCAUGAAUUUCUUCACUUCUCACUCAUAUCAUAGAUCUUAUUAUUAUUCUAUAAUUUUAAAUUUCUAACGAACACUCCUUUUACUCUUAAUGUAUCUUUUCAUUCUUAUCCCUAAGAAUUUGUCUUUUAUAUCUGAAGACAAAAAUAAAUAACAUUUACUUAUUGACAACUUUAAAAUAACACAUGCUUAUCUAUUCACAACUUUAUACCUGUGGGUCCUCUGGAGUCAUCAUCAUUAGAAUCUUAAAAUCUUUGCUAAAUCCNNNNNNNNNNNNNNNNNNNNNNNNNNNNNNNNNNNNNNNNNNNNNNNNNNNNNNNNNNNNNNNNNNNNNNNNNNNNNNNNNNNNNNNNNNNNNNNNNNNNUAUCUCUUCUUAUUUCCUGAAUAGUACGUUCUCUUAUUACUAUCCACCUAUACUUUUUUUUUAUUCAAUAUUUCAAACAUGAAUCAGAAAUAAUAUUUUAUCUUGUAACAAAAAUUGUUUUCCUUUUUAGCAGAGGCCCAGUAGACGAAACAGAACACUUAGGAUAUACGGGACUGAUACAGAGGUGCAUUAUUAUGCACUAUUAAACAGAGAGCACUAAAGUGCUAUACAGAGAGCACGAAUGUGCUAAACAGAGAGCACUAAUGUGCUAAUAAUCGGAGAGCGUGCUAGUAAUCAGAGAGCACUGACGUGCUAAUAAUCAGGGAGCACAGACGUGCUAGUAAUCAGAGAGCACUGACGUGCUAGUAAUCAGAGAGCACUGACGUGCUAAAUAUCAGAGAGCACCAACGUGCUAAAUAUCAGAGAGCACCAACGUGCUAAAUAUCAGAGAGCACCAACGUGCUAAUAAUCAGAGAGCACUGAUGUGCUAAUAAUCAGAGAGCACGCUAAACUCCCUUAAUAUCCUAAUAGUUCUAAUCUCGUCUACUUGGGCAAAUUAUUUCAUGUAUGCAUAUCACUUUUACACUUUUCGUAUAAUGCUUUUACAUGCUUUACAAUUUAAUUCUUGUACCAAUAAUUCGUGCAUUUAUAUCUUCUCUAUCUUUAACACAUGUAAUAUAUUUUAAAAUUCACUAUUCAUCCAUAAUUCUUUAAUAAUCCUUAUCAUAUACUUCAUAUAUUACUUUUGUAUAUUUUAUAAUUUAGUUAUCAGCACAAUAAUUCGUGUAGCACUAUAAUUUACUUUUAAUAAUACAUAUAACAAAAUAUUAUUCAUCGACAUGUCUUAUAGAACAUUUUUUUUUCAUACCUUUAUGAGUUCCAAUUUAUCAUAAUCAACUUUCUACUCAUAUACUUGAGUAUUGCUUUCAAUAUUAUCAAAAUUAACUAAGUUGAAAAGUAUAUAUAUCUAUAAGUAAAGCAAAUCUCAUCAGGGUCGGGAUAUAUCAUACUAUCACAGGUUAUAUGAUGGUAUGUAUUUCCAAACUUCACAUAUGCUACGUCCGGUCCGAGAAUCGACUAAACCAUAGCUCUGAUACCACUAAAUGUAACACCCCUUACCCGUAUUCAACGCUGGAUUAGGGUACGAGGCAUUACUGAAACAUACACUUGUAAACAUUUUAAAUCGAGUAAUAAAAUAUCAUUUAAAAAUUAAAUUAAAAUACUAAUAAACUAAUAUUUAUUUAAUUAAUAUAAAAUAUCUCCAACAUCAUCAUUAUCUUCUAGAUUUCUCUCUCUUCUAAUUGACCAUUUUGCCCUUUACGAUCUUUUAAAAUUCCAUCCUUGAGUCAUCACUUAAUUUGGUAAAAUUGCAAUUUAGUCCCUCAAAAUUCUUCACCUUUUUCAAUUUGGUCCUAAUCCAUCCAUUUUCCUUAGUUUCUAGAUCAUUCCACCCUUAAAAUAUUUACACCAUUGGUCCUUCAACUUUUUCAUAUUUAUACUUUAGCCCCUUAAUUUUUGAGUAUUUACUCUUAGGCAACAAAACUUUUCUCACUUUUGCAAUUUAAUCCUUUCUUGAAUUAAUAUGUCAUAAUAUACUUUCCAAUGUUGACAUAACUCAAUUACUCUUUUUAUCACUUUAUUUCCUUAAUUUACCAUAUCAGGGAUAUUAUCUUACUUUCUUACUAUAGAAAUUUUCGGGAUAUUACAAUUUCAUAGCUAGUUAACCCUUCUAGCUUCUAGAAUUCAAAUUCUACAUUUUAUACAAAUAGGUCAUUUCCUUAAUUAAUCACUAAUUCGAUAAAAUUUUCAUAUCAAUAUUUUCAUGCAACCUUCUUAUCAUAAUGCAACCCAUGUCAUAAUUUUAAAAUAAAAUUUCCUCGUCGGAUUUGUGGUCCCGAACCACUGUUCCACCUAGACCCAAAAUUGGGCUGUUACAGAUAUCAAUAAUAACUUUAAAUUUUCGGACAUUAAUUCCAUGUCAUUUACUAACCCUUGUAAAAUCGGAGAACACCUUACAGAUAUGAGUACAUCGUAUUCAGGAGCUCGAAGGCUACAGAGAAACACAUAAGUGCUAAACAGAAACCCAUAAAGGUUGAAGGGAAGCUCAUAAGAGCUGAACAAAAGCCCAUAAGGGUUAAACUGAAGCUCAAAAUAGCUAAACGGAAACCCAUUAGGGUUAAACGAAAACUCAUAUGAGUUAACUAAAGCUCAAGAGAGCUAAACGGAAAGUAAAAACGGAAGUUCGCAACAAAUGUUGAACCUCGGUUUACUUGGGUAAUUUGCCGUCAAUUCCUCAUUUGCACUGAACGACUGUACUCAAUCCCGCGUUCCAUUCGUUUUGAACAUUCAAUUCAAUUUCAUAACUUUAACAAUAAUUUUAUUUUCAACAAAUGAUAUGAAUAAACACAAUAUAGCAUUCAUCAAUCUAAUAUAUAAUAUUAAAGUUUAACCAUACGAACUUACCUGGGUAAAAUUAUGAAAUUUGUAAUAGUUCAAUGACUAUUUUGCUAAUUUCCCUUUUUGACGAUUAUCUACUGGCUCUUGAUCUAAAAUAUAAAAUUAUUCAUUCAGUAACAUAUAUUUCAAUUCUAAUUCACUUCACAAUUAAUACCCUCCAAUUUUAAAAAUUACACAAUUACCCCAACGUGUAUAAUUUUACAAUUUAGUCCUUCACCAAUUACCCUAUCAAAUGAGCUAAUUUUCUCAAAUGACAAUUUUAUCUAAAUAUUCCAAACAAUCAUACAACCUUUGAUCAACAGAAUUUUAAUAUCAAACCCUAAUAUUUAAUCUUUUCAGAAUUUGGUCCUAAAAUCAAUUUCUAUUGAAAACACUUGAUAAAAUCAUCAUCUAAUAAAAUUAAAACUCUAAAUCCAUGUUAAUUCAUCACAAACAUCUAGCACUCAUCAAUGGAAACUUUUAAAAUUACCCAUAAAAUCAUAAACUAAUGACAUAAAUACUUGGACCUAAUUGUAAAAGUCUUAGAAACACAAAAAUUUACAAGAAAAGGGCAAGAAUUGAACUCACUUGGAGCAAAAAUAUGAAAAUCAGCUUAAGAAACCCUCCUAUGGCGUUUUGCUGAAGUUUUGAAGAGAAAAUGUCUAGAAUUCUCUUGUAAUUUCAAUUUCUAAAUUUAAUUUCCUAUAAUUUACAAUUUUACCAUCCAUUCCAAUUAUUUGUUAUUUCUUACCUAUCGCCCCACUCAUUUAUUUUGGGCAUAAUUACUCAUUAAGUGCUCCCUUAUUAAAUUUUCAAGCCAUUUGAUCACUAUUUCUUUAAUUAGCAAGUUUUACACCUUUUUGAAUUUAAUCCUUUUUACUAAAUUAACUAUCAAAACAUUAAAAUUUUCUAACAAAACUUUAAUACUACCUUAAUUAGCCUCCGUAAAUAUUUACGACUCGGUUUAUAAAUUCGAGGUCUCGAUACCUCGUUUUUGAAACCAAUUAACCUAAUAAAUCCUUGUGAAACACAAAUUACUAAUUCCAAAAAAAUUUUUAAUUCCAUAUUUGACUCGUAAAUACUAAAUAAUAAAAUUUUCAAACUCACUUGUCGGAUUGAGUGGUCUUGAACCACUAUUUCCUUCCGACACCACUAAAAAUUAGGCUGUUACACAAAAUUAAUUAAAAAUUAAUUAAAAAUUAAUAAAAAAUUACAUUCAUAACGUAACAAAUCACAAUAAACAUUAAACUAAACAAAAAAUUAACCUAAUCACAAAAAUUACAAACAAAAUAAGUUUAAAAUAAAUUGAAAAUUAAUAAAAAUUUAUAUUUAUAACCUAACAAAUCACAAUAAACAUUAAACUAAACAAAUAAUUUAUAAUAGUUACUAACAAAAUAACUUUAAAAUAAAUUAAAAACAACAUAAAAACAACAAUAAACAAACUACACAAUACUAACAAAAUAAUUUAUCAUCAUCAUAAUCCAGUCUAUUUAAAAAAAAAACAAAAAUGCAUUAUCCUUUUUUUUUUCUUCUCCCUUUCUUCUCUUCUACUAUCUUUUUCUUUUUCUUUUUUUGUUAAACUACUUCUCUUCUUCAUUAGGGACCAUUAAAAGGACCCCCAAAUCUGCUUUAUUGGUUCCACCUAUCAAAGAGGGGUUAUUGGGGCCGCCUAUCAGAUAGGGGUCACUGGUACCGCCUACUGAUAUGGCACCACCCCUAUAUACCAUUCCGGUAUUUCUAUGUGGGCAUAUACUAAACUCGAAACCCUUUUUUUUGUGGUGCUGCCUACCAAUAAGGCACAACUAAUAUAAAAUUAUUAUUAUUUUUAAAUAUUAAAGAAUUAAUUUCUAAAAAAAAGGAUGGUAUCGCCUAUGCACCACUCUCCAUUGCCUGUUGUAUACCAUUUUGGUAUAUAAUAUGACUGACAUACUAAUUUGAUAUAUAAUUUUUUAUUUUAUAUUAUUACAGUAAAAAAGCCCCUUUUUGAUAUAUAAAAAAGGAUGAAUACAAAUGAAAGCACAAAAUACUAGGUGAAGUCCUAUUUGAAAAUCAAAGCAAUUUGGAAGAGAAACAUAAUGAACAUUUAAUAAAAUGGACAAAUAAGAUUAAGAUUAAAAUUAAAAAGUAAAUGAUAUUUUAAAAAUCAAACUUUUAUAAAAUAAUAUAAUUAUAUUUAAUACUUAUAUUUAUUAAAUUAUCAAAGAAUUUUUUAAUACAAAAUUUAGUAUUUAUAAAAUUUAAUAGUGAAAAUCCAAUAUUCAAUUUUUUUAACACUAGUUAUCAAACACACUCUAAAAUACAACAUAUAAUAUACAAAAAGUGAUGUAAAAUAUCCAACUAAAACAAAUCAAGCAUCUGAUCAGAAAAUAGAAAAAGUCCAAAUAUAGAUAAAAUACCCAAUUAGCAAGCAUAUGCAUUAACUAAAAUAAAAACACAAAUCAUCUCAAGGAAAUUCUAAGGGUAUGUUUAAUAUUGCUUUUAAGAAGUAUUUUUAAGACAAAAAAUAUUUUUACCAUAAAAACAUUCCUAAACAAGUUACUUUUCGUCAGAAAAAGUACUUCUCCUAAGUCAAAAUUUGGCACAAAGGCACUUUUUUCAGAAACUAAAAAUUUAAGCUUUUCCCUUAAAGUGUUUUUUUUUUCUUUUCAAAACCACUUUUGAGAAUCAUUGUUAAAUUAAGUUGUAAAAACCCAUUUUUCAGUGAUAUCGGAAAUAGUAGUUUUGAGACCACAAAUUCAAAGAGUAAGUCCGUAUUAAUUAUUAUCUAAUUCAUACAAGUCAAUUAUAAUUUUAUAUUGAACUUUGAUUAGAUAAAUUUUAAUUUAUUGAACAAAUAGUUUAGUAUAGUGGUUUGUUCUGUAAGUCAAGUGGUUUUCCGAAAUGAGGUAUUGAGAACACGUUUCUGUAAAUUGAGACUAUAAAUAUUUUUAUUAAAUAUUUACAGAGUUAUCAUUUUGAUAUGUGAAGGUUCGGUUCAGAAAUUUUAAUGUUUAGAUUGUUAAUUAAUUAAAAAAGACUAAAUCAUAAAAAGUGCAAAAGUCAAUUGCUAUUAGUGUUUUAGUGCCAAUCGGGCAUUUAAAUAAAAUAGAAUGGUUUAAUAUGGUAAUUAAAUCACUUCAUUAGUUAGGGGAUCGUACCUAGAGGUGAUCAUGGGUCGGGCUGAGCCGGGCCCAGACAAAAUUUUAGGCCCGUUUUCUAGGCUCGAGCCCAGCCCGGCCCAAAAUAUGGGCCUAAAAAUUUGUCUAAGCGCGGCUCGAAAAGAAAAUUGCUAAGCCCGAGCCUGACCCGGCCCGACCCAUAUUAAAUUUUACAACACCAAAAAAGUAUAUAUUUAAUAUAUAUUUGAUUAAAAAGUAUAUUUGAUUAAAAAUAAAAAAUAUAUAUUUAAUAUAUAAUUCGGGCCGGGCCGGGUCUGGGCCAAAAAAAUUUUACCCUAGGCCCAGCCCAUUUUCUAAACGGGCCUUUUUUUUGCCCAAACCCAUAUUUCGGGCCUAUAUUUUUACCCGAACCCUCUCAUUUUUUGGGCGGGCUAUCGGGCCGGGCCGGGUAACCCAACCCAUGAUCACCUCUAAUGGUACCUAAAUGGAAAUGGAUUAAAAAUAUGUGGUAAUGGCAUUUUUGUAAUUAAUUUCAAUUUAAAACAAAAGAAAAUAAAAGAAAUUGUCAUAAUCUUUAUGGUAUUUUGGCUUGAAAAUUGAAUACCAUUGUUGGGAGAAGAAAGAAGCUUCAGUUUUCCAUUUUACUUUGCAUGUAAGUGUUUUUAACAUCCGUUUUUCAUGAAUUUUACGUUUUUGAAAUCAUUGUAACUAGAUCUAGCUAACUUGUAUCUUCGUUUUUGAAACUGUUAAAGAUUUUAGAUUUUUCCAUUAAUGAAUUUUAAUUGUUUUUUUAUGUUGGAUGAAAGAUUUAUGAUCUUGAUUGUUGUUUAUGAUUAUUUUGUAAAGGAAUUUUAGUUAGUUUUUAGUUAAAGACUCAAUUGAUUAAAUAUUAAAAUUGAUAGGGAAUUCUUGUGAAUUUGGAAUAAUUAUGGGCUAUAGUUGUAUAAAUGAAAAUAUGGUUAGCAUGAUAAAUUAUGACAUUUUGAUAAAUUUGGAAUUUUGGGUUUAGGGAUUAAAUUGAGAGAAAUGUAAAAAUUUAAGGAAAAAAUUGUAAAUAGGAAAUCAUUUGUACUAAAGUGAAUAUUAUAUGAAAUUGAGGUUAAUAAAUUGAAAAAAAAUAUUUUAUAGAUAAGAACAAGUAGAUAAUCGAGGAAAAAGGGAAAGUUGUUGAGUAGUCCUUGAACCUUCACUGUCUCUAUAGUUUAGCCUAGGUAAGUUAUGAUUUGUUGAAUAUAUAUAUAUAUAUAUAUAUAUAUAUAUUUCUAUAAUGUUAUAAUCAUAAAGUUAAUUUAAUGUGAGAAAUGUAAUUAAUUUGUAAAAUAUUAUGCGAUUACUUGUAUCGAACCCGGAUGAACAUAAGAUAGGAUACAAUUGGCAUGCCAAUAGGUUAUAUUGCGCGUUGUAUGGGAUUGACUUGUAAUGAGAUGAUGAUUCUUGACUUGUUACUGUCCACUGAAUAUACUAGAGUACAACAUUUUUUGCAGACUACCGUGAUAUAUUAUAGUGAUUUUGUUGUGUUACCGAGGGCGGAUGUAAAGUUGUUUGGCUUGGCACUUGGUGCCUAGGUGUGUUCCGGAGGGAUGCUAGCCUACAAGCUAGACAUUUGGUGCCUAGGUGUGUUCUCAGUUGGUUUAGCUUGUUUCAGCAUUUUGAUGUGUUUUGGAUAGUUAACCGCGUAUCCGUAUCACUUUUAUCGUUCAUCGGGCGAAUUCCUAAUGGUAGAUGACUUGUUAUGGAAUUAUGGAAUGUUUGUAUGAUUUUUCUGAUAUUAUCGUGACUUGAUAUCAAAUGAUAUCGUGUGAUUUAAUGGAUUAUGAAACUCGUACAUACAUAUAAACUCAUCUAUUGAAUGAUUGUGGAUGACAUGAUUAUUGAUUAUUAAUAUUGCUAAUGUAUAAUUGAUAUAUUUAUAAGGUAAGUUUUAUCGUUUCGACCGUUGAACUUUUUAAGUUCAAUUGAAGCUUAGUUGUGUCAUUUUCCUAUUUCUUUGUAGAUAACAUUUGGUGAAAUCGGACGAUCGGAUCAACAUGAAGAUCACACUAUCCAGAUAUCUAUCGGUAGAUUUUGAAUGUUUACCUUUGGGUUAUAUGACAUGUAAUAGGUGUGUUUUGAUAUAUGUUUUGAAUACUUAUUUCUAAUGGUAUAUGUAUGAGAUUGAUGUAAAACUGUUUAAAUUUGGUAUUAGUGUGUUUGUGUGUUUGCCUAUGGUAUGACAUCAAUAUGUCUUUGUGAACUUAUAUUUGGCUAUUUGAUUCAAGUUUCAUAAUGGCAUGGUAUUGAAACAUGGCAAGUUUAAUGUAUGCUUUAGGUAUGGUGUGUGAACUUGAAUGCCAUUGAGUAGUGUAAAUAUGUAUUUGUUUUGGAUAUUGAAUUGUGAUGCCAAUGAGAACACAUUGGUUAAGCAUUUAGGUUGGAUGAUUUUGGCAUGUUUCAGGCUCAUUUAAUUGUGUUUCGGAUAGGUUUAAUUAAUGGUAAAUGAGUUGCUUGAUGUCCAAGUAAGCAUGUUUUUGUGACGUCCCAAAAAUUCAAGUAUUUGAUUUGUUAUAUUUUGUCAUAAGAUAAUAUCUGCUUCAGUGGUUAAGGGUCUCAAAUCUAUGACUGAGGCCUUAGGUUCAAAUCUUGGUGUGAGCAAAAAGGGUUUAGUUUUUGCAAUUUUCGGUCAAGGGUGCAUGGGGUUGAAUUAGAUUGAAAAUCAAAUAUUGGGUAGUUAUCAGGUUGUGGGAUAGAAUUGUUAGGAUUAUCUUAAUUUCUUUUACUUUUAUUUUUUUUGGUAACCCUAAAAAUGAACUUCAUUUUUCCCACGUUCUUCUUCCUUUUUGGCACUUCUUUUGUUUUUCUUGUUCCUUCACUCCUCGUUUUUGUUUUCCUUCCUCUGCGAAAAAAAUUCAAGAUUAAUUUUGGGAUUCUCCUUGUGGCCUUCCAUUUAAUCAGUUUCGCUUGGAGUUCUUUCUCGUUCAAAUUCGCUUUACUGUUGAUUUGGGGAGAUUUGCGAGGCAGUGAGUGUUCCUCAUCCUUUGAAUUACUGUGGGUUGUUGUUAUCGAGAGUAAUGAGAUUCUCAUCCUUUGAAUUACUUCAAAAUCAGACCAAGCAUGUAACAAGAAACCCAGAAAAUAGCGAACAACAAAAGCUAAAAUUGGGCACUAUCGAUGCCACACGUCCGUGUGCCAGAUUGUGUGGCUCAAACAUAAUCGUGUGUCCAUUUUACACGCCCGUGUAAACCCUGCACCUAACACAAUAGGGGCAUACGCCUGUGUGGGUUUCUCAUGUAUGGUGCACAGCCGUGCGGCAGUCCGUGCCCUUGGCCGUGUGCAUUAAAAAAUCAGUUAAAAUCAUGCCAUUUUCACUCCCAAAUGCUUAGGUGCCUAAAUAGACUAAAAGUAUGUGCAUACCAGCCUUCAAACCACAAUCAAGAACACUCAAACCAUGUCAAAAACCUAUGUGCCUAACCAAUGAGCCACCAUUGACACCACAAUUCAAAUACAUAACAUUAAACUAAUUAAGCUAGCAUUUCAAUUCAGAAGUAUAUGUCCUAGUGAUUAGCAAUCACUUAAGUGCUAUACCAUAGUCUAUGUCAAGACUUACCAUUUCUUAUACUCAUUCAACCACAACCAUGCAUCAUGCAAACAUACACCAUGUAACACCCGAAACCCGACCUAGGAGUUAUGGCUGAAUCUGGCGGUGUCACAUUAAGGUGUUUAACGUAAAACUUGUUGUCGUUGAAAUCUUUAAAAUCAAUUAAUCAUUUUGUUAUUAAACGGUGAUUCCAAAACGGGUUGUUCAUUUCCAAGCGUGCAUCAUUAAAAGCUAAAACGUGGUGUCUUUGAAAACAGUUACCUUUUGAAAACCUGUCUUUUUCUACAACUAGCAGUUUAUAUCAAACUAAAUAAAUAAAAACCCCAAUUUAAAGAGGCAUUUUUACAUAAAAAUACCCAAAUUCAGUUACUUAUAAAUCAAAAGCUAAAAAUGAAAGUUGAUGCGGUUGUGUGGCCAUCAUCGAGUCCCUCAUAGCACCGACCCGCCUACAAUUUUGGAUUACGUGUACAGUUAAACAGAGGGGCGAGUUUAUAAAAACUCUGUGUGUAAUCCCCUAGCAAGCAAACAGUCAAUUAAACAGUAGAUAAAUACAGUUUGGGCCUGAGCCCGUUAUAGUAACAGUCCAGUUCAGUGUGGCUUAAGCCCUUUCCCGUAACAGUAAACUAUUGGGCUUGAGCCCAUCACAAUGCCAGUAAUCAGUAGGGCCUUUGCCCAAUUUCAGUAAUAGUAUCAGUGGGGCCUUGGCCCAUAACAGUAACAGAUAUCAGUGAUGUAGUGAACAGUAUGUAAUAUCAUAAAUUGGUGCAGCAAUAGUACAAAAUCAUUAAUCAUUGUAGAUAUGCAAUUAGAAAUCCUACCCAAUCCAGCCCCUACACACCAUUCCGUCCCGCCAAACACCAUGUGGGGAUAAAAUCGACCCACCCAGCCAGAUACAUCAAGAUUAGUACCAGUUGCGGCGCUAAAUAGUAUUGCAGUAAAGUUGCCAGUAAAAUAAACGACAUAUAGCCAUCAGUAGGUCCACAGUCGUCUUGGACGACCCGUGUAACCUUAUUAGUACGAUACACUUCCUCCAAAUAUAACAACCUAUCCCCAUGCAAUUUAUCGUGACAUAAUAUCAUAAGUGUAUGCAAAAUGUCCUGCUCAAUCAUAGUCAUACAUACCAUAGAGCAAAUCAGUCAUACAUAACAUAAUGUCAUAACAGUCAUUUCAUCUCCUAGAGGUAUUACAGUCAUUUGACCCUAUGAGUGUAUUUCGAUCAUUCUACCUUAUGGGGGUAUUUCGGUUAUUUUACCCAUAGGGAUAUUUCGAUCAUUUUACCUUAUGGGGGUAUUUCAGUCAUUCUACCAUAUAGGGGUAUUUCAGUCACUCUACCAUAUGGGGGUAUUUCGGUCAUUUUACCCUAUGAGAGUAUUUCAAUCAUUUUACCCUAUGAGCUAUUUCAGUAAUUUUACCCUAUGAGGGUAUUUCGGUCAUUCUACCCUAUGGGGGUAUUUCGAUCAUUUUACCCUAUAAGGGUAUUUCGGUUAUUUUACUAUAUGUGGGUAUUUCAGUCAUUUUACCUAUUUUGGGGUAUCAGUGCAGAUAUCGACCUCUCGAAAGGUCCUAAAUGGUCUUGAGCGACUUAGGUAACCUAAAUGGUCAUAACAAUGUAAAUGGGCCCAAGGCCCAUUACUCGGCCCAAGUGGGCCCACACGCUCGAGCGGUCCGUUUAGCUCAAAUUUUGCCAUGACUAUGAGAUCCACAUAGCUUAGUCAAGUAUUUGCCACAAAUCGUAAAUUUUAUCCGUAUGGGGCCUACGAGCCUAUUGAACCCACACGGCCUAUUUCGACCCAACGUGACCCAUUACGGCCUCGGCCCAUAAAAAUACUCAUAAAGGCCUCUACAGUCUAUCGCCCAUGAUUCACGGGUUUAGCUUACUACAUGAACGAUCGCACGCUCUUGUGGUAUCAAAUACCGUAUUUUUUACUUUUCGGCUUUUUCCGUUUUACAGUUAUAGUGGGGUGUUUACACACCUUGUUUCUAUACGUCACGUGUAGUCGCUUAAGCACUCACCAACCUACAUUUGGCCAAUCAAACACUACCAUCAAUCCUACUUUACAGUUAACAAGAAACUCGAAAUCUACAGCCCAUUCAUAGAAUAGAGUAGCGUUACCUUUGAUCGAACCACGAUGAUUUCCACGAAUCUAGUCUUCAGCGAUUGAUUAGGAAUCCUUGAGUCCUUCCUUAACUGCCAUACAAUUGCUAUCAGAUAUUACUAAAGGCAGAAGAAGAAAGAAAUAUUGAUUCGUUUAAAGAACUUACCGAAAGAGAGCAAGAGAAUCAAAUACUGAAAGGAUUCAACACUAGGACAACCCUUCACCCUCGAUUUAAAGUGAAAAGAAAAGAGUAGAGUUAAUCGGUGGAAGAUGAUGAAUGGUUUCAGCAGUGGUCAGAACUGGUAAUCGACAGCACAACACAAGAGGGAGUGAAGAGGAGAAUCGGUUUAAGGGAGAAGAGGGAAAUAAAUCGAAGGAGACAAAAAAAAAUAUUCCACCAACUCAAUGAAUAGGAAGAAGAGGUUUUCGGCAAACGCAAUGAAUGGAGAGAAGUAAAAUUCGACAAACUUAAUGAACGGGGAGAAGUAAUAUUCGGCAAAGGGAACAACUCAACAAAGCAAAACCAAAAAAAAUGAGAAGCCCCCUCUAGCCGAAUUCUUGUGUGCCACAGAGUCCACUUCCGGCACUACAUUCCCUCUCCCCUCAUCCCUUGAUUUUCUCCUAAAAUCCAUCCUCAAAUCUCUCCACCUGAUCACACCUCCCCUCAACCACUUAAUUUGAAUUCUUCUUAACCACUUCACUAUCAAAAUUUUAGUCCAACACAAACUCACACACGGAACAAGCAGCAAAAUAACACCUCUUGUUUGCACAGGUAUUCGAACUCAAAACCUAUUAAAAAUAAAAUUCUUAGCUAUGGUGUUUCGGCUAUAGAAAAUAAAAUUCGAGAAGAUGAUAGGAUUUUUGGCUUUUGUUUUAAUUAAAGUUCAUUUAUUUACUUAAUUACUAUUUACCCUUUUAAUUUGCAUCCAAAUCUAUCAACUCGAACUAACUGACCCAAAUGACUAAUCAUAGAAAACUCUCUAGCAGUUUUUUCAGUAGUUAUACCUAGACUUGCAGAAACAACACUAGCUAUAUACGAGUGAGUAGAUCCAAUAUCAAUGAGAGCAUAGUACAAAACAAAAUGAAUAAAUAUACCUAUUAUGACGUCGACAUCAUCACUAUCCUCACAGCAUCUUGUCGCAUAAAUCGGUGUCGGCUAUUGAGGCUCAGUCUGACCGGUACCUCUACCAGUGCUCUUUGUUCUUUCCCCAAACCAUUACCCCUCUACUAGUACCACGGCCCCUAAAUGGUUACUGAACCACUCUUGGAGGCUGUACAGAACCCGAAGCCGAAGUCUGUGUUGUAACUUGCACCUGAUUUGGUUGACAAGGAUAAUACCUAACCCGAUGCUUCAUCGACCAGCAACGAAGGCACAAUUCUAACUUCUUCCAGCAGUCAUCUGGAUGGCAUUUCCCAUAAUUACUAUAGAGUUAAUCUUGGGCCUCGGGGGCCUAUCAAAUCUCGCCCGUUUCUUAGGGUACUAUCUAGAACCAGAGGGACCCGAAUCCCCCUUAAGCUUAAUCUGAUCCCUCUUGUGGUCACACUGCUCAUGCUCAUUACGCUUUACCUCUUGCAUUAUCUUUUCUUUAUCAACCUGAACCGUAAAAACCCGCUCUCUCUGAAGAGCUAUUAGAACCCAUAGAUCGUAUUGCAAUCCUCCCCUAAAUAUCACAUAUUUAUCAUCGUUAGACGCUACCAAUGUUUGUACAUACCUACUUAGUCGCAGGAACACAACUUCAUAUUCAGCCACAGGUCGAUCUCCCUAAACUAGACUCAUAAACUCGGGUUGGCGGGCCUCUGCAUAACUCGCAUCCGCAUACUUGCUCUGGAAGGCAUUUCUGAAAUAAUCCUAGUUAACUUUUUUGGGCUGAGCACCUUACUCAACCGUCAGCCACCACUUAUAAGCCUCAUCCCGAAGUAGGGACACAAUACCUCUCAAUUUUUGAGUGAGAGUGCAAUCAGUAUCGGUUAUGACACGCUCGGUAGCCUCGAGCCAAUACUCAAUAACAGUAGGGGCGACUCCAAUGACACCCCUGAACAAUUUAUCCCUUCGAUCGGAGUUGUUCAAUAGCUGACCCAUGACCUCCAAAUAUAGAAUGGGUCUUAGCAACCCUAUCCAAUGUCCAAAUCAUGGCUUGAGACAGUGCGUUGUCCCCAAUCGUCAGAGUCUAGGACCUCGUUUCAAGAGUAGGAGUACCAAUUAUCUAGCUGGUCUCUAAGUUGGGCAUACUACCCAUAGAGGAUGACUCCCCUUGAGCUCCUUUUCGGCAUCCUCGACGCCCACGAGUUCCACAUCCAUGACUAUGGCGCGAACUCAUUUUACCAAUCUAUCUAUAAUGUCAGAGUGUACAGAUCAGUUUAGGCUUCCAACAGAAUAAUCUCGCUAGUUCAGAUCUACCCAUUUAACCAGAUAGCAGUUUAUGUAAUACAAUGUUUCAAUUAGCCAUUAUAACAUAAUAGAAAUACUUACAGGUUCGGCGUCGGAGGCUUGGUCAUUUAAUAAUAUUUUAGUUUUCAUAUUAACUCGGAUAUCAUAUUUUCGUUUAACUGCUCUUUAUCUCACAUUAUGAGCCCAAACACAGUUCGUGUGUUGACUAAUUUGGCUCUGAUACAACUAAAUGUAACACCUUAAACUCGACCUAUACGUCCAGACCAAGUCUAAAGGGUUACAUUGACGAUUUUAAGAAAACUACAUUUAUAAACGCAGUCAAAAUGAAUCUAUUCAACAUAUUAUAAUUAUCACACCAAUUAAUUAUCUAUAUAAUCUCCAAACAUCAUAAUAUCGUAGAAAGCUAUAAUUACUAAUAGUAAAGUGAAAAGGAAAGAUAAACAAAUUGACCAAGCUCCCGUAGCGCCGACCUGUUCAAGUCUGAGAACCACCUGAAAUUCAGUCAACAAUGAAAUGAGUUUUGUACCCAAUGCAUAAAAGACAUUCGUUCAAAUAAAACAUGUUUAUAAAUAAUUCCUGAAUCUCAAGAUUUAGUUAGAUAACAGAAGCAAUUUCGGUUUAGAUAUAGAACGGAUCAGGUACAUACGCAAAAGCAAUUUCAGUUUCAAAUACAUAACAUAUUAGAUAUAUAUGCAAUUAUUCCUAUCCCCAUCCGCUACACACCAUCUUUGACAAUCCUAACACACCAUUAAAGGCGUUCAAAGCCCAACCAACCCUACACACCAUAGAUUGUCUGUUUGACAUAUUUACAAAGAUACAUACUAGCUACUAUAUCGAAAAUGUGACAAAGUGCCAGAUUUAUAUAUCUAUAUAUAUAUAAUGUGGCUUAGCCACUAAUUCAGAGCAAAUCACUUCCUCCUUCACAAAUAUCCUAAACCCAUUAUAUAUAUAAUGUGGCUUAGUGGCACUAAUUCAGAGCAGAUCACUUCCUCUUUCACAAAUAUCCUAAAUUCAUGCAAAUGCAGAUUACAUAUAUCAACAACAUGUGUUCAGUCAUUCUGAUUCAAUUCAUAAAUAGUUAAUACAUAUCAGUGUCAUUAAUAGUCAUCACAAUUUAUAUACAUUUAUAUACUUCAUAUCUCAAUCUCAUAGUAUCAGACAGUCCUUAUACAAUCAAAUUCAGAUCAUAAAUACAUUGUGGAGGCUAGUACUCGUGUUAAACAGCACUCACGACCUCAAAAAUUAGGUUCAAACCUUAUUUAUAUGCGACACGGCCGGACACAAGCCCAUGUCAUUUGCUCGUGUAGUUUUAAAUCAUAAACAAUAAGUUACACAACCUAGACACACGCUCGUGUCCUUGCCCGUGUGGCUUACACGGCCUGACCCUUGCCCGUGCCAUCUGCUAUUGUGAGUCUAAAUCGCAAACAGAGAGUUACACGGCCUGGACACACGCCCGUGUCCUUACUCAUGUGACUCACACGGCCUGGGCUCAGGCCCGUGUCCUUGGCCGUGUGGUCCUAAUUUGUAAAUAGUGAGUUACACGACCUAAACACAUGCCCAUGCCCUUUACUCGUGUGAACCCUGCACUAACAUGGCCACAUACAGCCUGGACACACGACCAACCAUACGAUCUACCACACGGCCGUGCGACAUCGGUAGCCACAUUUUUCGGCGUCUAAAAUUCACAAAAAAUAGGGGUUUUUGGUACACACCUGCGAUAGUUUCUAAGGAUAAACAACGUAGAAGAAUCCCAGAACCUAAAAUGACCAUUCAAUAAUCAAUUAUACAAUCAUUCUCAAAUCAUCGCUAAGAUCGACCUAUCACCAAAAUUUUGUCAAAAGUUUUGACACAACCCCAACUCAAAUUCGCACACUUAUCUUUCACAUAUUAGCAAAAAACCAGACUAACGCGAUGGAGGAGUGCCUUUCGCAAGUCAUUCACCUAAAAAGGUAACCAAUUGAACACUAAAAUAAAGAAUUCAAGUAAAACAAGCAAAAUCUCAUUUUAGCAGAAUAAACGAUAACAAGACGAAAACUCGUAGAGACUGAAUGAGAUAACUACAAAACUUACACAACGAUUGCAUAAACAACGCAAUGAGCAACAAAAGAAUUCCCAGUUAACACAGUAUCAAGUAUUGAAACAAGCAAAAAUAUAAAAGAAGAAGAAAAGAAAAAAACAAAGAAAAAAUAAGAAUAAGAAUAAGAAAGGAAAGAAAAAGGAAAAAAAAGAUGAUAGAAUUAGUUCAAAAUAAUUUAAGUUAACCACCAACCAACCUUCCAAUGUUUAGCAAAAAUAUUCCUCAUUGCAAACUCAAGGAUUCAAACACAUGACCAAAUAGAAUAUAAAUGUAUAACCAUUGAACCAACAAACUCAUUCUUAACAUAAGGUUACAUUGUAUUAAACUUAUUUAUGUAUAGAGAUUAUCUUUAAAAUAAAAUAAUAAAACUUCUAAAAAUACGACUCGAACUCCUGACGUCAAUCACAUAAGUAGAGCACAAAACCACCGAUACAAAGAUUUAAUUACGAUGAAAUUCAACAGUCAAUGUUAAAAUUUUGGGGUGUUACAUCCUUGGUAUUCUCUUUUUCUUCAGAUUAGAAGAAAAAUAAGAUCGUCUCUUAGUAUUGGUAAGGCCCCGUGUUCGAUGCUUGAACAAUACAUUGUUGGUUAAAAUAACUCUAUUCUUAAAUUUCGUUUUUAUUUUAUCGAAGAAAAAAUUGGCGUGGUUUGACUGGUGUACAGUUGGGUGACACCAUGAGAUUAAGUGAUCUAAUUUAAAUAAUAUGCACAAUUGAGACUAUUAAUUAAACUCUCCUCAUUUUGGAAGAUCGUCAAGGAAUUAAAUUGUCAAGAUGUUUUUGUAGUUAAUUUAUAACUAAAGAAGUACUGAUACAAUAUGUCAAAUAUGAGGGCUAAAUUAAUUAUUAUACCAAUUCUAGUACUGCCCCAACUUGUAAAACAUUUAACAAGACUUAGUAGAAAAAAACCAAAAAAAAAAAACUAAAAUAGUUGAAGGGUGAUUUUGUAAGUUUCAAAAGUGGGGUUUUUUACAAAAAUAAUAUAAAAAAUAAAAAAAUUACCAAAAUGUUAUAAAUUUUUUUAUUUACCAAAAAAUAUAUAAUUUUUUUAUUUACCAAAAUAUAUCAAAAAAACAAAAAAAACAGAAAAAAAACCUGGACUGAUUUGACAACUCCCUGGGUGGAGGGAACACUGUUGGCGGCACCAAACAAGGGAACCCUGUUGGCGGCACCAAACAAGGGAACCCUGUUGGCGGCACCAAACAAGGGUUCCCUGUUGGCGGCACCACUCGUGUUAUAAACACGAACUCUGUCCAGCUGAAACAAGAAAAAUCAGAAGAAAAAGAAAAGAAAGAAGAGGUGCUGCGGAAAAAAAGAGAAAAUGAGAGAAAGAGAAGAGAAAAAUCAGAUAUUUUUUUAAAAAUAAUUGAUUAUGUUAUUGUUAUUGUUUUGUAUAAUUUGUAUUUUUUUUUGUUUUAGUUUAGUUAUUAAGAUUAAAAUCAAUAAAACUCAAAUUAAUAGUUUUAGUUAGGGUUUUAUUAUCAAAAUAUUACAAAAAAAUAAAAAUUUUAUAGUAUUAUUAUUAUUAUUAUUAUUAUUAUUAUUAUUAUGAAGAUGUUACUUAGUAUUAUUGUUAGUAAAAAAUUAGUAUUAUUUUUAUAGUUAGUUAUUAAUAAUUUUAGUUAGUAUUAUUUUGUAUAUAAAAUUAUUAAUAUUAUUAUUGUGUUAGUUAUUAGGAUUAGUGGUUAAAUGGCUUUCAUGUACAAAAUUGAAUAUUGAAACAUUAAUUUUUUUAUUUAAGUUAUUUAUUAUCCGUGCGAGAUGUUUUACGAGAUUUUGUUUAUUUUUUGACAAAUUAAAUAUUGAAGAUGGAUGCUAAGUUUUUUGUAUGCGUUUAUUUCGACGGAGUCAUCUUGACAACAAGUGUUGGAUGUGUAUUUGAAUGUCAGCAACAAAUAGCAAUGAGAUUUAAUAAAAAUGUCUCGUUUGAUGAAAUGAAGGCAAUGAUUAAUGCAAAAAUUUUAAGACGUUGUGGGAGAAGGAUAGUAAAAAUUUUCUACAAGUUUCCAGUUUCGACAAAUCCAGUCAAAUUCGUCGAAAUGGAACUUGCAGACGACGAAGACGUUGAGACAAUGGUCGAUCUCUACUGUGGGAAUGGGAGUGACAAGAAUGCACUGAUUCACUUAUUUGCUGAGUUAGUUGGUAUGGAGCAAAAUGAAUCUGAUGAAGAAGAUGAGGCUGAAGAACCGCGGAUGCUGGCUCCAAUAUCAUACAUUGAUAGUGAAUCAACUAUGGGUGGGAUCGGUAUCGACCUGAAUAUUACACCCGAUGUUGAUAUGGUUGGUGGUGAAGAAGAAUGCGGUUGCGAAGAAGAAGGUGGUGGCGAUUAUUGGGAUGAAGAGGUUGAUAGUGACGGUGAUCCCGAUGUGGACGAUGUACCUGAUGAUAUCGACGAUGAAGACAUUAACGCUUCUUCNNNNNNNNNNNNNNNNNNNNNNNNNNNNNNNNNNNNNNNNNNNNNNNNNNNNNNNNNNNNNNNNNNNNNNNNNNNNNNNNNNNNNNNNNNNNNNNNNNNNCAUAUUUUGAUACACAAUAAUCCUGGGCCACACAUGUCGCUCAUAGACCCCGGCGCAGCGUAUGUAGCUGAGUUCCCAGAGUACCCUGAAAUAGUUCAUCGUCACGGGCUAGCCGUAACAUCUGAUGAUGAGGAGUUAUUCAUAGGCCAGAGAUUCAGCUGUAAAGAAGAGUGCGUAUAUGCCAUCAAACGGUACAGUAUGAAUAUAUCAGUUAAUUAUAAAGUCAAAGUGUCUACUCCGACAAUAUAUGUUGGGGAGUGUUGAAGGCAGCGGAAGGCUGCGAUUGGCGGGUGCGAGCUGCAUUCAUUAAAAGUUCUCAGAUGUGGGAGAUACGAAAAUUUGUUGGUCCUCAUACAUUCACAUCAACACGUAUGACAGAAGAUCAUGGAAAACUUGAUUCAAAAACAAUCUGUAUGUGUAUCAUGCUUAUGGUAAAGGACAUGCCGACCAUUAAAGUUUCGGUACUGAUUGCCGAAAUGCAAGCACGAUUCCAGUAUCGAGUCUCAUAUCGGAAGGCAUGGAUUGCUAAACAGAUGGCGAUGGAGCAACUGUAUGGAGAUUACGAUUCAUCGUAUAACGAGCUUCAAGGUUGGAUAGCUGCUAUGCGGGAGUAUGUACCGGGGACUGUGAUUGAGUUGCAGACAAGGCCAUAUUACGGCCCGGAUGACCAGUUACAGCCGGCAAAAAGGAUUUUCCAUCGGAUGUUCUGGAAGUUCGAUCCAUGUGUGCGGGCAUUUCCCCACUGCAAGCCACUUAUGCAGGUGGAUGGGACCUGGCUGUAUGGAAAAUAUACACAGAUCCUACUUCUUGCAGUUGCUCAAGACGGCAACAGAAACGUGCUCCCGAUAGCAUUUGCUAUUGUAGAUAAAGAGAACAUGGAGUCUUGGGAAUUCUUCCUCACAAACCUGCGAAGGUAUGUUAUUAGUAACGAUAACAUUUGCAUCAUCUCCGAUAGAGGGAAUGGUUUAAUUGCAGCAAUCAGACGUUCUGGUGUGCUGUGGAGAUCCGUUUACUACAUCCGUCACAUUGCGGCUAACUUCCACAAAGAUUACAAGAAUGCAGACUGGAAGAGACAAGUCGUGGCAAUGGGUAAAUGAUAACCUUAUAUUUUCAAUAUAAGUUGUAAUGUUUCAUGUUAUGGAGUUACUAGAACUUAUUUUUCUUAAUACGUAUGCAGCGUACGAGUUAGAGCCACAUAUGUUCCGGCAAAAAAUGAUCCGACUUGAGAGUGACAUGGAGGGGCAGACAAACACAUCUUUCCGACAAUGGUUGGGCACAAUGGAGCCGUGGCAAUGGGCUCAAAGUUUUGACAAGGGCUUUCGUUAUGGCCAAAUGACCACAAACUUAGUCGAGGGGAUCAACGCUGUUUUGUUAAAAACACGUCAUCUUCCGAUUGCAUCUGUAUUUUCUGCUACUUUCUACAGGCUGGCUACUUUGAUACCAAGAAUGGGUCAGCAGCAAGUCGACCAGAUUGAGGCGGGACACGUGUUUGUCGAACAUGUUAGGGAUACAAUGGUCGUAAACCGUCGGUUGGCGAGGUCAAUGAAUGUAGAAAUAUAUUCACGACGACUGGAAACAUUUCGAGUUACUGAGAGCAUCAGUCGUCGACCUGGUAUACCAACUAAGUCUUACGGAGUUGAUCUCCGGAACCGACGGUGCGAGUGCAGAAGGUUCGAAACACUUCAUUAUCCCUGUGCGCAUGUCGUGGCAGUGUGUGCUAAAGUUAACGUCAAUGUUGAACAAUAUGUCGAUAAUGUGUACACGCUGGAGCGCACAUUGCGUGUCUGGGAAAAUGAGUUCCCCGUCUUGCCUGACCUAUCAACGUGUGAGGUGCCUCUGACGACUUUCGAGCUUCUCCCAGACAGAGGGCUGCGGAGGAAUCCGAGAGGUCGUCCGCAGUCAAGCAGAAUCCGUAAUGAAAUGGACAUCAGGGAGAAGUCUGACGGAAAGCGUUGUGGAAUAUGCAGGUUAAGUGGUCAUAGUCGGAAUAAAUGUCCUAACUGAAACUUUCAUGUUGGACAGUCAUCCGGAUCGGGUCGUAAUUGACCUAAUAUUGUAAAAAAAAUUUCUGUUUUUUUAUUAUUAUUUUUUGUUUUUUUUGAUAUAUUUUGGUAAAUAAAAAAAUUUAUAUAUAUUUUGGUAAAUAAAAAAAAAGUUAUAACAUUUUGGUAAUUUUUUAUUUUUUUAUAUUAUUUUUGUAAAAAACCCUCUUCUUGUUCUUUUUUUUUUUUCUCUUCUCCUUUCCUUUUCUUUCCUUAUUUUUCUUUCUUUCCUCCCCUUUCCUUUUCUUUCAUUCUUUUUCUUUCUUUCCUCUCCUCUCCUUUCCUUUUCCUUUUUUUUUCUUUCUUCCUUUCUUUCUUCUUCUUCCCCUUUCCUUCUUCCCCCCACCAACCGACCACCCUUAAAUUCAAGGGUGGUGUCGCCAACAGGGAACCAUUGUUUGGUGCCGCCAACAGGAUUCCCUUAUUUGGUGGCGCCAACAGUGUUCCCUCUACCUAGGGAGUUGUCAAAUCAGUCCAGGUUUUUUUUUCUAUUUUUUUAUAUAUUUUGGUAAAUAAAAAAAAUUAUAUAUAUUUUGGUAAAUAAAAAAAGUUAUAAUAUUUUGGUAAUUUUUUUUUAUAUUACUUUUGUAAAAACCCUUCAAAAGUGUGAUGAGAAAAAAACAAACAAACCUAGACUGCAAUUUAUCUAUUGUUUCAAUGAAAGUAUUGGUCCAGCUCAGUUGUGCUCGAUUAUCAUCAGGCCCCCACCCUUCGCUGUAAAUUCUCCCUUGUGAUCUCCUGUACAUGGCCUUUUCUGAUUCGUCAUAGUAAAUCUGAAACCCCGCUCUCCUCUCCUACCCUUACUUGCCCUUUUUUGUAUUACUUUUGCGCAGCCAGUGGUACACCUUCGACGCAUCAAAAAAGAAAAAACCUUAAUUUAUUAUUGUAACUGAUGUGAUGAAUUCAAAGCAGAAAAGGAAUUCAUUAAUCCGAAUCCACGUCAUCAAUCCUCGUAGUGUCGCAUGAAAUAAAUGGAUACCGUUGGAUAAACACCCCCCAAUAAGCUAUCCCUAGCCGUUGGAUUAUAGCUCCUACCAUUGUUCUUCUCCCUUUCCUUCCAUCUCACAGCCAAGUUUUCCCUUUUAAAUCCUAAAGCCUUCUCAACAAAAUCAACAAUUAACAGUUCACUACUUCGUCUUCCUCUCACUCUCUUCUUCGCUUUCUCUUAAAUAAUACGAAAGCUAAGAGAAAAAGCUCUAAAUUUCAAUGGCGACCGAAGAAAUUAGUCGAACUCAAGGCCUCAAUCCUUCUCAACAAUCUUCUUCACUUCCAGACUACCCUCAGGUAGUUUGCAUUUCGUUGUUUUGUUGGGCUUUUCCCGAUCAUUUCAUUUGAUGUUAACUUUUUUUUUUUUUAAAUUUUCUGAUUUUACUUGAUAGAUGAUUUUGGAAGCCAUAGAGGCAUUGAAUGAGAAAGAGGGUUCCAGUAUGUCAUCCAUCGCCAAGCACAUCGACUCCACUCACUCCGAUCUCCCAGCGUCUCACUCCACUCUCCUCUCCCACCACCUCAACCAGAUGAAACAAAUGGGUCAAAUUGUUAUGUUGAACAACAAUUACUCGAAACCCGACCCCAAUGCCCCACCCAAGCGUGGACGUGGACGUCCACCUAAACCCAAGGUUCCUCUUCCACCUGGCGUCGUCGUCUCUCCUCCCAGACCUCGUGGUCGUCCGCCUAAGCCGAAGGACUUAUUGGCUCCCCCCAAGACCAAAUCCGUCAGCACCGGAAGGCCGCGUGGGCGCCCCCCUAAGAAGGCUAAGACUGGUACCAACACUGCUCCUCCACCUCCUCC
rnacentral:lncRNA from 1 species